rnacentral:lncRNA from 1 species
UUGUUUCUCCAGAACUUGAUAGGAAAGCCUACUAGCAGGUAAGUUAGAUGCAUACACAUACUAUGACCAGAAAUUGAUACAAACAAGUUCCCUUGCUGGCAAUGGAUAGACAUCAAUAUUCAGGUACCCAAGAAAUUAUAAGGGUGUUGAAUGUUAGAAACUUUACUUCCUUCCAACGUAAGCUCCUAGUUUAGACAGAUCAGGAAUCCAAAAUGAUAGCUCAGAUGACCCAGUAACAAACAUGAGACUUCCAGGUGCCCAUUUUAUGACAGGAGGCUCUGUAUCAAAACUCAUCCAACUUGCAACCUUGACAAGAAAAAUAAACAAAACCAAACAAUGUUUAUUUAAUAACAAUACCAACGUCAGAAGAAUAUAGUAUUUGGAUAUAGAACUCAUUAUGCAGACUGGUGCUUAAGGUAUAUGCUCAAAUGUAGAAUCAAAAGCAUUGUUGGUUUGCCCAGAAGACAAUGAAUACUAUGGCUGGGUCAAUGUAGGGGAAAUGGGAAAUAACAUCCCUUUGGAUUCUAAGCAUUCAAAAGGCAUGAGAAUCAAGGAAUUUUGCUUAUCAUACCUCUUUCCCGCUCCUUACACUCCAAGCGUAUACACUACCAUCACCAGAACCUUCCAAAACCAAGAAAGUAAAAUUAGCAUCAAGAGUGCAACAAGCCAAUUGUAUCACAUAAAACUAAUGAGAGGUGCUUGGCCACACUAGGCUGCUUCCACAUGCGUGGGUGCACUCACUAUUUCAGCAUUUUAUUGAUUCAUUUGAUUAACAAGCACAACCAGAUAAAAAUAUGUAUUCAUUUGGAUUUGCAUGGAUAGGAGUGGGUCUCACAGCAAGUCAAGGAAAAAGAGAACAGGAAUUUAUUGCAAAGAAUUCUGUGGAAUAUUGCAAAGAAUUCUGUGGAAACAAGCUUGAUGUCCAACAUUUCAAGCCGUGUAAUUCAAAAACCAACAAGGUGGUAAGAAAUUUAUCUGAGAGUUAUAUACAGCACAAGUGCAAGAACCUUAAUAUAAAUAUCAAAACAGCCAAAAGCAAAUAUUAAUAAAAUAUCCAAGUCACUGCACCCUAAGAACUGAAAGGAGAAACUCUACCUGAUAUAACAAACAUUCCCUCAGGGCUGAAAGAUGCCUCCAAUGUGGAAUUGCGAGAAACUGGCUUCACAUUAUAAGUGGAUAGCUAAAAACAACAGUAAACAGAAGCAAAUUAACAGAGAUUCCAGUGUAUAGAAGGAUAAAUAUAUACGAUAUGUUACAUUUGGGAGAUUAAGAAAGAAAAAGUAAACUCACAAGUGUGCCUCGGAAUGAGUCAAGCACAUGAAUAUGUCCUUCCAUAGUGGUCAGAAGCAUAAGUCUCCCAUCAUUGCUGAACUUUACGACAUUAGCAUCUGAUAUAUCUCCACCAACAGAGAAGAUGUCGAAAGGACCCUAACAGUAUUCAAGCUUAACCAAAUUAAUGCAUGCUAAAAGUACUACGACAUAUAAACUUCCAAGAUAUUCUUAGAUAUUAUUCUUAACCUUCUCAUACUUGCGAGCAUCAAACAUUCUUAUGUAUCCUCCAAAGGCAACUGCAAAGACAAGCCCUUGAUCAUCGUAUGCUGCAGCAGGCCUUCCUUGAACACGCAAAAGACCCUGAUUUGCCAACAGAGAUCACAAAUACAAUUAAAAAUUGGGGAAAAAACAGUUCGGAUGUGACCAUGCAUGGCACAAUAUCCACCUGGCAUUUCUCAGCCCGCUGAUCCCAGAGCAGAACAGUUCGAUCAAGUGAACCGGAGAUAAAGCAAUCUUUAGAUGAGCACAGGCUAAGUGAAACAACCCUGGAAGCAGUAAAACAUAUAUACAGUUAAUAAUAAUUACAAAAUAUUUACAAGAAUCAGUGAUUUGAGAAUAUAUCACCACAUAUCAGAAAUCAAACCUGUCAUGGUGACCUUUGAAGUAACGCAAGUACUUGUUAUCAUGCAAGGAAAGAAGCCGUAGAGAUUCUGAAUAAAUGAAUGUUUCAAAUAAGUGCCUAGUAAAAUAAUCCACCAACAUACACAACACAAAUGUUCCGAUAAACAUACCAUCCCAACCAUUCUUUGAGGAGUAUAUGACUGUUGUAGGAUGAGAAGUAAAACAAACAAGAUCCACGCCAUAUUUUUUGCUAUUAAUUGUCUUCAAACAUCUGAAAUUCAAUUAAGGGUCUCAGUAACAAUUGUAAUACCGACUAUCAUGAACUCAGAUAAGACAACUGAAGCGCAUUUGGGAGUGCUCUUAUAGAAAGAGCAUAUGAAAACAGGAGGGGAAAAAGGCCUUUUCACAAAGUACUUGAAAAACAUAUGAAUUACAUUUCCCUUAAGCACUUCCCAGAAACCACUCCAAGGUUUUUUUUUUUUAAUUUUUUUCCAUCUUAAAAAGCAUUUUUGUCCAUCUUAGAGAAACAGCAACUUUCAUGAGCUCCUGAAACACGCAGAGCAUACAUUCAGAAGUGCUUUAACUGAAAGUACCCUUGAGUAAAAUCACUUUGAAACAUAUAUGAAGUACUUCUUCAAAUGGCACUAGAAGUGAUUUCCUAAUCCAAAAAGUUCCACCUAUGAAAGCGGAUAUCAAGCACAUUCUCACAAAACCACUUCAAGGGUUCCUUUGAUUUCAAAAGACACUUUAUUUUUCUGCAAUUUCAAACAACUACUGCAAAAUUUAAACCAGCUAUUUACACUUACUCAAAAGCCCUUUCUUAGUUAAAAGAACUUCCAAAGAGACAACAUAAAAUCCUAAGAAACAGAGGAUAAACUUACGUGGCAGCAGUGACAUCAUACAGACGUAUAGAUUCAUCAUCACUAGCAGUCACCAAAUAACUCGACGAUUUAUGAAAAUCCAUGGAACUAAUUCUUCCAUUCUGUUGAAACACAAAUCAAUACCAAAACGACACUUAAUUAACAAACAGAUACACUUAAAAUGCAAAUCAAGUAUAUUUCUCAACUCAAAAAAAAAAAAAAAAAAGGUAGAAGGUUCUCUCACGUAAUCUCUAAAAGACAUGCCCACUUCCAUGCUCUGAAGAAUUUCUUCAGAGAGCUCCAAUGAGACCUUGUCUUCUCUCUCUGAUUGUGACCCUAGAAACACCCAGUAAAAAUACACAACACAAAUAAAAUAAAUAAAUAAACCACAGCAAUUAUGCAAGAAAACUACAACGUUUCAAGUAUAAUCUCCACAUACCAACCAUUUUUUUCUCCUCCAGAUUAAUUCCACUGCAUCGAAAAUAAAUUUUCCACUGAAACGGGAAGGAAGAUGCGGAAGUUGUGAAUCAAUCAGCAAGAUUUCUCCAAUAAGGACCUAAGUUUUGCAAUCGUCUCAAAUAGGUGCCCGACCCCAUUUAAUGAAUAAGAUACCCUUAGGCGUCGUAAAGAUUAUUUAUUUAAACACCAAGGGUAUUUUGGUCAUUUAACAUCACCGAGGGUGCCGCUACGCUACACCUUAUUACGAGCCGUAGACUCCCGCCGGUGGAAUGGUUUGGGUUUGUCGGUUAACGCAUUAAAAUUCAUCUCAAACACAAAAUAAAUUUUGACAUCCAUUGUAUAGUACACACAUUAAUAAAAGAGAUAGGUUUAGUUUCAAAAAAGUAAGUACAUGAUAUGUAGUGUUAUGGAUAUACAAAAUCAUCUUAAAAGUUAAAAUCUUUACAGUUUUUUUAAUGCUUUUCUCUCUUAAUGUAGAUACCAUAAAAUACCAUAUAUUGUAACAAAGAAAAAUAUUAUGUUCUAUUUUAAACUUUUAAUAUAACAUAGUAUAUAUGUUUUGUCAUAUACAAAUAAUUAUUAUUAUGUGGAGGUAAAUUUUUUAAGACAGAAUCUAAAAAAAAUAUAACUUAUUACAAUAUCGAGUUUAUUCUUAUUUAUAACUUACUCAAAUUGGGAUCGUAAAUUUUUAUGACUACAUGGAGGUUAUUCCCAUAUAAAGUAUCACCAUGAAAAAAUAUUUUUGUAUUUUGAAGAGGAAUCCUUCUAGACCGGUAGUGUUGGUCGUAGCUGCCCUAUCGAGGAAGCGUUAUAAGCUUGAAACCUAUUGCAAGUGUCGAUACAAAAUGGCUUCAAUGUUUUCUGGUAAAGCUUAAGAGAAGCUUCCAUAAACAAUGUGCCAUAAUGAUACACAACACUGAUAAUGGCAGCGCCAAUCCAUGCAGUGUACAACAUGAUGUGACCAAUAUUAGAGCGUGGGACAAAUGUGGAAACCAAAGAGACUGCAGAUACAGAUCCUGAGGCAACAGCAACAAGCCACCAGAACUGGGAAGAAUUUUCUUGAUGAACUCGAGACUUCACAUCAGCUGAAUAUGCAUAACAGUAUAUGGCUGUUGCUAUAAGAAAAGAGCAUAUAUUUGUUGAGUGUGUUUCAAGCAAGGACUUAGUUUGGCCUUGAACAUUUGCACCCACGAUGCCGACGAGAACCCCAAUAAGAUGACCAAAAAUAUAGGGAUAUGACAUUGAGGAGAAGAGAUUUCGCCCACUGCAAAAACAAUUUUAAAAAAAAAAUCAUCUCAUAAUCUAAUAUUUCUCCUAAGCAAACUUCACUCAAGUGAUUAGUUGUUAAUAAGUUAAAAAAUAAAAGUGGUUAAGUUUUAUUCGUAUACCAUCACUAAAUAAUAAGUGGCAAAAGAUUUUUAAAGGUUUAGAAGAGCUCAUAUUAGAAGAGAAUCUUGAUCACAAUUUUAAACACAAAUUUAGACACAAGUUUUAGCCAUUGGAUUACAGUUAUUUCAAUGACUUAAAUUGAAGCUGACAUAAAUUUCAUUUUAAAAAUAAAGUAGUAGUCACAUUACAUAUUAUUAAUUUUAUCUCUUUUCUUUCCACUUUAAAUCUCUUUCUUGCUAGAAAUUGGGAGAGAGACUAAAAACUUCAUAGAUUAACGUACCUAGUUUAGAGCUUAAAGAAGCUAAACCACAAGAAUCAACGGAGAGAAUGGUUCCUUUACAUUAUCCACAAGGCUUAGACCUUAUACUUCAUCUAAAUAAAUUGGUGAGAUCCCAUCAUGGACAUGAAAAGAGAUAAAAGGACUAUAAAAAAACUACAUCAUUAAUCUUCUGUAAAGUAGAAAUAGGGUAAAUUUUAAUUCAUCUCUUAAGAUAAUAUGACAGUCUUUAAUUUAUCCCUUAAAAAGUGUGAAAACUUCAAUUUACCAUAUUUUCUUUGAGAAAAUGAUGACAUGAAGACCACAAUUGAUGGAUUUACUUUUUGCCUUCUUUAACAGCAAAUGGAUGUAAAAUAAUAUUUUCACACUUUUAGAGAUAAAUUGAAAAUUGAUAAUAUAAGUAUGAGGUCAAUUGAAUUUACGUAAAAAUUUUAAUUAAAUCUCACCCAUCUAUCAAUUCAUAGAUUUUUACACCCAUCUAUCAAUUCAUAAAUCAAGCCAACUCUCAUUGAGAGAAACUACAUAGAGGUAUGAUUUUUAUCAAAGCCAAAAUGAACCACUGUUUGUUGGCAUCGAUUUUUGACAAAGUAAAUAGUAACCCCUCAAACAUUAACAAAAGCAAAAAGUUAAAAAGGAAAAAAUUGUUUGUUUUACGUUUUGAGUCCCUUUCUCUUGGUUUUGCUUCUUGAGGAAAUUGUAGUUUUAUUUGAGUUCGUAGAAGUUGAAACUUUGAAGGACAAAGGAUCUUGGGAGAAGAUACGAGGAGAGACAAAAAGAAGAAAAUAAAAUAUAAAAGUGAAAGAGAAAAAAAAUAAUUAAUAGUCACUAAUUAAUUUUGCAUCGAAAGGAAAUUCAUGUCAGUCUCAAUCUAAGCGAUUGAGGCUAUUAAAAUGAUUGUGAGCUAAUAGCUAAAAGUUUGUGUUUAAGUUUGCAUUUAAAAUUAUAUCUCUUAAACCUGCAUUUCAUCUUACAUAUAUUUUGUUUUAGUAAGAGAAAGAAAGAAAAUUUUCAGAGGGACAAUUUAACCAAUUUAUUCCCCCAAAAUUGGGAGAAUAAAAGUAAUUUGAAGUGGACUGCAUGCUCAAAGAUAAUGUGCAAUUAGAGUGCAAAAAAUAAAAUAAAAUAAAAUAAAAUGACCAUACACAGAAGAAGGGUUUGAAUUUGGAUGAUGAAGAAUGCACUGGCAGCUUUGCAUUCGCAUAUAUAUCUCAGGAAAAUCUUGAGUUUUCAUAUUAAAUAAAAUAGAACUCAACUGUUAACUCACUCAGCUUGAACUUGGAAGGAAAAAAAAGAAAAGAAAAGAAAAGAAAGGGAAAGAAAAAUCUCUCUCUCACUUCCAAAAAUAAAAAUUACACACUCGAUGGAAACAUCUUACUCGGCUUAAAAAAUUAUCUCAUGGCCUCGGUAUUUAUUGGCUAAACGAGCCACUGUUUAAUAAAAAUGUGAACAAAAAAACAAUUCAAAAAGUUUUUGUUCGAUGGAAUGAGGAUGGAAAGGGACAAAAUUCAAAAGGGUUAUUUUUACUUUUACUGACUUCCAAUAAACUAGGCCAUAUUGCACGUAAUUAUAGAAACCUCUCCUGCUGUUUGUACAACGUUUCGUAAUGGUCCUUAAAAAAUAAAAAUAACCCAAAUUGCGAAAAGUUGGACGGGAUGGAAAGGUUUGUCAAUAGAAAUGUUUUGCUCAGUUGCGUUAUGUGCUGAGUGAGGGAGACAACGAAUCGUAGAGAGGAUUUUCAAGUUCAAAGUAAUAAAUGAGAAAGCGGCGAAGGGCCAUCGGUAGCUAGUAAUGAAAGAAUAAAGUUUUCAAAAGUUUACUUUUAUUGAUGAAAAAGUAAUGACAAUUAGGGUUUGAUCCUUUUUUAUUCUAGAAUCCUAACACACCGUUUUACUAAUUAUGUUAUUUCAAACCCUACAAAUUUUUUUUCCAAUAAUGAAGAAUCUUGCUGGGAUAUAAACGAGUCUAUACAAGGAAAACCAAAAUACAAAAUAUAUAUAUAUAUAUAUAUGAGCAUGAUUUAUAUACGUUUCCUGAUUGAGUUGCUAGCGACGAUAAACUCAGUUUCGAAAGUGUAUAGGCGUAUCUCAAAGUAUUAGUGGUUGAGAAUAUGAAGAUAAACGGAAAUUACAAUGAAAUUAUUAUAAAGCAAAUAACAAUUUACAAGGGAAUGAGUUUCUUUUAACCAAUUAAAUAACAAAUCCGAUGUUUCAAAUGGAAUAAUACACGAAAAAACCAUGUUCACAGAUAAACAAGUUAGCAGCAUUUUAGACAAACUUCGGAAGCAGAUACCUGAGAUGGCCAACAGUUGAGUGCAAAUUUAUUAGUGAGGUUAAUUUUAUUUUUAGUUGUUCUUAAAUAUAACUUCAAUAAAAUAAGAGUUUUAUGAUAUUAAUGAAGUGAUGCCAAUUGUCCAACUCUUUAUUUUUAUCAUUUUAAAGGCUCCUUCUACUUACCUGUUUGUUCCUCUAACUCACUAUUUAUUUAUUUAUUUUUGGAUUUAAAUUCUUUCUUAAUUAAUUCGAGCUCUCCCAAGCAUUUCAAAAUUUUAUAUCUUCAACGUUAAUGUAUAAUUAAAAUCUAACUAAAUUUAUUUUAUAAGUUAUUAAAACACCAAUCACUCAAAUGAAUUUUACAUCUUUUUUCUGCCAACAUAACAAAGGUGUUUAUUUAAUUGCUUUGGUAAUGCAAAUGGCGAUUACCUGAGCAGCCGGUCGCCCAUUCUCACAUGUGUGACACACAUGUUUCCUCUACGGCUCUACUCGACAUUUUCAUGUCUCUACAGUGUAUAUUAUGCAAGACCCUACAAUUAUUGGUCAUUUCUUUCAACUCAGAGAAAAAUUUGCACAACAUUUAAAGCACAUUCGUCAAAUUUAUUAUUUAAAAAUUAAUGAAACCUACCAUUCUAUUAUAUUCUAAAGCAUCACCAACGGACCGUCUCAGGUUCUCUCUCCAAGUCAAUAGCAAGCAAUGUAAUCUCGGUACCGAGGUACAUUCAAAGGUCAAAUCACGUUCAGCUGCUGGCAGGAAAAUCAAAUAAAUUAAUUAGGCAAUGAGUUCCUUUUUAUGCAAUGGUGAGGAUUACUUAUUUCAGGAAACUUUCAGUGACCGGUAAAGACAAAUUUUGGUUAGGUGAUGGUAGCAAAAAAACGUUGCAAGUUAAAUCUGAACGCUGCAUUUAACCCAAACUCUGUUUCAAUUGAAUGUGGAAAGGACAUCUACAUAUGCUGCUGUGAAGAAGCUCGAAGCAGUCAGCCAUGAGAGGCCCUCCUUUCCUUGUAAUCUUUCCGUAAAGUAGCACCAUCAUCAUGCAAUGAAGGAAAAAUUUAAGGACAUACGAAUGUUAUUUUGUCAGAAUCAAUCCUCAUGAGAAGCCUCCAUUCCCUUUCUGCAAUUGUGUCCUUGCUUAAUAUACCUUGAUAUUUACAAAGAACUUUCACCAUAUCAAGUAAAAAGAACAAACACAAAUUACAGAGCCGCGGCGUUUUAAUCAAAGGAACAAGAGGGUUACUCAUGAACAAUGAUAUGUGUUACGUUGCACAUAAAGAACGGAACCGCUAAUAUUUUCUGACAUACUAUUUUCUUACUAAAAUUUUAUCUACUUCUACCACAGUGGAGGAAAAAAGCACCAUAGCAGCUGUUUCCGUGAAAAUAGGCGUGAGAAAAAAAUAUUUGCAAGCAACAAAAUUUAUGUUUAAGUGUAAUUUCACGCUUAUUUCAUCCUUCUUCAGUUAAAUCAAUCAGCAAAACUUAAAAGCCCACUUCAAGCUUUUCUUUGAUUUCGAAAGGCACCUUUUUUUUUUUAAUCCCAUUUCCGAAAACUACUGCAAAAUCUAAAAGAAUGAUUUACACUUAAAAAGCCUUUUCUUAGGUUUUAUUUGGUAUUGGGGGUAGUAUAACUUCUAAGUUAUAGCUGCUGUAAAAAAAAAGAAUAAUUAUAAAAGGCAAAGUUAAUAGUGUACAGUAAAAAUAAAAUUUAAAAGAAUAUUUUGAAAAAAUUAAUAAAAAUAUUAUAAUUUUCUCAUCACAUGAGUGAUUAAUUAAAUCAACUUAGUUUGUAAGCUAUAGCUAAGGAUAACAAAAAGUUUGGGCCGACCCAGUAUAUUCUUGCAAACUUUGGCUUGGGCUUCUACAUGAGGGCCGGACGAGGGCUCAAGGAAAAAAAGAUUGAGCUUGACCCAAUCCUCUAUUUUUUUAAAAAUAAAAUUAUGAAUUAGGAUAACAAAUUAAAAUUCAAAAAAUAAUGAAAAAAAAAAGCUUAAAUCCCUAAUUCAUAUAUCAAUAAUGAUUCAAAUAAUCUAAAAUUAUAAUACUAAACUUAUUUUAAGCAUUAAUUAAUUAAGAGGGUACUUGAAUUAGAAAAUUCAAUAUUAAAACAUUAAAUCUCUCAAUUUUUAUUUGCUUCAUUUUUGUUAUUUAUUAUUUUAUUUGAAAAUAUUCAUUUUCUUUAAUUUAUUAUUGAUUAUAACAACUUAUUAAUUAUUAUCUCAUGUCAAGUUUACAAUAAUAAAAAAUAAAAAAAGUUUGCAAUAAAAAAAAUUAAAAAAUAAGUGAAAGUCCAGGCCCAGCCCAAGCCUAGCUCACCCUGCAAAUGGCCUGGCUCAAGCCCCCAUUCUACCAUCCUUAGCCACAACAACUAGUAUUUAUAAAAAAUGUAAGUGUUGCAGGUUAGUUUUUAAGUUACAGUUGUAAAACUUCAAUACUAAAUAGAUAUUUAGGGGUUUUUAUUUUCUUUUUUUUCCUUUGAUAAAACAGGGCUUUUGUUAAAAGCACUUCCAAAGACAAUAUAGAAUCACAAGAAACAAAUGGUAUGUUUGGUUGUAAUAUUAAGGGGGUAUUAAAUUACUAUUUCCAUUAAGUUAAUACUUAUAUCAUGUUUGGAAAAACAUGACAUGAGAUAAAGGCACUGUAGCUAAUGCGGCAGUUGCCGCAUUAGCUUACCUUUUUUUUUUUUUCUCUUUUCCUUCUUUGGCGGCUUGCGUUUCUUUUUUUUUUUUUUUCCUUCUUCUUUCUUUUCCAUUUGCUUUUUGUUUUAACUUUUAUUUUUCUUAUAAUAAUAAUAAAAAAUAAAGAUAACUUUUUAAUUUAAUAUAUUAUUAUAUAAUAUUUUUAUUUUUAAAUUAUAAUUUAAUAUAAAUUAAUAAUUAUAUAAUUUUUUAUUCAAUAAUAUUAUAUUAUUAUUUUUUAUUUUUAUAUUAUAAUUUAUUAAUAAAUUUAUAAUAUAAUAUAACUAAUAAUAAAUAUUUAAAUAUGAAUAAAUUUGAAUAAUAUUAAUUUAAAAUUAAUAAGAAUAUAAAAAUUAAUAUAAUAAAAUAUAAAAUUUAAAUUAAUUAUAAAAAAAUUAAUACAGUACAGUGUAGUGCCAAACAUUACACAGUAUUAUUAUAAUACAAUGCUAAUACAAUACAGCAUAAUAUAAUACAUCAGCAUUAAAAUAAUGCAAUACAGCAUAAUACAAUACAGUGUGUCAAACGCACCCAAAUGGAUCAACUUAUGUGGCAUAGAGACAUCAUAUAGAUGUACCGAUUCAUCAUCACUAACAGUCACCAAAUAGCUUGAUUUAUGAACUUGUAUAAUCUUUUUUUUUUUCUUUAAGUGUAAUUUCAUCGUAUAGAUGUAGUUUUUUUCCCCCUUCCUUGAAUAAGCUUAUUCACAUCCCAACAAUAGAAUUUUACAUUGAAUAAUGAGUGUGGGUUUUGCAAGUAUUAAGAGUAAUUAUGUCAUAUUGGUUUAGAAUAGAUUGUCUUUAACAGUAAUUCAACUUAUGAGUAUUAUGAGUAAUUUUAUAAUGAAUUAUUUUAUAUAAAUAAAUGUGUUCAUAGCAAUUUUUGAAAGUACAAAUAUCUCCACCCUCAUAUUAAUUACUAGGAAAUGGAUCCGCACUUCGUGCGGCUUUAAAAAAAAAAAUAGUAUUAUCUUUUUUUAUUACUUUAUACUUGAUGAAACUGAUAAAAAAUAUGAAUUUUUUUUUUAAAGAUGAUGCAGUCUUAUAAAACUAAUAUUAUUUAUAAAAGUUAAUUAUUUUUUUGUUAACAUUAAAAAUAACUAUUAUUUAUGAAAGUUAAUUAUUUUUUUGUAAGUGUUGUUGAGUGUUAGAAAAUACAUAUUUAUAAAGGAGAAAACCGUCAUUUUACAUUUCAAGUCUUAUUAACAACCCUUACUUUUAUGUAUUUAACCUUCUUGUGAUUUAAUUACAUGUGUUUUAUUUUAAUUAAGUAUUUUAUGUAUUUUAGGGGCAUUAUAGUCAUUUCACAAUAAAGGAGAGAUCAGAUGGCAAAACGGACAUCACUUUUGAACUCAGGACGGUCGAAAACCUUAGGAGGGGCAUAAAAGGAAAAAUGGCACUAUUCACAUGUACGGUACUAUUCACGUAUACGGUACUGUAUAUGUUACUGUUCACGGCACUGUUCACAUAGACGGAUCGAUGACGUGGCAUUGACCGAUGAUGUGGCAUUGACUGAUGAGGUGUCACGAUACUGUUGGACUAAAAUUCUUAUGUACUGUUGAUGGUGACGUGGCAACAUAUCAGUGGACGAAAAAUCUCGCGUACGGUGCAUGCAUCACACAGGAUUAUUUUCAACCAAACCGCGUUACUGUUCAUCCGGGUCAAACCGUGUUACUGUUCAUCCACGUGGUCAAACCGUGGACUGUUGACUGAUGACGUGGCGCAAUCCUGAGCGUCCAAACUGUUUUUAAUCCGAUGGCCAUGAUUUACUCCAUGUAUCUAUAAAAAGGGGGCCUCCCUCCCCCCCCCUAAUUUGAUAUCUUUGAAUCCAUUUUUGGGAUCCAUUUUCUGUAAUUCCCUCUCCAUCUUGUAUUUUCUUUGUAUUUUAAUAAAUUUCCAUUUUGCCCCUAGUUCAAUUAUGAGUGGCUAAUUUUCUUUCAAGCUUGGGUUGAAGGUGAAGUCUCAACAUGUGUCAUGGGCUUUAUUUGGUAAAUUUAUUUUCUUUUCCCCUCUAGUUUUUGUGGAUGAUUUGAUUUAUCGUCGACAAAUAAUACUGAUCUUGUCUAGAUACCGCCUUGGUUACACCGGCUCUCUAGUAUAAGGUUAUUAUUAUUUGGCACGAUAAGCCCUUAACACCAUAUUGAUUAGAGCGUGGUUCAUGAGGUGUGGAUUCCCCCCUCAUGAUUUAAUUGGCAUUAAUACGGAUUAUUUAGCCCAUGAUGCAUGUUGAUACGGAUCCAGAUACCCAAGUACGUCAUUUCAAUAGAUUUCGCUUCAACUUAUUCUCGCCAUUGCAAUUCCAAUUUUAGAAUUUAUUAUCGCAAUUUCAAUUCCAAUUUUAGGAUAACUUAAAUCACUUCCACCAUAAUUCCAACCACCCAUUUUGCAAAAUUAAUUCUAUACACAAUUAAAAUCCUCCUCCUCAUGGGAUCGACACUCGUCACCAUUGAUCUACACUACAAUAGAUUCGUGCGCUUGCGAGUACAUUAAAAUUUGCACAACAAGUGUAAAGUAAGAAAAUAAAUUAUGUUCACACUAAUCAACUCUCUAUUUUUCUUAGUAUUAACAGACUCCCACAUCUUACAAAGCCUAACCCUUAUCAUCCAACUAUCUUUAUCAUUGUUUAACUCAUGAAGAAAAAAGUAUUCCAUGAAACACACAAUACUAAAAAUUUAAAUAAGUCAAAAAAUAAAAACACAAUAACAUUUCUAAAGAGGAUGUUGGUUAAAUUAUAAAAAAAAACUCAAACAUAACAAAUCUUAAAUGCUUAAUAUUUAUAGAGUUUGAAGAAGCCAAAAGACACUAAAUAAAAGGUUGCAUAAUUAAAUAUGAGAUUAUGACAUUAAAAUUAUGUCCUAGUGGCAUUGGUGAGGAAAGAUGAAGGAACAUUCUUUCCUAUAUUAAUUAGUUGAUGUAUUUUAAACCACUAAAGUAUAGUUGUUGGCUUAAUAAAAUAAAUGAAUGUUUCAAAACUUAUAAUUAAUUUAUUAUUAAUGGUUACAUAUUGUUGAAUUUAAAUAGAAAGAGGAAGAGACAUGUAAUUUUUUGUAAUCUAUUAAUUAUUUUCUAUUUUUAAUAUUUUGUAAUGUAAUUAUUUUUUAAUCUCAACCAAUAUAUUAGAUAAUAGAAAAUAUAAAAAAGAUAAUAAAUAAUAAUGCCACAAAUCUUAACUACUUAAUAUUUAUAGAGUUUGAAGAAGCCAAAAGGCACUAAACAAAAGGUUGCAUAAUUAAAUAUAAGAUUAUAGCAUUAAAAUUAGACCAUAAUGACAUUGUUGAGGGAAGAUGAAGGAACAUUCCUUCCUAUAUUAAUUAAUUGAUAUAUUUAAGCCACUAAAGUUUAAUUGUUGGCAUAACAAAAUAAAUAAAUAUUUCAAGAUUUAUAAUUAAUUAUUAUUAAUGGUUACAUAUUAUUGAAUUUAAAUAGAAAGAGGAAGAGACAUGUAAUCUUUUAUAAUCUAAUAAUUAUUUUUUAUUUUUAAUAUUUUGUAAUGUAAUUUUUUUUUUAAUAUCAACCAAUUUAUUAGAUAAUAGAGAAUACAAGAAGAUGAGAAAUAGUGAUGCCACAUCAGCUUUUCUAGUCUCAACUUUAUAUAUAUAUAGAGAUAUAGAUAGAUAGAUAUAGAUUUUUAAUAUCUUGUAAUGUAAUUAUUUUUUAAUCUCAACCAAUAUAUUAGAUAAUAGAGAAUAAAAAAAGAUGAGAAAUAAUAAUGACACAAAUCUUAAAUAUUUAAUGUUUAUGGAGUUUGAAGAAGCCAAAAGGCACUAAACAAAAGAUUGAAUAAUUAAAUAUGGGAUUAUGACAUUAAAAUUAGGCUCUAAUGGCAUUGUUGAGGAAAGAUGAAGGAACCUUCCUUCCUAUAUUAAUUAAUUGAUGUAUUUUAAACCACUAAAAUUUAAUUGUUGGCAUAAUAAAAUAAAUGAAUGUUUCAAGACUUAUAAUUAAUUAUUAUUAAUGGUUACAUAUUGUUGAAUUUAAAUAGAAAGAGGAAAAGACAUGUAAUCAUUUAUAAGCUAAUAAUUAUUUUCUAUUUUAAUAUUUUAUAAUGUAAUUAUUUUUUUAAUUUCAACCAAUUUAUUAGAUAAUAGAGAAUAUGAAAUGAUGAGAAAUGGUGAUGCCACAUCACUUCUUGUAGUCCCAACUUUAUAUAUAUAUAUAUAUAGAUUGUUAUUGAUAUUAUUAUUUGUGCAUGGUAUAUACACGGAUGGAUCCAGUAUUAGACUAGUUGGGGCACGGGCCCUCGCUGACUUUUGUAAUAUUUUUUAUGAUUAUAAAAAAAUGUAUUUAAUUUAUUAUUUAAAAUAGUGCCCCAAUUGAAAUUAGAAUUAUGAAAGUGUUCCAAUUAACUUCAAAAGAUUUUAUGUUGCCCUUAAUUGAAGUGUCUAAUUUUAGAUGAUUUGAUUCACUAUUAAAACAUUAUGAAACUUAAAUAAAGACAAAAGAUAAUUGAUAUUUUAAACAAAAUAAAAAAUAAUUAAAAACUAAAGAUGUAUACUUUGCUCUUUUUAUUUUUCUGGUCUCUUUCCAAUGCUUUGAAUCAAAACCACUUUCUUUAUUUGUUUGUUAUGGUCGUAGUGUAAUAAUCGAUCAGAGUAAUGCACGUGCAUCAGUGCAUGGAUUUCAUCCCAAUUCCCAUAAAUCAAAAGCACUUUCCUUUAAUUGUUUAGUUUUUCGAUAUUGAUUCUUAAAUUAUAAGUCUAGAUAAUUUUAAUUUUCAAUUAUUCCUAUUAAUCUUUUAUCUGGUUUCCGAAUCUCAAUUUUACUAUCUAUUCAUAUUUUCUCUUCGUGUUGCACUAUAUGAAUAUUUUUGCUAUUCGGUCACAUCAUACAGAUGUACAAAUUCAUUAUCACUAACAGUCACCAAAUAGCUCAACCGUUUUUUAAAAUCAAUUGAACUAAUUCUCCCAUUCUGUUGAAAAAUAAAUUAAUACUAAAUGAUACUCAGUUAAUAAAUGGAUACACUUAAAAUGGAAAUCAUCAAGAAUGUUAGAACCCAUUCAAGUUGAAGAAUUCAAUCCAAAAUCAAACUAAAUUUUAAUAUGAAUCGAACCAAACUGAAUGACUCAGACAAUUUGGUUUCUAACAUGAAAACCAAGCCAAACCUGUGAUUGAAUGACAAAACAGAAACGUAAAGAAGGUAAAAGAUAGAGAAAUAGAAAUUUCUGACAAAAGUAAAGUUUUAAGUAUCUUUUAUAUUAACCCUAAAUAAGUGAAUUUAUCAAAAGAGGCAAAUCCAAAAUAUUUUAAAAUAGUAAAAUAUUAUCAUUGGAAAUAAAGAAAAUAAAAAAUGACACUUAGAUACGAUAUUUGGAAAAAUAAAAAUCAAAAUUUGGAAAGAAACUAAAAAAAUAGGAAAUUAAAUAUCUUUUGCUUGCAAACAUGGCCCAAAACAAUGGGAUUUCAAAAUAAUUCGCUAACUUUUUAUGAUAUUGUGAUAAACCUCCUUAUUCAUCCUUUCAUAAGCUUCUCUAUAUAUAUAUCUCAUUCCUUUGAAAAAAAAUUUAAAAGACGAUGUAUUAAUUUCCUCUCAAAUUGUCAAUCAUUUGAUUUUGACUGAUUUAUUUUAGACCAUUAAUCAAUAUACAAUAAUGUAUCGAUAUAACUAUGGUAUGUUUACUAAUUAGUAAUCGGAAUGAGCCGGAAUCAGAAUGGAGUGGAAUUGGAAUGAACUUUAUUACUAUUGAUGUAUUUACUUUAUCUUGAAAUCAGAAUGAAUUAUCACAAGUUACUAAACCGACCUUAGUUGAUUAUUUCAUUAUUUAUAAUAAUAAUAAUAAUAAUAAUCAUCAUCAUCAUAAUAUGAAUAAUAGUUAUUAUUAUUGUUAUUAUUAUUAUGAUGAUGAUGAUGAUGACGAAAAUUUCAUUGUUGAUGACUUUAGGGAAUGACAUUCUUACUCCCAUCUCCCCCAUAGGAAUGGGAACUCUAGUAAUCAUUCGUAAUUUUAAGUGAGGCCCACUACUUUGAUUCUUAUUCUACCUUUUGUUUAACUAGGUAAAUGUAUCAUUUAUUCAUAUUCCUUGAUUUUCAUUCCCAUUUCCAAUAGGUAAAUACAACACUAAUGUAUACAAUAAUGAAAUCGCAAUAGAUACGAAAUAGGAUAGAAGGGAAUAUUAUUCUUUGAAUAUAAUUUUUCUCUAUAAAUUCAAGGGAGCACUUUCUUUAACAGAUAUAGUUAUUUUUCCUCUGCCUCCAAAUAUUUCACCAAUUUUACUGCAUACAUACUUGCUUCAACAACCAUCACGUGCUUUUAAUUUAUGGGAACUGGAAUAAAAUCCACCUACUGAUGCAUACACAGUUCUCUAAUCGGCUACUGCACUAUCAUCACGACAAACAAAUUAAGAAAGUGCUUUUGAUUCAAAGCACUGAAAGUAGAGUGAAUAUCUUUUGUUUUUAAUUGAUUUUUUUAUUUUAUUUUAAAUAUUUAUCGUCUUUUGUCUUUAUUUAAGAUUCAUAAUGUUUUAAUAGUUAAUGAAAUUAUCUAAAAUUAGACACUUCAACUAAGGGCAAGAUGAAAUCUUUUAAAAUUAAGUGAGGCAGUUUCAUAAUCCUAAUUUCAAUUGGGGCACUUUCUAAAAUAAUAAAUAAAAUACUUUUUUAAUUUAUUUAUAAUCAUCAAAAAAAUGAUUUCAGAAGUCAGGUAGGGCCGUGCCCCAACUAGUCCACUAUUGGAUCCAUCCGUGUAUAUAUGCAUGUCCAAAUAAUAAUAAUAAUAAUAAUGGUAAUUUAUGUGAGAAUGUAGAUAUUUGUAUCUUUAAAAAUUAUUAUGAAUGCUCUUAUUUAAAUAAAAUAAUUCAUUAUAAAAAUAGUUGUAAUACUCAUAAGUUGAAUUACUAGUAAGAAUAAUCUAUUAUAAAACAACAUUACAUAAUUACUCCGAACACUUGUAAAACGCACUCAAUGUAAACUUAUAUUAUUGGGAUGGAAUAAGCCUAUAUACAAGGAAAGCCAAAAUACUAAAAGAAUUAAUGAGCUACAUAGGUGUCUUGAUUGAAUUGACAGCGAGGAUAAACUCAAUUUCAAAAUUGAAUAUGCGUAUCAAAGUAUUAGUGGAUGAGAACAUGCAGAUAAAAACAGAAACUACAAUGAAAUUACUAUAAAAGCAAAUAAAUUAAUUAGGGAAUUAGUUUCUUUUCACCAAUUAGAUAACAAAUUCGAUAUACUUCAAAAGAAAUAAUACUUUAAAGAAUAUGAUCCUAGAUAAACAUAUUAGCAACAUUAUAGAUCACAAACUUUGGAAGUUGAUACACGGAGUUGAGUGCACAACUAUAUAAGGGGUUAAUUUUAUUUAUAUUUGUUAUCAAAUAUAAUUACAAUAAAAUAGAAGUUUUAUGAUAUUAAAGGAGAGCCUAACUCUUUAUUUUUAUCAUUUUAAAGACCUUCCUUCACCUUAUCCGUAUGUUCUUCCAAGUCAUUUUCAGCCGACCACUUUUAAGAUACUUUCACCACUGUUUACCGCCAACACAACAAAGGUCACCGAUUACUUUUAUUUAGGCAGCUGUUACCGGAGCAGCCGGUCGUCCUUUCUCACAUGUGUAACACACACAUGGUCCUCUACUUGUCAUUCCCACAAUUGGUCACUCAAGUCAAUAGCAAGAAGCAAAGAAAUCUGUCAAAAUCACUUCAGCUGCGUCAUGGCUGGAAAAACAAAUAAAUUAAUUAGGGAAUGAGUUUCUUUUAAUCAAUUAAGUAACAAAUUUGAUACUCAAAGGCAAUGUAAUGCACAAAAGAACCAUGAUCGUAGGUAAACAUGUUAACAAUAUUAUGGAACAAAAACUUCAGAAGCAGGUACCCCUCUGAGAUGGCCUCCUCACAUUUCAAACAAUUAUGCAAAUUUUAAAAGAGUGAUUUACACUUAUUCAAACGCCAUUUUCUUAGUUUUUUUUUUAGUACAUGAGACUAUUACUUAUAUUACAUGAGAUUAUAACUAAUAUUUACAAAUCAAAUUAUUAUUAAAAUUAGUUUACAUCAAUUUUUAUGAAGCACUGUCCAGAUUUUUAACCAUCACUAAUAUUGAAGGGAUGUAUACUCUACUCGCACUUGAUAAGAGAGAAGACUGUUUCCACUCAAUUAUACAUUAUAAAUAAGGAAUAAAUUACCCCCACAAUACGUUUGUGGGGUUUCGAACUACUAUCCUCACAUAAGGGCACCAGCCCUAACCUCCCAAGUCCCAACCAAAGGUCGAGUGGCUAAAAACCCAAAAAGUCAGUCAAUUAAGAAACACGUAUACUUAAAACACAAAUCAAGUACACUUUGCAAAUGAAAACAUGCCUGAACGAGACCUUUGCUUCUCUCCCCGACUAUGACACAAAACACCCCCCUCCCAAAAAGAAAAUAACAAAGAAAUAAAUCACAACAAUUAUGCGAGAAAACGACAACGCUUUAAGUAUAAUUUCCACAUAUAUACCAACCAUUUUAUCCUUCUUUUUAUUUUUGUUCUUCAAUUUUUCUCCACUGCAGCCUGAGGAAGAUGAGAAUUUAUUUACAACGAUUAAGCCACAAAUAUUAUUAUACAAAAUAGUGUGCACAAAAUUCUUUUUUGGGUAAAAAAACAAGUCUAGUAUGUAUAAACUAAUGUGACAUAAAGAGAUUGACAGAAAAGGGAUAAUAAUUAUUUUUUAAAUUAUGUGGACUCACAAUAGUUUUCUACAUUUAAUCUCUUUAUGCUACAUCAUUUCGUACAUAUUUGUUUUUUCAAGGUGAUUUUGACUUGUGACUAUCUUGUAUAUCAAAUAGCUUGAUUUCUCUAGUAAUCACACUAGUUUUAUAUUAGUCUCAAAUAGGUCCCUAGCUCCGUUUAAUGAAUUACAUACCCUUAGCCUUAAACACCAAUUCUUAUACCAUCAUAUGUCAUUGCCAAUGGUUCUUUGGUCAUUUAGAAUUAAAUAAGGACCUAAUUACAUGAAUGGACAACUAAAUCAAUACAUUACACCUUAUCACUUGAGCCUUAGACUCCCACUAAAAGGGGUGGACAUUUUGAUUUUAAAUUUUGGGUUAGUCAAAUCAUGAUUCGAGUUGGAAUCCGUUUGGGUUAGAGAAUUUAACCCAAACACAAAACAAACUUUAGCCCGAACCGAAUCAAACCAAAUUAUUCAAAUUGUUUGGUUUCUAAUUUAAAAACUAAACCAAACUUAAUUUUAGGAUCGAUUCGGUCAGAUCAAUCCAAACCGUUUGCCUACCUUAUUGAAUGGAAUAAACUUUUUACUAUUAUAUUAAUAAGAAAAUUAUUAAUCCUGAGUGUAGAUGUUGCUGACUGCCUUGAUAAAUCAUUUGUUCACAUCAAACUGAGGCAUGAGAUAAAUAAAGGUGUAGGAGAUCUAGAGGAAGCUGCAACAUACACAAAAGCAAUAUUAUAUGGAUACGCCAUGCCGAUACGGUGUGUGAAUGAAGAUUCACCAAUGGACUGGGGGAAUGCUAUAGCGAAACAAAUUAGUAGCUGACAAGGAUUAACAUGUCACAGAGUUAAUAGGGGGUUUUGCACAUCUUGAAAGAUCAGGCAAGACCACAAUGUUGAAGCUGGCCUAGCUACUUGAAAGAAACGAGUUACUUACUUCACUUUGGUGGAGUGCAAAUAUACCACCUACACUAUAUAUUGUUGAAAAGUCAAAAUGAGUCUCACAUGCACUGUCAAAUUGCCGAAAAUUUUGGAAGAGUUGGGAGUGUUGGAGUUGGGAUGUUACAGGUAUUUGUCGUAGCAGGAAUUGGAACAUGCAAGGACUCCAUCAAGUUGCCCACCAUCAAAUCAGGUCAAAGCACAAAAUGUACCAACAGAUGGAUAUGCAUGUCCUUUCGUUUGAGAUCUUGUGAGUACAAUGCUCGUAGUCCUCAAUACCAUACACAUAAACAAUGGCCUAUAUAUAAACACUGCUGUGAUUGAAGAAAGGCGGUAUUGUUAUCGCUGACUUUUACCAAUGGCCUUGAUGGACCAUUUCUUCGCAUCAAACUGAGGCAUAAGGGGUAUAAAGCCGAAGUGUAGGAGAGAAAGCCACAACAUAUGUACAAAAACACAAUAUGGAUAGACCUUAUUGAUCAUGAUGAGUUAAUUGAUCUCUCUGUGAAUGAAGAGGAUUCCCGUUAAUGCCACAGCGGAACCAAUUAUUAGGAACCAGGGUGGACAUGUCAAAUAGUUAACAGGGGUUUUAAAUCUUGAAGGGGUACAAGACCACAGUUUUGAAGCUCACCUGGCUGCCUGAAACAAGCGAGUUAGUUAACGACGUUGGUGGAGUUCGACCCUAUAAUUAAUUGACUAAUAUCACAAAGAAAAAGGCAUAUUGAUUAUCAGAAUUCUACAUCCACUUAAGCCAUUCUGAAUAGUGAACUUUUCUUGCAAUGUGAACAUGUUUUGUUUUGUUUUUUUCCUCCCUUUUUCUGAAGGCAUGAGGAUUUGUUCUUAAACCCGACUUAAUCUAAUAAGCUUGCUGCAUGCUAUAGUCAGCGUAGGAUCUGGUGUCUCGACCAUGUGAUCUUUUUCCUCGAGUUGCUUGUGCCUAAAGAUGCAAGUAGCUAUGCGGAUUCCAACCUCUGAAUUCUAAUCAUCCAUGUGUUUUUGUUCUUAGUCACAGCAAUCACGAACAUACACUAAUUUGGUUCAAGAGGUAAGACCACUUGAGAUAGUACGCAAAGCCGUUAAACCCAAAAUUAUUAAGACUUAAGGUGGAUUCAUAUACUUUGAACUAGUCUGCUUUCUAUAUCACAUGGAUUCAAAUUUGAAAUUGGGCCAACCUCUUUUUUUUUUUUUUUUUUUUUUUCAAAAAAGAAAAGAAUUAAUUUUCCCUAUUAAGGUUUUCUCAUUGUUAAUGGAACCGGAGUCUCUGACAAGAGGAAUUUUAAAAUACGUCAGAUGUAAUACAAUCAAUCAAUGCAUCUAUAAUAUGUAUGGUUGAAUUUUAUAUAGCCACCAAUUAUAUGCUAAUUCUUCAAAAUAAUUACACAUAUAUCAUAACAUCAUUUACUUAUUGUAUAACUAAUAUAAUACCUCAGAGAUAUUUUAAAAAUUUUCCAUAGACAACAGUCAAUCAAGGGUAAAUCUUAAAUUACGUCAGAAAAAGUCUUUGAAAAAUAUUGAAGAAAGCAUUUACUUGUAUAAUAAAAAAUGCAUAUGAGGGGACAAAAAGAGUGAAGGUACGAGUUUCACUAUUAUCACAACAUUUAUUACUAUUUCAAACAUAGAAAUGUGAACAAUAAUGUAUUUUGUCGAAUUUUCUCUGUUGGUUAUUAAAAUUACUACGUGUACAUGUGAUGAUUGCUUGCUACUGUGCAAUCCGAUAAUUUGACUUGGAGAAGUAAUCAUAGAAAUGUGAUGAUUACUUGGAGGAGAUUACUCCUAGACUGGCAAUAUUGGUCGUUAGGUUUCUUUGUAGAGCUGACGACAAACUUAUGAAAAUAACGUGACACACUGAUACACAACAACAAUAAUGGCAGUGCCAAUCUAUGCAGUGUACAAAAUGAUAUGGCCAAUUUUAAAAUGUGGAACAAAUGCGGAGACCAAAGAGACUGCAGAAACAGUCCCUGAGACAACAGCAAUAAGACAUCAAAAUUGGGAAGAAUUUUCUCAAUGAAGUCGAGACGUCAGGUCACCUAAAAAUGGAUAACAAUCUAUGGUUGUGACUAUCAGAAAAGACCAUAUGCUCGUUGAGUGUGUUUCAAGCAAGGGCUUUGUUUGGCCUUCCACAUAUGCACCCACAAUGCCGAUGAGAGCCGGAAUCAAAUAUCAAAAAAUGUUGAGAUAUGAGAUCGAGCAGAAGAGAUUUCGCCCACUGCAAAAUCAUUAAAAUGAAUAAUCAUCUUCUGUAUAUCCCAUUUCCUUUGAAAAAGAUUAAAAUUAAAAAGACGCUAUAUUAAGUUCCACUCAAAUUGUCUGUCAAUUAUUUUUUCAACAAAUGCAAUUCUCCUAUAAAAAUUUGACGAAGUGCUUUUCUAGUUUCCUUAACAUAUAUGAAAUAUUUUUCAUCUGUAACCCUGUUUCAUCAAAAUUUUACUAUAUACACGCUUGUUUCAACAACUAUCACCAUCACCCUUUAGUGUUACAUAUUGUUGUUGUCGUUAAUUUUGACAAUUUUGACGAUAAAAUAUAAAUUUACCCUCAUUUGAAUUUUGAAAUGUAAAAUUAUCAUAAAACCAUAACAAUAGUUUCAAAUUCCAGUUGACCUGUGCGGAAAUUAAAAUUUCUUAAAGGUUAGAAAAAAGUAAAAAUGUUUUGUUAUGGAAUCAAAAUAUCCCCUCUACCAUCAUCCAUAAUUAUCUAUUCUUGAUAACAAUCUAAUAAACUUAAAAAAGCAAUACAUCCAAUCCCUGUCAAUCAAACAGCCAAACUUCUUCAUAAAGUUUAGCUUUUACUUCUGAAAAUUCUAAUUCUUGAGACCCUAAAUAAAUGGAUAUUCAAAGUUACAUGUUUCUAGAACGAAAAUCUUCAAUUUAGUCCUUUUAAAUUUUGAAAACAUCAAUUUACAUCUAUUUAUCAGUCAAAAGAUUAGAAUAAAUGGAGGCACAUUGAUGACAAACUUUUUAUCUUAUUAAUGGUAUUUGAUAAAUGUAAAUAAAUUGAAAAUUAUCAUUUUAAGUGGAGGUAAAUUAAAAUUUUUCUCUGUAUUUAUAGUGCUUUAGUAAGAGAAAGAAAGAAAACAGAAAACAAAUCUCUUCAAUAGGAGGCUGAACAAAAUUUUCAGUAGGGACUUAACCAAUUUUUUUCACGGAAAUUUAAUUAGGAGAACAAAAACAAUUUGAAGUGGACCGCAAAUAUUUACUAAAACAUAAUAUACAAAUUUGAGUCAAUAAUGAUAAAGAAAAUGACCAUACACAGAAGGGUUUGGAUUUGGAUGAUAAAGAAUCCAGUGGCAGCUCCGUAUUUGCGCAUAUAUAUAUAUAUAAACCCUGGAUUGAGUUUUCUUUUUAGCGAAUAACGUAGGGAACAGAAAACCUGAUCAAUUUGAAAAAAAAAAGUAAUAAUAAUAAUUAAAUAAAAAAAUUAAAAUGUAACCUCAGCUUGAAACUUGGGAAUGGGAGGAUAAAAGGAAAAGGACAAUAAAAAAUAAAACUCUCACUUUAAGAACAUCUCAACUAUCUCUGCUUAAAAAAAUUAUCUCAUCUCGUGUGUGUGUGUGUGUAGGUAAAACGAGCCUCAUUUUUUAAUUCAAUUUAAUCUCCAAUCGCGAAAAAUUGGUUAAGCUAAAAUGCGGUGCGACCGGGGGGAGUUUCGUCGGAAGGUAAUCGGAUAUUAAAACGAACUCAAUAAGUUAUCAUGAAGCCUAUCGGCAUCAUACUGAAUUACUGAUGCAAAGACAAGCGUUGAAAAUGACUUCUGAGUUUCCAUUUCCCUGUUCCCAUCAAGGGUCAAAGGGCUCCAUUAGCUGCGCGCAAAGGGCCCCAGUGGGAAAUUUAAUCGGUAAGGGGUCCCAGUCAAAAAUGUGAAGGCAUUAAACUAUAGGGGUAAUUUGGGUAUUCGUUUAUUUAAUUUAAUUCGAUUUAAAUUAAAUAAGUUUGAGUUUUAAAAAAAUAAUUUAUUUAAUAAAUGGUGAAUUCGACUUCAUUUUCACUUUUAGGUUAAUCUGUAUUAAUUAUUUUUAUACUUAUUUUAUUCUUUAUUUAUUGUUAUUGAAGUUUGUUCAGUCAUUUAUUUAUAAGUUUUUCUUUUAUGGAUAUAGUUUAAUAAUUUGGUUGAUGAUUAUUGUUAAUCAAUUCUUUUAGGCUCAAUAUUUGAUUCUCUAAUCAUUUAAUUUAGACUUUGAAUUAAGUGUCUAUUUCUUUUUACAGUUCUAAGAGCUGGUUUUGUAGGUUGGACUUGAUCCUUUCAAAACGGUGUUAUUUAUUCAUUCAGUGUACAUGAUUUCUUUAAGAUACUGACAGCCAAAGGGAGAAAAAGAAAAAGAAAAAAUGAUUGCAAUGCAUAUAAAGAUACAAAUUAACGAUGAAAUAAGUAAGGAUAACCAAAAAUAAACAAAAAGUUAAGCAACUUUUCUUGAAUCUAUAGAUAUAUUUUUUUAUCUUCUCAUAUUUUUUACAAAAUUAUUUGAAGAAUUAUUAUAUUUUUUAAUAUAAGAAUUUAUUAAAGUUGAUUAAUUAUUAUGCUCUCUCAUGCAAGCAAGAAUCAUGAAUGAAUAUGUGAUGAUUUGAUUAUUAGGUUUCCAAUAAUAUCCUACAAUAGCUUUUUUUUUUUUUGAUACACUGAUAUAGUACAAUCAGAAUUUUUACUGAUAUUUACAAUAAGAAAUUAGUCGGGACCAUCCUGAAUAAGCCUAUUACAGCACAGCCCGAAGUCAACCCUCACUUAAAAGCUGGAGGUGAUCAAUCCUACCCCAAUGUGGGUAGAUAACUAACCCCUAUUAUAUAGGGGAGUCAAUCCUACAAUAGCUUAUUGAAUUGCAAUACUUGGAUUAAAUCUCUUUAGAACGUUAAUACGUAUUGGCUUUCUCAUCUUGUUGCAGAACUCAGUUAGCAACUUAGACACUAUUUCAUGUUGUUUGUCAAACUUUAUCCCUCUUAUUUUGCCUUGUGUCUUCUUCUUAGUCUAAUAAACUGCAUAUAAUAUUAUCACGUAUGAAUACAAGAAAUAGGAAAACAUAUAUAUAAUAAAAAAUUUUAAUAUUACCAGAAAUGUCUAGAGCACUAGGUAGUGCAACAUAUUUGUCAUUUAUUUGUAUAUAUAUCAACUGUUGGAGAUGUUUGAAAGAAAUAUGAUCCAAGAGCCAUGCUACAAUGUAUUAUAAUUAUAUAAACCAAAUGACUAAACCAACUAUAUAAAUUCUUUAAUUGUUCUCGCAAACAAGAUGAACCACUAGAAAGUCAGCCAUAAGAUGUGCUUACCAUUUGGUUUUUUUUUUUUUUUUCAAAGUGAUUUUGAUACUCUUUUUAUGUUAAAAAUCAACGUUAGUAUAUUAUGUGAUGAUUUUUCAAGUUGGAUUAUUUUAUUAUACUUUGAUUAAUUUUAUUAGUAUCCGAUCAUAUUAUGCAUUGUCGCACAAAAGGUUCUCGUACACAAGUUAUUUUUAAUUUAAAGUUUUUGUUAUUAGAUUUCAAUUUGUAGGACUAAAAUUUGUAAUCACGACUACUUAUUCUUAACAAUGAGAUAAAAAGUUUUCUAAUACAAUAUAUAACUUGCCAUUUGCCAAAAAGGUAAUGGUCACAAGAUAACAAUUUUUCGACUAAAAAUUUUUUCAUCACUGGAUAUCAAUUUACGUGACUAAAAUACGUCAUCAUAGAUGCUUGUUUUAAAUGAUGGUUAAAAAUAGUCAUUAAACUUUUCAGUUAUAAUGUAAAUAGUCGUGAAAAAAAAAUAUUGUUGUUAAAAAUCAUUUAAGACAAUAUUUAAUAUACUUUGCAACAAAAGAAACAGUCACAAAAUAACAUUUUUCGAUUCAAAAUUGUUUUGCCACGAGAUAUCAAUUUAAGUGACUAACCAUUGUAGUCGUGGAUGUUUGCUUCUAAUACCGAGAAAAUAGUCACCUAAAUUUUUCUGAUACGAUGUUACUAGUCAUAAGUGACAACUUGACAAUAAUAUAACGUCGUGAUAGGUAUACUUUAGCGACAAAAACAUAAUGUUGCUAAUUAUAUUUUUGAACCUCUAAAUUGAUGAUUUUGAGUAGCAAUUACUACUAUUUUUACUUACCCUUGAGACAAACCUUUUAGUCACUAUAAAUCACUAAUAGUAACGAAAAUAUAAUGUCACUAAUUGCACUUUUGACUUUUGAACAUCUAAAUUGACCACUUUGAAUAUUAUUCACGAUAUGUUUAAUUUAAAUUUACGACAAAUGGUUUAGCCAUAAAAACAUAUUAUUUUAUGUGACAAAUAAUUUUGGUUGCUAUAACCUAAUGUGACACACUUGGUGUGUUUAAUUGUAAUUUACUUUUUGUUAUUCCUGGAUUUGAAAGACAAUUAAUGGUGCACUUACUAAACGAGAGUUGGAAUGGAGUAGAAUCAGAAUGAAUUAGAAUCGAAAUAAAGAUUGAGAAUCAUAAUAAAUUAUGUAUUUUAUUUGUAAAAAUAAGAUUUGGAAUGAGCUGAAUUGCAAUUGAUGUGUUUAUUUUAUCUUGGAAUUUAAAUAGGAAUGAAUUAGAUUAUUGCAAAUUAAUAAAAAAAAUUUAAUUAACUAUCAUCAUAAUUAUUACUUUUUAUUUUAAUUAUUGUGAUUAUUAUUAUUAUUAAUAAAUAUUGUUAAUGAUAAUUAUUAUUAUUAUUAACAUUAAUAUAAUAAUAAUGGUGAUGAUGAUGAUCAUCAAAAUCAUCAUAAUCAUCAUCAACAAUAUCAUUGUCGGCAUAAUAAUCAUUGUCGGCAUUAGAUUAAAACGCGACGGCUACUGUUGCUGCUUGUGACACAACGGCUGCUCAUGACUACUACUGCUUGUGAUGUGACGACUGGCAACUAGUUGUUGCUCCACAAGCAAUGACCGACAGCGACAAGGGAGCUCAUCCACUGAUUGCGUGUUUUUUUUUUUUUAACUGAGGACAAAGUUGGGAUUGUUGAUUAUGUUGGGGGUAAAAUUGUCACUACUGGAAAUGAGAGACUGAUUCCCACAUUUUCUAUUCCUAAAUUUGUACGGGCUCCAUGAUUUUGAUUUCAAUAUUCAUUAUUUUUAUAAAGUAAAUGUUAUCAAUUAUUUCGAUUCUGGAUUAUGAUUCCCCAAUCUAGAAAUUAAACACACCAUAAGUGUAAUUUAUAUUCUGGCAGUUUCAUGGUCGAAAAAUUUCAGUUCGAUUUGGAAUGCCUAGCCCUCUAAUAUUUCACACACACAUGGUCCUCCACUUGUCAUUUCUACAAUUGGUCACAUGUUUCUAGUCAAUUGCAAGAAGCAAUGUACUCUAGCUAAGUACAUGCAAAGGUCAAAAUCUUAAUCUUAAUUAACUAAGAUUUAAUUUAUUUUAUAUUUUUAUCUAAUAACUAUCAAUUAUUUUUUCAUAAUAAUUAGAAAAAAAAUUAGUUUAGUAUUGAAAUCAAAUCCACAUUAGAGUUGGGAUGUUACAAAUAUUUGUCAUAGCUGGAAGUUGAACAUGCAAAGGCUCCAGCAAGUGCCUACCAUCAAACUAGGUCAAGGUACAAAAUGUACCCGACAGAUGGAUAUGCAUGUCCUUUUGUUUGAGAUCUUGUGAGUACAAUGCUCCUAAUCCUCAAUACCAUAUACAUAAAAAAAUGGCCUAUAUAUAAACGCCGUUGUGAUUGAAGAAAAGCGGUAUUGCUAUUACUGACUCUUGCCAAUGGCCUUGAUGGACCACUUUUUCACAUCAAACUAACGCAUAAGAGGUAGAAAGCCUAGGUGUAGGAGAGAAAGCCACAACACAUAUACAAAAACGCAAUUUGGAUAGACCUUGCCGAUCAUGCUAAGUUAAUUAAUCUGUCUGUGAAUGAAGAAGAUUCACCCUAAUUAAUGCUGAGUAAAUUAUUAGUAACCAGGAUGGACAUGUCAUAUGGUUAAUAGGAGCUUUAAAUCCUGAAACUCACCUGGCUACCUGAAUCAAGUGAGUAAGUUAACCACUUUGGUGGAGUUCGACUAUCUAGUUGACUAAUAUCUCAAAGAAAAGGGUAUGUUGAUUAUCAGAAUUUUACAUUCAGUUAAGCCAUUCUGAACAGAGAACUUUUCUUGCAAUGUGAAUUUGUUUUGUUUUUUUUUUCUCUUUCCUUUUUCUUGAAGGCACGUGAAUUUGUUCUUAAACCCACCUUAAUCUAGAUAAUCUUGCUGGAUGCUAUAGUCAUCACAGGAUCAGGUAUCUCAAUCAUGUGAGAUUUCUCCUUGGGUUGUUUGUGCCUAAAUAUCCAAGUAGCUAUGCCUGUUGUUGCCUCUGAAUUCUGAUCAUCCAUGUGUGUUUUUUCUCAGUCACAGCAAUUGCGAACAUACACUUAGUUAGUUCAAUCAGUAAGAUUUCUUGAGAUUGUACGUAAAAUCGUUAAAUCAAAAUGGUUACGACCUAAGGCGGAUUCAUUUACUUUGAACUAGUCCUCUUUCUAUGUGGAUUACAAUUUGAAAUUAGACGAACCUAUUUUUUCAUUCAGAAAGAAAAAAAAAAUAUUUUUUUCCCUAUUACAGGUUUUCUCAUUGUUGAAGUAACUAGAGUCUCUCACAAGAGAAAAUCUAGAAUACAUCAGAUGUAAUACAACCAAUUAAUGCAUGUAUGAUAUGUGUAGUUGAAUUUUAUAUAAUCAUCAAUUACAUGUUGAUUCUCAAAGUAAUUGCACAUAUGUUAAAACAUCAUUUACUUGUUGUACAUUAGAUAUAAUACAACCAAUUAAUGCAUGUAUGAUAAGUGUAGUUGAAUUUUAUAUAACCACCUAUUACAUGUUGAUUCUCAAAGUAAUUGCACAUAUGUCAUAACAUCAUUUGCUUGUUAUAUGACUGACAUAGUACCUCAGAGAUAUUUCAGAAUUUUUCCGCUAACAAUACUCAAUCAAUGGUAAAGUUUAAAUUAUGUCAGAAAAAACAUUUGCACAAUUAUUGCUAUUUCAUACAUAGAAAUGUGAAGAGUACUAUAUUUUAUGGAAUUUUCUCCGUUAAUUCUUAAAAUUACUACGUGUACAUGUGAUGAUUGCUUGCUACUGUGUAAGGUGAAACAUUUAAUUUGAAGAAGAUUAAUUCCUUCGAGACUGGUAUUCUAGGUCGUUGCUGCCCUGUCGAGGAAUUCUUAUUAGCUUGAAACCUAUCGCAAAUGUCAAUGCAAAAUGGCUUCAAGGUUUUGUUGUAGAGCUGACGACAAGCUUCUAAAAACAACAUACCAUAUUGGUACACAACUACAAUAAUGGUAGUCCCAAUCCAUGCAGUGUACAAAAUGAUAUGGUCAAUAUUAGAACGUUGAACAAAUGUAAAGACCAAAGAGAUUGCAGAAAUAGAUCCUAAGACAACAGCAACAAGGCUCCACAACUGGGAAGAAUUUUCUCCAUGAAGUCGAGAUCUCAGGUCAUCUGAAUGUGCAUAGUAAUAGAAGACUGUGGCUAUCUGAAAAGACCAUAUGUCCGUUGAAUGUGUUUCAAGCAAGGGCUUAGUUUGGUCUUGCAUAUUUGCACCCACAAUGCCAAUGAGAGCCGGAAUGAGAUAUCCAAAAAUAUUGGCAUAUGACAUGGAGCAGAAGAGAUUUUACCCACUGCAAAAUAAAAAAAAUGCAUGAUUAACCAUCUUAUGUAUAUCCCAUUUCCUUUGAAAAAAAAUAAAUGAAACUUAAAAAGACCUUGUAUUAAUUUCCAGUCAAAUUGUCUAUCAAUUAAUUAUUUGCUUUUGACAAAUGCAAUUCUCAUCUAAAAAUUUGAGGGAGCGCUUUUCUAUUUUCAUUAACACAUACGAGAUAUUUUUCAUUUGCGUCCAAAUGUUUCAUCAAAUUUUAUUGUGUGCACCUCUGUUUCAACAACUCUUACGGCUCACCGUUUCUGUUAAAAAAUAUUGUUGCCGUUAAUUUUGACAAUUUUGAUGUUAAAAGACAAUUUUACCAGUCAUUGGAAUUAGGUGUAAAAUUACCAGAAAACCACAGCACUUGUUUCAAAUUCCAAUUUUGACCUAUGUGGAUAUUAAAAUUUCUUAAAGGUUUGAAAAAAAAAAAGAAGUGUAAAAAUGUUUUCUUAUGGGAAUCCAAACAUCCCCUCUACCAUCAUCCAUAAUCAUAUAUUCUUGAUAAUGAUCUAAUAAACUUGAAAAAGCAGGAAAUCCAAUCCGAAUCAAUAAAACAAUCAAAUUUCUUCAUAAAGUUUAGCUCUUGCUUUUGAAAAUUCCAAUUCUUGAGACUCUAAAUAAACCGAUAUUCAAAAUUACAUAUUUCUAGAAUGAAAAAUCUCCAAUUUAUCCCUUUAAAUUUUUUAAAACAUCUUUAAAUUUUUGAAAACAUCUAUUUGCCUCUAUUUAUCAGUCAAAAGAUUAGGAUAAAUGGAAGCGCGUUGAUGACUAACUUUUUAUCUGCUUAAUGGUAUUUGAUAAAUAUAGCUAAAUUGGGGUAAGUUGAAAUUUUAUUCUACAUUUAGAGUGCUUUAAUAAGAGAAAGAAAGAAAGCAGCAAACCUGGUCUAUUUAAAUAAUAAUAAUAAUAUUAUUAAAUAAAUAAAUAAAAUUAACAUGCAAACUCAGCUUGAAACUUGGGAGAAAAAAAUAUGUGAAUUUUAUUACAUGCUGAUUCUUCAAAUUAAAAUGUAAACACACUCAAUAAACAUUAGACAUAAUACAACUAAUUAAUGCAUGUAUGAUAUGUAUCAUUGAAUUUUAUGACAUGCUGAUUCUUCAAAUUAAUUGCACACAUAUUAAAACAUCAUGUGUUUGUUGUAUGAUGGACAUAGUAUCUAAAGAUAUUUUAGAAUUUUUCCUCUGAUAAUGCUCAAUCAAAUUAAGGGUAAAGGUUAAAUUAUGUUAGAAAAAGUCUUUGAAUAAUAUUGAACAAAGCAUUUACUUGUAUACUAAAAGAAUGCAUAUGAGGGGCCAAAAAGAGUGAAGAUAUGAGUUUGACUAUUAUCACAUCAAUUAUUACUAUUUCAAACAUAGAAAGAUGAAACUAACAUAUUUUGUGGAAUUUCCUCCGUUACUUACUUAAAAUUACUAGGUUACAUGUGAUGAUUGCUUGUUAUUGUCUAAGGUGAAACAUUUAAUUUGAAAAAGAUUAGUUCCUUCUAGAUUGGUAGUACUGAUUGUUGCUGCCCUGUCGAGGAAGUAUUAUUAGCUUGAAACCUAUUGCAAAUGUCAAUGCACAAUGGCUUCAAGGUUUCGAUAUAGAGCUGAUGACAAGCUUCUGAAAACAAUGUCCUAUAUUGAUACACAACAAUAAUGACAGUGCCAAUCCACGCAGCGCACAAAAUGAUAUGGCCAGUAUUAGAAUGUGGAAAAAAGGUGGAGAUCAAAGAGAUUGCAGAAGUAGAUCCUGAGACAACAGCAACAAGGCACCAGAACUGGGAAGAAUUUUCUCGACGAAGUCGAGACUUGAGGUCCGCUGAAUAUGCAUAACAAUAUAUGGCUAUGGCAAUGAGAAAAGACCAUAUAUUUAUUGAGUGUGUUUCAAGCAAGGGCUUAGCUUGGCUGGCUUGCGCAUUUGCACCCACAAUGCCGAUGAGAGCCGGAAUGAGAUAUCCAAAAAUAUUGGGAUAUGACAUCGAGUAGAAGAAAUUUCGCCCACUGCAAAUCAUUAAAAUGCAUGAUUAACCAUCUUCUAUAUAUCCCAUUUCCUUUGAAAAAAAAAAUAAAUAAAACUUAAAAAUACCUUUAUUAAUUUCCACUCAAAUUGUCUAUCAAUUAAUUAUUUGCUUUUACCUGAUGCAAUUCUCCUCUAAAAAUUUGAGAGAGCACUUUUUUUUUUUUAUUAACACGUGUAUGAGAUAUUUUUCAUCUGCGCCCAAAUGUUUCAUCAGAUUUUAUUAUGCGCAGACUUGUUUCAAUAACUCUCACGGCUCACCCUUUUUGUUAAAUAUUGUUGUUGCCGUUAGUUUUGACGAUUAGUGUAAAAUUAUCAGAAAACCACAACACUUGUUUCAAAUUCUAAUUUUGCCCUACGUGGAAAUUAAAAUUUCUUAAAGGUUAAAAAAAAGAGUAAAAAUGUUUUCUUAUGGGAAUCAAAAUAUCCCCUCUACCAUCAUCCAUAAUCAUCUAUUCUUGAUAUUAAUCUAAUAAACCAAUAUUCAAAAUUCCAUGUUUCUAGAAUGAAAAAUCUUCAAUUUAUCCCUUUAAAUUUUUGAAAACAUCUAUUUACCUCUAUUUAUCAGUCAAAAGAUUAGAAUAAAUAGAAGUGCGUUGAUGACUAACUUUUUAUUUGCUUAAUGGUAUUUGAUAAAUGUAGAUAAAUUGGGGUAAAUUGAAAAUUUAUUCCACAUUUAGAGUGCUUUAAUAAGGGAAAGAAAGAAAACAGAAAACAAAUCUCUUCGAUACAAGGCUUAACAAAAUUUUCAGCUUGGACCUAACCAAAUUUUUUUCACGCAAAUUAAAUUAGGAGAACAAAAACAAUUUGAAAUGGACUGAAUAUGUAUACUAAAAAAUAAUAUACAGCUUGAGUCAAUAAUGGCAAAGAAAAUGACCAUACACCGAAAGGUUUGGAUCUGGAUGAUGCAGAAUGCAGUGGCAGCUUUGCAUUUGCAUUUAUAUACCUCGCCAAACCCUGGAUUGGGUUUUCUUUUUCACGGCAAAUAAGGCGGGGACAAGCAAACCUGAUCGAUUUUAGAACAAAAAUAAAUAAAUAAAUAAAAGUAAAAUGUAAACUCGGCUUGAAAGCUUGGAGAAAAAAAUAACAAUAACAAAGUAAAAAAAAUCACUUACUUUAAGAACAUCUCAAUUAUCUCGUGGAUUGGGUAUUUAUACGGGCAAAAUGAGGGUCAAUUGAACCCCAAUUUAAUCCCGAUUCCGGAACACGUUUGGUCAAGCUCAAGUGCGGCCGAAUGGGGAGGGUUUCCUAGAAAGGUAGCAAGGUAGUCCCCCUUAGAAAGUGAAAAUGAAGCCUAUCCACAAUCAUACGGAUGCAACACAAGGUAGAUUUUUUUUUGUUUUUUGUUUUGGUUAGAUGUAGAAAAUUAUUAAAGAGGUCCCAUCAAGUUCAGCGGGCAAGGGCCCCUCGGUAGCUACACGUGAAGAGGGGCCCCCCGGCGCCCCGGCGGGGAAAUUUAAGUGGUACGGUCCCAAUUAAAAUGUGAUUAACUUAUCAAAUAUCAAGAUCUUUUCCAAUAAGGACAUUAGUUUUGCAUUCGUUCGUCUCAAAUAGGUCCCUAACCUUGUAUGACGACUAAGAUACCCUUAACCGUUAUAUGACUUACACACUUGCUGUUUUGUUCUGCAAAGGAGGACACCACCCGUUACCUCAAAGCCUUUGAGCUCAGUCUGAGGGCACAUAAAAGGUCGCUUGAAGACCAAGCGGAGUUGAUGUGAGUGUUGCGUUGCCGCAUGGCUAAGAAUAAGAAAUUUCGCCGUCAAAAUGAAACGUAUCCUGUAAUAUAUAAUAUUCAUUUAUCAGUGAAGUAAAUAUAUAGAAGGUUUACGGAGUUGCAUUAUAUGUAUAUUUAGCUAUUAUCAAAUGUCAACAGUAAUCAUUGGUAUUAAUUCUUGUAAAAUUAAGUUCUUAUCCACUUUCCCAAAAAAAAAAAAAAAAAUCUUAUUCAUUAUUCAAAAGCUUCGGAGUGCAUUUGGUGUUAGUUUUAUUCAUAUGUGAGAGUACAUCUUGCAUAUUAAACAAAUAAGUAAUGAUAUAGCUACAAACUCUUGUACAAACUUAUUUUGUACACUCUUGUACAAAUUUAUUUUGUACAAACUGAUGUGAUAUGAUAAUAUUGGUUGAAUUAAAUAUCACUUGGCCCACAUGAUUUAUUUUUAUUAUUUUAUAUUUUCAUUCAACCAAUGAAUUAAUAUCACGUUAGUUUGUACAAGAGUUUGUGGUUGUAUCAUCACUCUAAACAAAUUGUUAUUUAGUCCCGCCCUUAUUUGAUCAGAGUGGACCGCGGUGGUUUUUUAACUCCGAAUAUUUAAGCACAAAUCAUUUUUAAAUAGUGAUUUACGAAUAUGAAUGGAAUUAAUUCUUCCAUACUGUUCAUGUUCUUAGGAUAAUUGUGGAAUUAGUUCAAAGAAAGCAAAAUUUUCUAAUUCACAAAUUUUGCAUUUUAUUAAAGGUUGGGAUAGUAUUUACAACAUUGUAAACUGACUUUCAUAUAACAACGUUAUAAAACGGUAAAAACGAUAGUUUACAAUGUUAUAAAACAAUGAAAAAAAAAAAUUGUUUACAAUGUUGUAAACACAUCCUGCACUUUAAUAGCACGAGAUUUUUAGACCGGAAGCAGACACUUCAAAAAGUAAUGAUUUUUAUUUAUUUUUUUCUGAAAAAGGAUACCGACAACUCUUGAUUUAAAAAAUGAUCACAUAAAUUAAUCUUUUAGGAUAAUAUCACCUUUGAUUGCAAUAACCCAACUGUAUUUCAUCUGAUCAUAUAUAAUUAUAAAAAAUAUAUAUAUAAAGGUUGUUUUCCCUUUGACUGCUAAUCACACGAGCCUCGUUGAUCUUUUGCUGGAAUGAUGACCAGAGGAUGGUAUUUUUGCCUUAUUUGUGCUUCUGGGUGAAGCAAAAUAUUGGUAGCAGGCUUUCGCUUAUACGUCUGAUGUGUAGCAGCCAUACACACUGUUGUGAUUGUAGAAAAGAGGGUAUCGCUAAUCCCUGUGGCAUUCGAUGACUAUUAUUAUCAAAACAAGUAUAAAAUUUGACGAAAAUAUCGCAACAAUUAUUACCUUAAAUAAAAUUUAACGAAAAUAUAUAUCAUUGGUAUUCUAAAUAUAGAAAUCCGAACAUAAUAGAAAUAUUUUAAUCCAGAAUCACAGAUUUAUUUAAGUCUGGAAAAGUUAUGAUUUGAUAGCAUAAUAGUCAGAAAGGCUCUUAAAGUAUAAUAUUUUAAUAAUAUAAUGACAUUAUAUUAUAAAAUUAUACGUCUUAAUAAUUUUUUAAAAUUAUAAUAAAAUUUAAAAUCUUAGAUUAAAUUAGUGCACGAACACAAAUAUAAUAUAAUUAAAUAUAUAUGUUUACGGAAUUUCUCCACUACAUUUCUUUUGUUGUUGUUCCUUAUCACUAGAGCUAUAACUUGACAUAGCCGCAAUGUUUAAAAUUAGUACACGCACCACGUGAUGAUUGUUACUAGCAGGUGAAACAUUUAAAGAAGAGUUAUUAGCUUGAACCUGUUGCAAAUGUCAGAGCAAAAAGGCUUUAAUGUUUCAUGGUGGAGCCGAUGACAGGCAUAAAUAACAAUGUGGGAUAUUGAUACACGAGCAACACGACAAUGGUAAUAGCAAAGCAAAUCCAUUAAGUGUGCAAAAUGAUGUGACCGCUGACCAGUAUUUGACCAAUAUUAAUAUCAGAGCGUUGGCUGUCGAGACCAAAGAGAGUGCAGAAACAGGCCCCAGCCCCCAAAAUCAGGAAGAAACUUUUCGAUGAAGUUGAGACCUCAGUGCCAGCCAAACAUGCAUAUAAAAUAUGGGUCCUUCUAUCUUACGUGCAUGUAAGAUACAUUUCUCUCACAUGAAUAGUGUGUGGGUCCCACACAUGUACUAUGCAUGUGAGGGGGAUGUAUCUUACAUGCAUGUAAGAUAGGGUUUGCCAUAAAAUAUAUUUUUCUCGCAUGAACAAUAUAUGUAUAGGAUUCAUACAUUGUUUAUGUGAAGAGAAUGUAUUUUACGUUCAUGUAAGAUAGGAGAAUUCAUUUACUAAAUGUGUUUCAAGUAAGCACUUAGUUUUAUCUUACAUAUUUGUAGUGUCGCAUUCAGAAUUAAAGCCUAAUAGCAGUAAAUAUAAUUUCUUUUAAAAAAAUUUUAUUUUCCUAAAAUGUUUUAAAAUAAUUUUGGAUAUAACAUACUCAUUUAAAAUGAUUUUAAUGAUGAUGAUUUAAUUUUCAGUAUAUAAUCUUAUAAAUUACUUAAAGUCGGUGGAGUAAAUUAAAAAUUUUAUUAGGACAAAAAAAAUUUAUUGAAUUUUAGAAAAUAUUUUUUGAAAAAAGAUUAAGACUUACGGGGACAACUGCCACAGCUUGUCUUUACGUGACUCCACCAGUACCGAUAUUUGCACCCACAAUGCCGAUUGGAGCUGCAAUGAGAUAUCCAAAAAUACUAAGGUAUGUGAAUAAAGAAAUCAUCUUAGACCCACUAGUCCUUUGAACUAAAACCACCAACCCACAUCAUUUUGACAACUCUUAACCGUUUAACGGGCAUAUCAAACAACAUGCGAAGAAGAAGGAUUUAGAAUAAAUAAAUAAAUACAAAGUUUUGCUUUUUUUUGCUACAAGAGAAGAAAAUUUGAAUUAGCUAUUUGGAAGAGAUAGGCAUGCUCAAACUAAAAUUUUCCCUUGGGUAUUAAUCAAUGGUCAUAACCCGGAUUUGAAAUGGUAAUUUAAUUUCGCUGUUACCCAGAUUUGAAAGACAGUAUUAAGUGCAAUUUAUGUUUCAGCAGUUUAUGGUCGAAAAUGUAAGUGAAGUCGUUAACAGAUGGCCUAUUAUUAAGAUUUCUCUUUAUCUAAAUUCUCUUGAAGUUUUAAGAUGCGUACUGUAGUAGUAAGGUAUGGAUAAAAUUUAAGUUUUUAAUUUUUUUUUUAUGUAUUAACCACCAAUCAACGUAUGAAUUUAAGAAAUUUAGAUCAGAAGAGGAUCUCAUCCUUUUGUAUUGAGAUGUUAUAAUUUUAAAAACUGAAAAUAAACUAUAAUUAUAAAAUAAAAAUUGAUAUUUUAAUAAUUUUGACAGAAAAGUAAAAAUAUUAUAGAUUUUUUAUUAUAUAUGUAGUAAAUUAAAUCAACUUAAUUUUUAAACCACAAUUAUUAUUAUCUACCAAAUAUUUAGGGCUAUAGCUAACCUUAAUACUAAAUGGGGGCGUUCGGCUCCCACGAUUAAUCUGUUGAGGCUGCAUUGGUUGGAAUGUACGAUGAGGAUGGCAUUUUUUGUCUUAUUCGUGCUUCAUAAAUCAUAAUAAAGCCGAUUAUUCGUGGCAGACAUUUGAUUAAUAUCUCCUCGCGGUUUCAUAUGGAAAAUUGGGAUGUUACUAGCGUUGUGUUGUCUUAAUAUUUCCUGUAGUUUUUGCAACCCAGUACGCCACCUGUCAUCUUGUUCAUCUGUAUAUGGUCUCGGUAAUCUUAGCUCUUGAAUCACGAUGGAGAUUUUUUCAAAGUAAAAUGCAGCAUUUUCUUUUGUGUUAGAGUGAAUUUCUAUUGAGAUGGAAAACAUGCGCCACAACACAUAUGCAUCAAAAGUCUUCUUUCUUAUCCUCAAGACUGCUCAUUUGAUCAUUUCACCACUAAGAAUAUACGUGGCCUUUUCAUAUAUGCUCGUUGGUAAAGAAGUUCAAUGAAUGACUAUAAUUAUAUUGUAAUCAUGAUCAAAUAAAUCUCAAAUGCAGGUCAAAUUAAUGCUUAGAAGUUGGUGCAUUUUCAUGCAUUGCAAUCAAAAGGGGAUGAAAUGAAAUUGGUGCUUAAUGAGUGGAAAUCGGUCUAAGCCAUUAUUUACGUUGUGUUGUCUUAAUAUUUCCUGUAGUUUUUGCAACCCAGUACGCCACCUGUCAUCUUGUUUGGAUUGCCAGUGACUUGGUUUCAGGUACAAUUUGUCCGCAACAGCAAAUUAAAUAAAAUAAAGUAAUAAAUAAUAAAUAGAUUAAUUCGAACAAAUUUAAAUUUUUAUAAAUAUAUUUUUCGUAUUUCAAGGAUUAAAUACCUCUCGAGUUUUUUUUUAUACACUUAUAUAUUACAAUAUUGAUAUUUACAAUCAGAAAUUUAUCAAAAUUUAUCUGAGUAAUUCUAUUAUAGCACAACCCAAAUAUCAAUCCUCACUAAACUGGAAGGAGAUUUGUCUUCACUAUUAUUAAAGGGAAAUCGAUCUUAUUCCUACCCCAAUGUUGGGAGUCAGUUAACUCCCAUUAUAUAGGAAAACAAGUUCCAACGAUGACACUGCGCUAGGACUUGAAUUCAUACCCUCAAAGUUGAUGAGGGCAUGGGCACACCAAUGGGCUACAAGCCCAUUGGCAAAUACCUCUCUAGUUGAUAAAUCAUAUUCCAGAUUGAGUAAUGAUACAGCCACAAACUCUUGUACAAACUUAUUUUGUACAAACUGACGUGGCAUUAAUUCAUUGGUUGAAUGAAAAUAUAAAAUAAUAAAAAUAAAUCAUGUAGGCCAAGUGAUAUUUAAUUCAACCAAUCUUAUCAUGCCACAUCAGUUUGUACAAAAUAAGUUUGUACAAGAGUUUGUGGCUAUAUCAUUACUCUUCCAGAUUUUUAUUAUUAUAGUUGAUGCUAGUUAGUCCACAUAUAAAACUUAAAAAUAAAGAACAGGAAUAAAAACUAGACACCAUUAAUAUAAACUAAAACAAAUAAUUGGUUCACUAACCAACCACAAGUUUACUAAGUCCAAGUACACGUUAAUCACGACCAAUAGGAUGAAUACAGUUUAAAACAAAUAAAAAUAUAGAAUUAGGGAUCGUAACACUCCGUCGCCGUCCAACCAUAAUGGCCACUUCAAGGCCAAAGGUUUUGCGUGUGUGCAUACUUCUUGACUUUUUCAUUGGUGCAUUAAAUUUUGUUUUGUAUUCCGAAAUCAAGCAUGCAUGCAUGCUCCUUGGCUCUUUUCAUAUUCCACAAGGAUGCAUUAAUUUAUUUUUAUUUUUUUUGUCUGUUUGUGCGCCAUGGGUUACCAAUUAAGAUCAUGAUUCUUUUCUAAUCUAAUUAUUUCCUGAGCACAUAACGCAAUCACUGAUUGAGUGUUAAUAAAUAAAAAAGUAAAAAAAAGUUAAAUAAUAGUGUGAGGAAAUAAGUUGCUGAUAUAUUGGGUUUAAAUGCAAGAUAUGAAGAAUUCUUGGGGCCAUUUGCAGAUCGACUUCAGUGGGAGGGGUCUUGUUGCAAAUUUAUGCUGAUGUGGCAGAAUUCGUUAAGAGUUCGUUAUGCCCUUUCCAGAUAUAUCAGAAUAAAAGGCACUUGUGACUAGCCUCUGAUAUCAGAUCGAUAUCUUCUUCAUUUCAUGUUCAUUUUGCUUGCAAUUUGGUUCUUUGUGAUCCUUGUAAUUUCUUUUUGUUGAUCAAUCUGUAAUUCGAUUGUUGAGAUCAAUAAAAGAGCAGUUUUUUCCUUCAUCAGUUUGUGUACUUGAAACUGUGCUCUGACUCUGAUUCUUGUGAUUGCUUUCUUGUUUGAUUAAUCUGGUCUGUUUCUUUCAAGUCCGAUUCAUCAAAGUUCUUCACGAAAUAACUUGUGUAUCUAUUAAAGGUUGUAACAAAUAGAAUGGUGCAACAAAAGUACAAGAGCUGAUUCACUAAGGCUACAUAUAACCAGAGAAUAUGGUCAAUAAACUGAAAUAACCAACUGUUCUUGAAUCAAGUCCCUCCCCAGGGUUCUCAAGGGAAAAACCAAUGAAGUUUGUCAGGACAGAAAUCCAUCAGCUGCAGUGACCCAGUGGUUCAACGGUGGUUCAUUCCAUCAUUUACAUGUAUAACAGAUUAUCUUCCGGUCUUGGCGCGUUUCAUUCCAGCACUGUUGAAGGGCCACAUGCUAGGACUCAUACUCGGACUCAUGCAUGGACUUUCUUCUCUUAGAGUACCAUUCAACGUAGCAAAUUCACGCAGUUGUUGCUUCUCGUAAUGAUCCAAGGAUUCAUCCUGCAUACAGAGAUUAGUUUGAACAAGCGGGAAUUAGGAGAGAUGCUGAAGGAAAGAAUAUCGACAAAGUUCAGAGAAAAUACAAGAGUUUUUUUUUUGUUCAUACCACGGGCUUCAAAAGGUUCUCUAGUAUCGCUGCAGCAUGAUCCAAGCGGGAAUUUAUUAUAUCCUCUGGAAAUUCGGCCUCCCCUAACACGUGCAGUGGCUCAUUAAGAUGCUCAUAUCCAGGUUUAUCUUUAAUUUUUUCUUCCUAAAGAACCAAAAGGUAAAGAAUUAUCAAGAGAAACCAAGAUGGUAUAAUAAUGUAAGGCAACAUCGAACAUUAGGAAAUACGAAGAAAUGGUUUGCUAAUGCAAGACGCACUCUCCCAUUUGUAGAACACAAAGAACAUGAAAUGAGUCUUGAUUUCCACUUAAUAGAUAAACUAGUAAUAAUAUAAAUUCAUUUCCAGUACAUCAUAGAACUACAUCAUGCAUGAUCAUUAGCAAAUGUAGUCAUACCAUGACCAAUAUCAGUAUUAAACUAAAAAUUAAAGCAUCUGAUAGAUUGUUAUAUAAAACCGGGACAAUUACAGUGCUAAUCAAAUAACCCGAAUUGUAGAUUCCCUAGCCCAACAAACAUAACAAAAAAUUUUGAAAUACAAUUUUUUUUUUAAUCAGAGAUGCACAUUGGCAGCGGAUAAAAUUGAGCAUGCAAGAGCUAAUGCUGUCCUGCAAGUUAACAUGGUCCUCCUUUAGCAAGGUUCAGAUGGGAAGGACCAUAGUAAAAAUAAGAGGAAAUACUUUACUUCAUCUAUAAAUCCUACAAUUUAGUUGCAAGUAAAAUAACUCCAAUCUAAAACAUCAAAUGCAUAAGAUUCACAAGGCAAAAGCAGCUUUAGCUAUUAAAAUUUCACAUUCUCAUGCUUUAAGUGUUCAAACCCACUUUAGCUUGAUUAGAUUGAAUCAGAAACUUAUUCCAAAAUGCACAGCUUCACCACAUUAUGAUAGAUCAGGCCUUUAAAGAAUCCUUGACUGAACCCCGUCCUCUAAUGAACACGCUACAUUCUGUCAUGGCUUCAACUCUUUUUGAGGGAGUUCCCAUGCGGUCCCAAAAUCCGGCCAACAAAAUUAAACUGCUGUGUGUUUAAGUUAGAAACUAUUAUUAUAAGGAAUUUAAAUAUAUCAAUAUAACUACCUUUUAAAUUGGAAAGCAAAGUUUAAACUUACAUUUGGAUAUUUAUCUACGGUAACAUCAAGUCUAAAAGAAAACUUGAGCUGUUUGUUUUUAAAGGAAAAGUUGCAGAGAAAAUUUUUAUUUCAUUGAAUCUUAACAAUUCACAAAAGUCAUUUACAACUUAAUCAAUCACAGCUUAUAUACACACGAGUUAGUUAAUUUUUAUCUGUUCUGCACUAGGAAUGUACUGAAUUUGCAGUUCUCCAGCAAUCACUUUGUCUCUAAUGAAGUGUAAGUCAAUUUCAAUAUGUUUAGUCCUUGAAUGGAUAACUGGAUUGCGAGCUAACUCAGUGGCACUGAUGUUGUCACACCAGACACUAGGAGUUUCUGUACAGCUUAAACCAAUUUCAGAAAACAGAGAUUGUAACCAGCUUAUCUCUGCACUAGCUGAAGCUAAGGCUCUAUAUUCACUUUCAGCACUUGAUCUGGCAAUGACUGACUGUUUUUUAGAUGACCAUGAUAUUAGAUUGUUUCCCAAGUAAAUGCAGUAAGCACCCACAGACUUUCUGUCAUCAAGAUCACCAGCCCAAUCUGCAUCAGUGAAUCCUGUGAUCUUCAUCUCUCCAUGCUGAGCAAAUUUAAGUCCAUAAUCUUGAGUAGACUUCAAGUAUCUGAGCACUCUCUUACAUGCUACCAAGUGCUGCAAUGUAGGAGUGGAAACAUACUGGCUUAACUUGUUGACAGCAAAUGCAAUUUCUGGUCUUGUUAGGAUCAGAUACUGCAUUCCCCCCACAAUGCUUCUAUAAUGUGUAGGAUCAGUGAUAUACUGACCAAGAUGACCUGAAGUUUCCUUUUGUAGCUUUAUCCCAGUGCUCAUAGGUGUAUCAAUUCCUUUGCAUUCAAGUAGCUGAACUUUGGAUAAUAAGUCUCUUAUGUAUUUCCUUUGUGACAGAUAGAUACAACCUGCAUCAUACAAAACUUCAAUGCCCAGAAAAUAAGACAAACUACCCAAAUCUUUCAAGGCAAAGACUCUGCUCAGUUCAGUUAUAAAGGCUUCCAAUGCUGCACUAUCUGGUCCUGUGAUUAAGAUAUCAUCUACAUAAAUCAACACCAUUAUCAUGAAGUUGCUUGUUUUCUUUAUGAAUAAGGAAGAGUCUGCUCUUGAAUUGACAAAAUCCCACUGUAACAAGCAACUUUUUAACUUCUCAUACCAGGCCCUUGGAGCUUGUUUAAGACCAUAGAGAGACUUGUGGAGUUUGCAUACAAAUUCUGGUUUCUGAUUAUUGACAAAGCCUGCUGGUUGAUCCAUAAACACCUCUUCUGUCAGCUCUCCAUUAAGAAAAGCAUUAUUUACAUCGACUUGCCUUAUCUCCCAUUGUUUCAUGACAGCUAGACUAAUCACCACUCUGACAGUAGCUGACUUUACUACAGGGCUAAAUGUCUCAAAGUAAUUAACCCCUUCAAUCUGCUGAAACCCCUUAGCUACUAGUCUGGCUUUAUACUUGGCCAAACUUCCAUCUGAAUUUUGUUUGACUCUAAAUACCCACUUGUUGCCAACAAUUUUCUGACCAGCUGAUCUAGGAACCAGAGACCAUGUUUUGUUAUCCAUUAGAGCAUUGUACUCAUCCUUCAUGGCUGCAAACCAUUUAGGAUUCUCCAUAGCUUCUUUGACAGAUUCUGGUUCUUUAUGAGCAAGUGUGACAUUGUAGAGUUUUGGCUUAAAAAUCCCAGCUUUGCUUCUAGUGAUCAUGGAAUGUGAGUUUACUGGUGUAGUAAUGUGUUGUGUAUGUUCUGGGGAUGAGAUAGAUGGAAUAGUGUUUAGUGAUAUUUGAUUAUAAGGAGAUAUUUGAUCAUGAGGAGAAGUACAAGGCUCUGGCUCUGUAUGUGGUUGAACUGUUUGUGAUAAAGAGUGAGGAUCAAUGUUGUAUGCAGAAUUACCUGAGUGAUGAGAAGUGCUACUGGUAGGUCUUGCAGAAUCAUGAUUAUAGUAGUUGCUGUCAUCUGAUAUUGGAGAUAUUAACAAGGUGGAUAGAUGAUACACUUGUUGAGGAGUAAAUGGUAGGUUUGAACAUGAAUUUGAUGAGUUUGAAGUGAAAGCAGAAUCUGAUGAGUAAGGAAACAAAUUCUCAUAAAAAAUAACAUGUCUAGCUAUAUAGGUUUGACCAGAUGGAUGUAAACACUUGUACCCUUUAUGAGAAGGGUUGUAACCUAUGAAAAUACAUUUACUAGAAUGAUAUGCAAACUUAUGCUUGUUGUAAUCUCUCAAAUAAGGAUAGCAUGCACAGCCAAAACACUUGAGCAUCUUGUAAUCUGGUUUAUGACUGAAAGCUUUUCAUAUGGUGUAAGAAAUUUCAGAGUUGCAGAAGGCAACCUGUUAAUAUGAUAAACAGCAGUUUGGAAGGCUUCCCACCAAAAUUGUAAGGGUAACUUAGCUUGAGCUAAAAGUGUGAGACCUGACUCAACUACAUGCCUAUGCUUUCUCUCAACUACCCCAUUUUGAUGGUGUGUAUAGGGACAUGAGUGCCUGAAAAUAAUGCCAUUUUGAUUCAAGAAUUCAGUAAAUGCUCGGUACUCUCCCCCCCAGUCAGAUUGCAACUUCUUAAUGGGACAUUGAAACUGUUUUUCAACUUGCAAUCUGAAUAGUUUGAAAAUUUGUAAGGCUUCUGAUUUCAACUUUAAUGGAUAAAUCCAAGUAUAUCGGCUAAAAUCAUCAACAAAGCUGAUAUAAUAGAUAUGACCAGCUCUAGAAGGUAUAUGUGAGGGUCCCCAUAAAUCAGUAUGAAUGAGUUCAAGGAUGUGGGAAGUUUUGGUUUCAGUAAUAGGAAAAUGCAAUCUAUGAACCUUGCCCAGUUGACAUGCCUCACAUAUCUGCUGUGCAGAUUGUUUGAUAAGAUUGGUAGAGAGAUUGAUAGUUUUAUCAUUCUUAAGCAAAUGUAUUAGUACAUCAUGAUGAGGAUGACCAAAUCUUCUAUGAAACAAACUGAUUUUAUUAACUGAUGCAUUACAAGGAGAGACAACAGUUUGAUAACAAGACAUAGAAGUUGAAUGAUUAUUUUGAGCACCAGUUGUAACAGGAAAUGAAAGAUGACAAGUAGAUAGCAUAGACAAAGGCUUAUUUGAAGAAACUUGACUCAAGAAAGAAGAGGGUGAUGUCUGAGAUGACUUUAACAGCAACUUGUAUAAUCCUUUUUCAGCAAGACCUUGCAAAAGCACCUGUCCCUUCAGUGAAUCCUUUACAUAACACACAUUGCCAACAAAUUCAAUGGAAAGGUUAUUAUCAGUUGUCAACUUAGAUACACUUAUUAAGUUCUUAGUAAUUGAAGGAACUAAUAAGAUAUCUUUAAGUGUUAUAGGUGUGUGCUGGCAGGCAGUAUGAAGGCAUUUAUAGUUAAAGCAAGCAUCACCAAUAUGAGUAAUGAUCAAACCUUGUCCAUUGCCAAUGGUAAGCUGGUCUAAACCUUUGAAUUCUUCUCGUACAUGCAUGUUUGCCAUGUUAUUUGUAAUGUGAUGUGUGGCACCACUGUCCAGAUACCACCCUUCAUCUGAUGAAUCUUCCAGAUUUGCAACAUAAGCUUCAGGCAGAGUAAAUGCUUCUGAUGAAUAAGAAGAAACAGGGGAGUAAUGAGCUAGUUGACAGCCAGAGUUGAUACCAGACAGUUCAUAAGGAUCUUCAAUAGCUGACUGGUGGUAUGAGAAUGGCUCAAAAUUAGUCAUAUAUGCUGCUUUAGGUCCCAUCAUCUUUCCUCUCCCAAAUUGUUUUGGAAAAGGAGAGUAAUUAUCACCAUAUCUAUACCAGCAAGCAUCAGCAGUAUGACCUUGUUUGUGACAUAUUUGGCACACAGGUAUUGACUCAUUAGAUUCACCAGCAGAAAUGCUUGAGCUCAUUCCAGGUAAAAAUGUAUUCCUUACAUGUGGUGACCUAGGAGGAUGUGUAAACUGUUGAUUUCUUCCAAAGCUUGCAGCAUGGCCUCUUCCAAAACCACCAGUGGUACUACUACCAGCUGGAAAACCUCUAGGAUAAGAGUUAAAGAACAUGCCUCGACCAAAAUUUUGACUUCUUCCUCCAAAUUGACCAAAGGAUCCAUUACCAUAAGUAUUUCUCCUAGGAAUUCCCCUCAUUUGUGAAUAGUUUGCAUUCAUCAUACUGUGAUUAGCAUUAAACAUGGCCUGAGAAUUCUGAGAAUUCUGAUUUUGUUCCAAUCUAGCCUCAUGAGUCAACAAAAGUGCAUAUGCAUCAUCAUAACUCAUUUUAUUCGCUGUAAUUAUUGAAGCUAAAUCCAGAUAGCCAGAUCCUAAUCCAUUAAGAGUUCUUAUUAGCAGAUCUUUUUCAGUUAUAUUAUCACCAGCACAGGCAAGCUUAUUAGCAAGUAUCUUUAUCUUUGAGCAAUAUUCUUCAAUCGACAUUGAUUCUUUUCUUAAAGUAUCUAAUUCAUAUCGAAGCUGCAUAACCUUUGCUUCAGAUUGAACUCCAAAUUGCUUUUCAAUCGACUUCCAGACAUCAAAUGCAGUAUUAUAAUUGAGAACUGAGCUUAGAAUACCUUCACUUAUAGUUGAAAAGAGCCAGCUCAGCAGAGUCUGAUCCUGAGCUCUCCAAUUUACAUAUGCUGGAUUCUCAGUUCUCUCCACAGAUCCAUCAGUUCGAGCUUGAGACAAAUACUGUUCUGGAAUAUUUUGAUUUUCUGAGAUAAAACCUUCAAGUCUAUUUCCUCUGAUCGAAGUCAGAACUUGCUUACGCCAGAGGAGAAAAUUAGAUUGAUCAAGCUUGACGGUUGUAGCAAAAGUAAAUGAAAUUUGAUGAGAAUGAGUUUGAUGAACAAUCGAAUGAUUUUGAUUAGUUGUACUGGAACUAGCCAUUGUGGCUCUGAUACCAUAAAAGAAAACUUGAGCUGUUUGUUUUUAAAGGAAAAGUUGCAGAGAAAAUUUUUAUUUCAUUGAAUCUUAACAAUUCACAAAAGUCAUUUACAACUUAAUCAAUCACAGCUUAUAUACACACGAGUUAGUUAUACACACAAGAAUUAUUAAUAACAGACUUUAACAUCCUGUGCUGACUUGCUAUUUCAUAACUAACUCUGAUGACUUGGCACUGCUGAGCUGGCAUGAUUGACUAACUUCACUUGCUGAAACUAUCGGCUUCUUCACCUUUCUAUUCUUCAUAAGCUCAACACAAUGAGCUUCCUUUACAAAGUCUAAUAACUCUCUUCACAACAGGUGUGGUUGGAAUUCCGGGAACACCUAGCCCGCCCAUUGAAGGAGGAGUUUGAAAAGGGCCAUUUUUUGAAUAUGUCCAUUUUCCUGAAUCAAGGCAUCUAAUGAUAUAAGGAUUCCUCUCUUCAGAAUGAUAUAAGGAAUCCUUUCUUUUAUGCUUGAAAACUUUAUCAUCAAAUCCAAAACAGCACAUGAUGCUCAAACUCGAUGAAACAAUCAAGAGCCCUCUAAAAAGUGAUGUGCAAGAUCCAAAACAGAAAGCUUAGUCAUUUAAAAAAUAGCAUUCAGCUAUGAGCAAUAAUAACUUAAAUCUUAAACAUGGAUGUAAUUUAUCUUCAGCUGACAGCUAGACAUACGAGGCAAGUUCAAAGAACAUUUCUCUUUUAUACCCAAAAAAGAAAUAGCUGAACUAGAAGAUACUCUCAGUUGAUUAGAGAAUGAGUAUAUCGAUCUAUGUGUGACAAUUUACUUUAGGUAUACCAUAUGAUUCUAACCUUUGUUACACUAAAAGAUGGUCAUCCCCUCAUUUACAAGAAACAUAGCAAUGAAAAGCAUACAGUCAGAAUUCCAAGAAAUUGCAAUAUAGAAUUUUCUGGCAUCAAUCUCACAAUUACAGGAUAAAAAUACAUGGCAAGUAUAAAACCAUGAACAGGCAUUAUUAGCUCAGUUUGCGUUGUAGAUGAACCCUCCAAAUCCAUUGGUCUUCCAUUCGGCUGACCUGAUGACCUAAAUGGACUAUCAUGCUCAAACCCUUCAUAAUCAACAAAACUUGAAUUGCAAACUGUUGUUUGUCUGAUUAGGUAUACCAUGUAAUAUACACAACGGAAUCCAGGUAAUAACUAACCGUGCUACAAAUGUCAAUGACAAAUAAAGUUCCUAGUUUUUUCAAAAAACCGCCUAGGCAGUGCGCACCCCGCCACACAAGGCCUCAUAGUCCAGUUAAUUUGCUCACGCUGUUGCCAGCCAAAGAACCAUGAAGAGGAAAAGCUGCAAGGAGCCUUUGCCAGGUUAGUCAGGAAGGGCUUCAAUAGAGUGUAACAUCUCAGUAGCUCAAUUCAUGUACCCCUAGCUGUGCAUGUAAGAAGAAAUGCUCUUCUGAAUAAAGUAUUGAUACCAGAUCUACUGUUGUUUCUUCAGAACUUGUUAGGAAAGAUUACUAGCAGGUAAGUUAGACGCAUAUACAUACUACUAUAGGAAAUUGAACAGCUCCUUACAUAAUCGGUGCAACUUCUUAUACAAACAAGUUUCCCUCCCGGCAAUAGAUAGACAUCAAUAUUCAGACACCUGAGGGUGCUGAAUGUUAGAAACUUUACUUCCUCCCAACGUAAGCUCCCAGUUUAGACACAUUAGGAUUCCCAAAUGAUAGCUCAGAUGACCCCGUAACAAACAUGAGACUUCCAGGGGCCCAUUUUAUGACAGGAGGCUCUGUAUGAAAACUCAUCCAACUGCUCUGUAUGAAAACUCAUCCAACUAACAACCCUGACAAGAAAAAUAAACAAAACCAAACAAUGUUUAUAUAAUAACAAUACCAACAUCAAAAGAAUAUAGUCUUUGGAUACAGAACACAUUAUGCAAACUGGUGCAUAAGUUGAAUGCCCAAAUGUAGAUUCAAAAGCAUUGUUGGUUUGCCUAGAAGACAAUGAAUGCUAUGACUGGGGUCAGUGUAAGGGAAAUAACAUCCCUUUGAAUUCUAAGCAUUCAAAAGGCAUUAGAAUCAAGGAAUUUUGCUUAUCAUACCCCUUUCCCGCUCCGUACGCUCCAAGCAUAUCCACUACCAUCAUCAGAACCUUCCAAAACCAAGAAAGUAAAAUUAGCAUAAAGAGUGCAACUGUUGCGUAAAUUAGCAAGUGUACUAGUCGGCACAAGUAAUAUAAUGUAGAGUAGAGUAUUGUCCCACAGAGAUUGUAUAUCCUAUUAGUUACCGAAAUUAUUCUAAUCCUAAUUUAUUUGAACAAUCAAAUAAGCGAAUUUAAAUUGAAAAUUAAAAUAACUAAAAAUCAAAUAAAGAUACAAGCAGUAAUAGAAAUCACCAAGAGAUUAAAACACUAGGACAUUCGAUUUCACCAUAACCAAUCCAAUUUAAUCCUCUAUCUAUGCUAUUAAAGUUUAUUACCCAUGCUGACAGUAAAUUUCCUUAAUUUAUUCAAUAUCCUCUCUCGAGUAAUAUAAAAAAUAUCUCCACAUAUCAACCCACUAUAUUUCUAUGUGAAUUUAAAUAUGCAAAGAUUCAUUAAGUUCUAUGGAAAUUCUUAGACAAAACUGCACGAAUCACGUUGGCACAUCUUUGUCUUUCGUUCAAUUCAUGACAUCCAUUACACAGAGCAAAAAUACAUAAAUCUCAUCUCGGUCUCAUUAUGUAUCCUCAAAUCAUUCAAAUAUUGGCCAUAUAUUUAAAAGCAUUAAGCACAAUAAUGAACACUCAAUCAUGGAAUAAUUAAUUAAAAAUAACAUAGAUUUAUGGAAUUAAAUCUUCAUAGUUAGGCUACAUCGUAGCCCUAGUAAAAUAAAUUAGUUCAUGGAAAUAUAAAGAGAAUUCAUUAAUUUAAUCAGAAACAUUCAAGCAAGAUAAUAGAGAAGAGGAAAAGAAAAACUUAAGAAUUAAUGCGUCUUCCUCCUGCUCCAAAUUAUUCCUGCUACUCUCGGUUUUGCUCAAAACUUGCGGCUGCUGCUCUUCUCUUUAUUUUCUCUUGGCUGCCAUCUUCUCCUUGUGCGGCUGCCUUUCUUCCCUUUUAUAAUGUUGUGGUUUCUUCCAAAUCCUUAAAGGAAAAGGAUUGCAAAUCCAGCCCACGAAUCCUUAAAUGAAAAUAAUUAAAAACAAAAGCCCAACCACUUAUUUCAUUCCUAAGCCAAUCAGAAUUAAAAGCAAAAGCCCUUCCACGUGUUGCAUGCCAUAUUCUCUUUGUAAAUGAAUUCUUCAAUGCUUCCUCACUUGCUGCCAUAUUUGUGAACCAAAUAUUCAAUGCUUCCUCCAUGUGUUGCAUGCAUGCUUAAUGAUUAAUUAAAUUAAAUCCUUUGUGAUUUGUUCCAAUUAAUUCUUCUUUAAUCCCGUAUUGUACCUAAAAUAAGAAAAUAUAAAAAAUAAAAAUAAAAUUAACAUAAUAAAACAUAAAAUUAAGUUAUGAAAGCAUUAAAAUAAUAGAUAAAUUAUGAGCACAUCAAAUACCCCCAAACUUAACAUUUUGCUAGUCCUCGAGCAAAAAUUAAAAUAAAAACUACGAAUAGAAAAUCCUAACGAAACCACUUUCGCAGGUGAUCGCGAUUACAUUUAGCGUAUGCAACAAGCCUUUAAACCCCUAGGCGGCCCUAGUGGACGAGUUAUAGUCUCGUGAGGGUUUCCAGCGAUGAUACCCACAAACAUUAUCAAAAAUGCCUCAAAGAUUGCAUAAAGUAUAUAGCUCAAAGAAAAUUAAAAAUAUUAGCAAAGUUCUAACUUUAAUUCAAUGGUCAGCCUCAUCUCAUAUUGGAUUCUUGUGUUGUAUGUGAAUCAAUUCAAUCAAUACUCAUUCUCAAGAUCUUCAACAUCAACAGUCUUUGUCUCGAAUAAUAAACAGAGUAGGUCAAACUAACCUCAUCAUCUUGAUCUUUUUUUUUUUUUCUCAGGCAUAAAUUGCUUUUUUUUCUCUUUUUUUUUUUUUUCAUUUCUUUGUCCAUAGUCAGAAGCUUUCACUCUACCCCUUAAGGUAGCAUUCUUCUCAUGGUAGAUUAUCCUCUACAUAAUGGUGGUACAUAGGCCCAAAUUACUCAAGGAUAGCUUCACUCUUAAGGGUUGUAGGUAGCUAUUUCUGACUAUGGUGCCUGGGUAAACUUAAGUAAUAUAGAAUCAAGUCAAACAGUCAUUACUCAAUCUAAAAUUCUCAACUCAAGCUGUACCAAUCUCAAAUCUCAAGUCAAAAUUCUAAAAGAAUCGAUAUAAGUGCGCAAGAUAUUUAAAGAAUCUCAAUCAAGACGAAACUAAUACAAGAAUCAAGUAUAAACUAAAAUAAUAUUCAUCCCUUUCUAAGAACCAUAUUCAUUUUCAAUCAUAAACUCAUCAUAGGCAUUAAAAUCUUUUUUUUUUUUUUGGAAUAAAAUGAAAAGCAAAUAUUCCCACCCCCAAACUUAAAAUAAACAUUGUCCUCAAUGUAAAGAAAAAGAAAAGGAAAAGAAAAACUCCCCCGGUUUUGCACUUGAAGAUGGAAAGUUGUAGCUGAGUCGUUGAAAGGCAUGUGGAAAGUUGAUGUUCAUCGACCCCCAAACUCGUGCAAAAUCUAGAUAAAACAAAAUAAAAUAAGUAAAAGAAAAGAAAAAGAAUAUGAAAAAAAAAUUUGAUAAUAAUAAAGUUUAGAAAGCUUGGGUUGCCUCCCAAGAAGCGCUUAAUUUAUAGUCAUUAGCUUGACUGUCUCUGGAAAGAUUGUUCAAGGAGGCUCGUGGAUGCAAUGAGAUGAUAUAGAUGGACCUUGCACAAAGUUCUUGCAAUUAGGCCUCUUCCCACGAAAAUUAGGAGAUGAAUCUUCAUUAAUAGAUUGCUUAUGUAUUGUAUAAAUGUCAGGAGGGUCAGAUAAAUCUUUAUCCUUCAAUGUUUUGGCCAUUUUUUUAUCCAUGGUGUCUUCUUGAAAACAAUCUUUGAGUUCAAUUGGAUACUUGAUAGGUGUGUACACAUUGAAAAUGACUUGCUCAUUUUGAACUCUUAAAAUCAAUUUCCCUUCUUGAACAUCAAUCAAAGCUCUUCCUGUAGCUAAGAAUGGUAACUCUAUAUCUUCAGCCAUAUCCAAGACAAUAAAAUCUGCAGGGAAUAUAAACUUGUCAACUUUCACAAGCACAUCCUCAAUUAUGCCUCUUGGGUACUUUAUAGAUCUAUCUGCCAAUUGUAAGGUAACAGUUGUUGCCUUAGGUUCACCCAAACCUAAUUUCUUGAAAACAGAAAAAGGCAUCAAAUUAAUGCUUGCACCUAAAUCACACAAAGUUUUAUCAAAAUAACAAUUUCCAAUAGUGCAUGGAAUAUUAAAACUCCAUGGAUCUUUCAGCUUUGGUGGCAAUUUAUUUUGUAAGAUGGCGGUGCAAUCCUCAGUCAGCAUUACAGUUUCAUGCUCCUCAAGUUUCCUCUUGUUGGACAACAUUUCUUUCAUAAAUUUGGCAUAAAGCGGCAUUUGUUCCAAAGCAUCUGUAAAAGGAAUAUUAAUAUGCAAUUUCUUAAACACAUCAAGAAAUUUUAAAAAUUGCUUAUCUAUGUUAUUUUUUCGGAGACGCUGAGGAAAAGGGAUUGGAGGAACAUAGGCCUUGACUGGUGUUGCUAGUUUAGGUUGUGGUAUUUCUGAACUUGCUGCCUUUGAAACCUUAGUGGUGUCUUCAGUUUGUUCUUCAUCAACUUUCUUUGCUUCUUUUCGCGGCUCAUCAAGUUGUUUACCACUCCGAAGUAUAAUUGCAUUAACUUGCUCCUUUGGAUUUGUCUCGGUGUUGCUUGGCAGAGAGCCAUGUUGUCUACUGGAUAGCAAGUUUUCAAUCUGACCCACUUGUACCUCGAGGUUCCGAAUUGAUGCAGCUUGAUUUUGAAAAGUUGUCUCUGUUUUGGUCAUGAAUUGAGACAUGUUUGUUGUAAGCUGGGUAAGAGCAUCUUCUAAGUUUGACUUCUUUUCUUGUGGUUGGAACCCUGGAGGUGGUGCCAAUGUAUUCUGAGUGUUGCUCCAUGACAAAUUCGGAUGGUUUCUCCAGCCAGGAUUGUAGGUAUUAGAAUAUGGGUUAUGUUGCUGUCUCUGGAAGUUUGACACAUAAUGAGCUUGUUCAGCAGAUGACGACGCAAAAGGACUUCCAACUUGGCAGUUGACACCGGUAUGGUUCCCUCCGCAUAAUUCACAAACUUGAGUUUGAAUAGUACUGAUAUUUAGGUGUUCCAGCUUAUUAGAUAAAGCAGUCAUCUGUGCAGAUAAAGCAGUGACAACAUCAACAUUAUGGGCUCCUACAAUUUUCCUUGGCAUUGAUCGCUCUGAAGUCCACUGGUAAUUGUUGGAUGCCAUCUCCUCCAAUAAUUCAUAAGCUGCUUCUGGUGUUUUUCCCAUUAACGUUCCUCCUGCUGCAGCAUCAAUCAUUGUUCUGGUAUUGGAUCCCAAACCAUUGUAAAAUGUCUACACCUGAAGCCAAACUGGUAGACCAUGAUGUGGGCAUUUUCUUAUUAGGUCUUUGUAUCUCUCCCAUGCUUCAUAUAAUGAUUCCAUCUCGAACUGAGCAAAGGUUGUGAUGUCAUUCCUCAACUUGGUUGUUUUUGCUGGAGGAAAGUACUUUGCUAAAAACUUUUGCGCUAAACCAUCCCAUGUAGUGAUUGUUCCAGCAGGGAAUGAGUUCAACCACUCUUUUGCUUUAUCCCUCAAUGAAAAUGGAAAAAGCCUUAGCCUGAUAGCAUUGUCUGAAACACCAUUUUGCUUAAAUGUGUCACAAAUUUCCAAGAAAUUUGCAAUAUGAGCAUUUGGAUCAUCAUUUGGCAUUCCAGCAAAUUGAACUGAAGUCUGAAUCAUCUGGAUUAUGGCUGGCUUAAUUUCAAAAUUAUUGGCUUGAACGACAGGACGUGCAAUGCUUGAGCGAGCACCAUUAACUGUAGGUAUAGCAUAAUCUCUUAAGGGUUUUGCAUCCUCAUUUCCAUGUAAUGCUUCGUCAGCCAUGAUUAGUUGUUGCUCCUGUGAAGCUUCUCUCCUUUCUUUAUUAAGCUUUCUACACGUACGUUCAAUCUCUGGAUCAAAAGGCAAUAAAUUAAAACUUCUUGAGCGUCUCAUAAAAUUAAACAAGAAAAUAAAAAUUCAAAUAAAAACAAUAAAAAUAAAAUUCAAAUUAAACUAGGUUAGUUGGUAUCGAUACUAAUCCAAACAAUCCACGGCAACGGCGCCAAAAACCUGUUGCGUAAAUUAGCAAGUGUACUAGUCGGCACAAGUAAUAUAAUGUAGAGUAGAGUAUCGUCCCACAGAGAUUGUAUAUCCUAUUAGUUACCGAAAUUAUUCUAAUCCUAAUUUAUUUGAACAAUCAAAUAAGCGAAUUUAAAUUGAAAAUUAAAAUAACUAAAAAUCAAAUAAAGAUGCAAGCAGUAAUAAAAAUCACCAAGAGAUUAAAACACUAGGACAUUCGAUUUCACCAUAACCAAUCCAAUUUAAUCCUCUAUCUAUGCUAUUAAAGUUUAUUACCCAUGUUGACAGUAAAUUUCCCUAAUUUAUUCAAUAUCCUCUCUCGAGUAAUAUCAAAAAUAUCUCCACAUAUCAACCCACUAUAUCUCUAUGUGAAUUUAAAUAUGCAAAGAUUCAUUAAGUUCUAUGGAAAUUCUUAGACAAAACUGCACGAAUCACGUUGGCACAUCUCUGUCUUUCGUUCAAUUCAUGACAUCCAUUACACAGAGCAAAAAUACAUAAAUCUCAUCUCGGUCUCAUUAUGUAUCCUCAAAUCAUUCAAAUAUUGGCCAUAUAUUUAAAAGCAUUAAGCACAAUAAUGAACACUCAAUCAUGGAAUAAUUAAUUAAAAAUAACAUAGAUUUAUGGAAUUAAAGCUUCAUAGUUAGGCUACAUCGUAGCCCUAGUAAAAUAAAUUAGUUCAUGGAAAUAUAAAGAGAAUUCAUUAAUUUAAUCAGAAACAUUCAAGCAAGAUAAUAGAGAAGAGGAAAAGAAAAACUUAAGAAUUAAUGCGUCUUCCUCCUGCUCCAAAUUAUUCCUGCUACUCUCGGUUUUGCUCAAAACUUGCGGCUGCUGCUCUUCUCUUUAUUUUCUCUUGGCUGCCAUCUUCUCCUUGUGCGGCUGCCUUUCUUCCCUUUUAUAAUGUUGUGGUUUCUUCCAAAUCCUUAAGGGUAUGUUUGGCACGUGGUAUUGCAUUGUAUUAUCUUGUGGGCCCAGCAUUAGUUAAAAUAUACCUGUGUUUGGUGAUCAAAUGGAUUGCAUUGAGCAGCAUUAAAAUGCAGCUUUUGCCGCAUUAUCAAAACCCGCGCCCCCCCUCGUGAUUAGGCUGUAUUACUGACUUUUGUGUUUUAAAAGUCAGUAGCUUCCCCUUUUUUUAACUUUAUAAUAAUAGUAAUAAAUAAAUAAAAUUUUAAUUUAAUAUAAUAUUAUACAAUAUUAAUUUUUAUUUUUACAUUAUAAUUUAUUAAUAAAUUUAUAAUUGAAUAUAAUUAAUAAUAAAUACUUAAAUAGUAUAUAAAAAUAUAAUAUAGCAUUACAUUAUUUAAUUAAGUUACAAUAAUUAAUAUAAAAUAUUAAUACAAUUUAAAUAUAUUAAUAUAAUAUAAUAUUUAAUUUAAAUUAAUAAAAAAAUUAUUAUAGUACAGUAUAGUACCAAACAUUGUACAGUAUUAUUAUAAUACAAUGUUAAUACAAUACAGCAUAAUACAAUACAUCAGUAUUAAAAUAAUACAAUACAGCAUAAUACAAUACAACAUAAUACAAUACGUGUACCAAACGCACCCUAAAGGAAAAGGAUUGCAAAUCCAGCCCACGAAUCCUUAAAUGAAAAUAAUUAAAAACAAAAGCCCAACCACCUAUUUCAUUCCUAAGCCAAUCAGAAUUAAAAGCAAAAGCCCCUCCACGUGUUGCAUGCCAUAUUCUCUUUGUAAAUGAAUUCUUCAAUGCUUCCUCACUUGCUGCCAUAUUUGUGAACCAAAUAUUCAAUGCUUCCUCCAUGUGUUGCAUGCAUGCUUAAUGAUUAAUUAAAUUAAAUCUUUUGUGAUUUGUUCCAAUUAAUUCUUCUUUAAUCCCAUAUUGUACAUAAAAUAAGAAAAUAUAAAAAAUAAAAAUAAAAUUAAGUUAUGAAAGCAUUAAAAUAAUAGAUAAAUUAUGAGCACAUCAGCAACAAACCAAUUGUAUCACAUAAAACUAAUAAGACGUGCUUGGCCACACUAGGCUGCUUCCACAUGUGUGGGUGCACUUGCUAUUUGAGCAUUUCAUUGAUUUAUUUUGAUUAACAAGCACAACCAGAUGAAAAUAUAUACGCAUUUGGAUUUGCAUGGAUGGGAGUGGGUUUUAAACCAAGUCAAUGAAGAAGAGAAAUUGAAUUUCUUGCAAAGAAUUCUGUGGGAACAAGCUUGAUGCUGAAUGCUUUUCUUCUAAUUGCUAUGUUUCUGUUAGCAAGGUGGUAACAAAUUUGAGAAUUAUAUACAGCACAAGUGCAAGAACUUUAAUAUAAAAUAUCAAAACAGCCGAAAGCAAAUAUUAACAAACUAUCCACAAGUCACUGUGCCCUAAGAACUGAAAGGAGAAACUCUAUCGGGGCUGAAAGAUGCCUCCAAUGUGGAAUUGUGAGAAACUGGCUUGGCAUCAUAAGUGGAUAAAUAAAAAGGGUAAUUUUUAGGUACCUCCCCUGAGGUUUGGUGUAUUAACACUUAGAUAGAAUGUAUUCAUGUAAUUACAUAUACCUCCCCUACAGUUAGUAUAAAAAUACGUAUAGCGUCAAAUAGAAGGGUAAAUGUGUAAAAAUAUAUUUAAAAUUAAAAAUAUUUGCUUUUACCAAAUCAUUAAAAUUAUGACCCACUUGCCCGCUGUCAGCCCAAACUUGACCAGUCGGUCAUGGCUCCACCAGCGGCUGGUGGUGGUGCGCCGCUACCGAAGUCCUCUCCUCACACUAGCAACCAACCCCAUUCAUGGCAGCCUUUGAAUCAACUGCGUCCACCAACACACAUUAACCCAAGUACACGGCUUUUUGAAGUGUCUCUUUUGCUUUGUGUUUUCCCUUCAUUGAGAAGAUUCGUUAGCUAAUAUAAUAAGCUUUGUUGCCUUAGAUUUGAGAUUACAGAGGCCUGAGCAGAUGUGGCAGUGAUGUGGGCUUUAUUGUACUUGUCGAACAGGCAAAACACAUUUUAUUGGCCUACGGCGCCUUUUUCUUCUUGUUGGGGAACUUCGUGAAGAAUCCAGCUUGCUUCUUUCUUCCUUUUCUUUCUUCAUUUUAAUUUUUUUUUAACUUAUAAUAACUUUUUGAGAUUGAAUUAUUGGCUUCACGUGUAAAUGAAUGGUAUUUGGUAUGUCAAGUGCAUAGUUAUUCUUUUUUUAUUUAUUUUUUCUGAUGUUUUUGUGUUGGAAUUAAUUUCUCAAGGUUUUGGCACCACUCCCCAUUGGAUUUGCUGUGUUCAUGGUACACUUGGCCACAAUCCCAAUCACACGCACUGGAAUUAAUCCAGCAAGGAGUCUCGAGGCUGCUGUUAUUUACAACAAGGACAAGGCUUGGGGUGGCCAAUGGCUCUUUUGGGUGGUGGUGCUUUGCCACUGUCGGAGUCCUCUCCUAACACCGGCGACCAACCCCAUUCAUGACAGCCUUUGAAUCAACUGCGUCCACCAACAAACACUAACCCAAGUAGGCUUUUGUCUCAUCACAACCGGCACACCCCCACCGCCCCUUUGGCCAUCGCCGAAGCCACCCAACAACAACUAACAUCACCAUUAAAGUGGGUUCAAUGGAAUUCCCACUGCCAACGGAAUUCCCAAAGUUAUAACUAAUAAUUUUUUAUUUCAGCAUGAAGGAUAUUUUAGUAAUUUUAAAUGUUUACUAACGGUCAACUUAAUUAAUAACUAACGGCAGGGGAGGUAUAUGUAAUUACAUAGAUACAUUCCAUCUAGGUGUUAAUACACCAAACCUCAGGGGAGGUCUCUAAAAAUUACCCUAAAUAAAAACAAGAGUAAAUAGAAGCUCAUUAACAGAGAUUCCACUGUAUAGAGGGGUAUAUAUGUACAAUAUGUUACAUUUGGGAGAUGAAGAAAGAAAAAGUAAACUCACAAGUGUGCCUUGGAAUGAGUCAAGCACACGAAUAUGUCCUUCCAUAGUGGUCGGAAGUAUAAUUCUCCCAUCAUUACUGAGCUUUAUGACAUCAGAAUCUGAUACAUCUUCCCCAUUAGAGAAGAUGUCAAAAGGACCCUAACAGCAUCCAAGCUUAACCAAAUUAGUGCAUGAUAAAAGUACUACGAUAUAUAAACUUCCAAGAUAUUCUUAUAUUAAUUUUAACCUUCUCAUACUUACGAGCAUCAAACAUUCUUAUGUAUCCUCCAAAGGCAACUGCAAAGACAAGCCCUUGAUCAUCGUAUGCUGUAGCAGGCCUUCCUUGAACAUUCAAAAGACCCGGAUUUGCCAACAGAGAUCAUAAACACAAUUGAAAAUGGGGGAAAAAGACACUUUGAAUGUGACCGUGGAUGGCAUGAUAUCCACCUAGCAUUUCUCAGCCCGCUGAUCCCAGAGCAGAACAGUUUGAUCAAGAGAACCAGAGAUAAAGCAAUCUUUCGAGGAGCACAGGCUAAACAACCCUAGAAGCAAUAAAACAUAUAUACAGAUGAUAAUAAUUACAAAAUAUUUACAAGAAUCAGUGAAUUACAAACCUGUCAUGGUGACCUUUGAAGUAACGCAAGUACUUGUUAUCGUGCAAGGAAAGAAACCGUAGAGAUUCUGAAUAAAUGAACGUAUCAAACAGCACUACAAGUGGUUUCGUAAUCCAAAAAGUUCUAUCCAUGAAAGCAGAUAUCAAGCACUUCCCCAGAAAAACAAUUCAAGGGUUCCUUUGAUUUCAAAAGACACUUUAUUAUUUCUGCAAUUUCAAACAAACAUUGCAAAAUUGAAACCAGCUUCUUAUACUUAUUCAAAAGCCAUUUCUUAGUUAAAAGCACUUCCAAAGAGACAACAUAAAAUCCUAAGAAACAGAGGAUCAACUUACGUGGCAGCAGAGACAUCGUACGGCCGUAUAGAUUCAUCAUCACUAGCCGUCACCAAAUAACUCGACGAUUUAUGAAAAUCCAUGGAACUAAUUCUCCCAUUCUGUUGAAACACAAAUCAAUACAAAACGACACUGAAUUAACAAACAGAUACAUUUAAAACGCAAAUCGAGUAUGUUCCUCGAAUAGAAACUUAUUAGAAGAUUCUCUUACAUAAUCUCUAAAAGAAAUGCCCACUUCCAUGCUCUGAAGAAUUUCUUCAAAGAGUUCCAACGAGACCUUGUCUUCUCUCUCCGAUUGUGACCCUAAAACCCAGAAAUAAAAAAAAAAGAAAUAAAAACACAAAGCAAAUAAGUAUAUCACAGCAAUUAUGCCAAAAACGACAACAUUUCAAGUAAAAUUUCCACAUACCAACAAUUUUUUUUUUUUUUUUUUUUUGAUAUAAAAGGGAGCCAAACAAGGCUAAACCGAGACAAAACGUGGGAAAGCAUUCCCGUACAUGUCAUAAGUUAAACAAUUAACAACACCAUUCGGAGGGUUGUGGAGGACAUGAAACCCAAGAGGUUGCCUCAUUGCGAAAUUUGCAAGAAAAUCCGCUGCAAAAUUUGCUUCGCGGUAAAUGUGGCUAAUGCACACAUGCCAUUCUCUAUUUAUGAGCCUUCGGAUACUUUGAAUCACAGAAGAAAAUUUGCUUGGGUUAUUGUUCGUGUCUGCAAGAAGCUCAGUGAUGCACUUGCUGUCAACUUCAACCAACAAAGACCGAAUUCCCAUCUUCCAAGCCAGGUCAAGACCAUAGAAUAAACCCCAAAGCUCAGCAUUUGUAACCGAACUAAUUCCAGUGUUCGCACAGAAUCCAGCAAUCCAGUUCCCAUUUGCAUUUCUUAUCAAGCCCCCUGCAGCUGCCAUGUUCAUCUUUAGCAGGCCCCAUCAGUAUUCAAUUUGAAGACAUUUUCAGGAGGAGGUUUCCACCCAAAGUAUUUAACCAUCUUUGAAGCUCCAGGCUUGAUCAAGGCCAUCAUGGUUUUAUGGGCAUUUUCAGCUCUGGUCAUAAUAUCUAAAGUGAUGCUUUGACUGCUCCUCUGUACUUUCUUAAACAGAGCUUGGUUCCUCCAAAACCACAAUUAUGCCAAAACACAAAGCAAAUAAGUAUAUCACAGCAAUUAUGCCAAAAACGACAACGUUUCAAGUAAAAUUUCCACAUACCAACAUUUUUUUUUUUCCUUCAGAUUAAUUCAAUUCCACUGCACUGAAAACAAUUUUUUCACGGAAACGGGAGGAAGUUGAGAAUUUAUUUAUACUUCUGUGUCAAAUAGCAUUAUUUCCCAAAUAAGGACGGUAGUUUUCUAUUCGUCCCAAAUGGGUGCCUAAACCCAUACAAUGACUACGAUACCCUUAAGCGUCAGAUCCUGUACACUUAAAUGUCAAGGGUAUUUUGAUCAUUUAAUAAUUAGUGACCUACUUUCCGAUGCUUAUAAAGUCAAACUUCACGAAGAAAACGCUAAUAAGAAUGAUUAAGAAAAACGCUCAAAUUGGAUCAAAGCUUUGAAUGCCAACGUAAGUCUCGAGUUUUUUUUUUUUUCUUUCUUUCUAUUAUGCGUUAUUUUAUUCAUCAUCUAGUAGUAAUUUAAUCUGCAAAAUUCCAAUUUUUGACGCGCGCGCACCUAAAAAAUUUUUUGAAAGAAUUUUAUUUGAAUUUUAUAUGUGUUCCUAUUUGUUUUAUGAAUCGAAUCUGAUAAGAAAUUGUGGGGAUGCAAAUAUCACACGAUGCCUCCGUUCAGUCAAUUUUUUUCUUGAUUUGUUGAAAUUGUGUAAAUAGAUUUAUAAUAGUUUUUAUGAUGUGGCAGGGUACGCGCUCUUUGGAUAAUCAUGGAAGUAUGGUGAUUUCUAUUUAUUGUUGUGGGGAAAGGACACCGAAUUCUUUGCCUGGUUUUAGAAAUGAUCACAUAGACUUGUAUUAGGAUAAUUAUACCCUUUGACUGUAGUGAUUUCAUCUUGGCAUAUUUAUCAAAAUGGGUAUUUUCCCUUUCAACUACUCAUCACACGAGCUUUAACCUUCCACCAGUGAUCUGUUGAGGCUGAAUGAUGAGCGGAGGAUAGCGUGUUUGCCUUAUUCGUGCUUCAAGGUGAAGCAGAUUAUUGGUGGCAGGAUUAAGCUCGUCUGAUUUUGCAACCAAUUACAUGGAAAAUGUUUGUGAAUGGCUUGAAGCAUUGAGAUAUCAUUCUAUUAUCUCCGUGUGUUUUCAUAAGCAAAAUUGGGAUGUUAAUAGUGGUGUCGUAGCAGGAAGUUGAACAUGCAAGAUUCCAGCAAAUCCCUUUGAGAUCCCAUCCAGUUGUUGCAGCCCAGAUCCCACCAUCAAAUCAGGUCAAAUUACAAGAUAUACCUAACUUAUGGAUUAACUUUCAUGUCUUUUAGUUUGAGAUCUAGUGAGUACAAUGCUCGUAAUGGCCAAUACCAUAUGGUUCAAGAGGAUAUGAGAGCAUAAAGGUUCAAAUUUAUGAGUUUAACCGGUUGAAAAUGGUGUAAUAUGCCUCUGUGGUUUGUACAUAAUGGAUUAGAUAAUCCUCUUUUUUGGCCCUCCAAAGAAUUAUUCGUAGGAGACUGAAAAUUGAAUCUCUGAUGCAGUUUAUCCUUGAACUGGUAAGACAAUGUAGCUGAAGUAAUUUUUCAUAUUUCAUAUAGUAUUUGCUAUCACUUAAGUGGAAGACUAACUUUUGUAUCUCUACUUUUUUCUGGCGACUUCAAACAGUCUCAACCUUUUGGAAUGUGACAAACUUUGAACUACUAUAGUAAUAAGAAGAUUACUAACCCUGUGUGCCCUGUACACACUGCUAUGAUUGAAGAAAGGCUAACCCUGUGUGCCCUAUACACACUGCUGUGAUUGAAGAAAGGCUAAUAUUACUUUUGCUGACUGACUGAGUGUGAAGGUGUGGGAGUGAAAGCUACAACAUACACAAACAAUAUGGAUGGACCUUGCCAAUGCUGAGUUGAUCUCUGCAAAUGAAGAUUCACCUAAAUAGAUUGGGAAUGCCAUUGUGGAGCAAAUUAGUAGGAACCAGGAUGGAAAUUCCACAGUGGUUAUGCAUCUUGAAGGAUACAAGAUGACUGUGUUGAAGCUGACCCAGCUACUUGAAAUAACCGAGUUAGUGGGGUUUGACUACCCAAUCACAAAGAAAAAGGUAUGUUGAUUUUCAGAAUUUUUCUUCCACUUAUCUCUUUGCUGUCAUACAGAGUGCCAUUCUGAAUAGUGAACUUUUCAUGUAAUGUGAAUUUGAUUCUUAAAGCACCUGAAUCUAGAUAAGCUUGCUGCAUGCUGAGCAUUGGGUCUUGUGUCUCAUGUGGGCUUUUUUCUUGAGUUCUUUGUGCCCAAAGAUGCUAGUAGGCUGGUUCUUACCACUGACCAACCAUCUAUUUAUACUUAGUCACAGCAAUUGCAAACAUACCCCCUUGGUUGGUUCAGGCAGUAAAAUCUCUUGAGGUAGUACUUAAUUGCCAUUUCCAAGUGUUUAACCCUAAAUUUUUAAUAUCUUUUUGGUGGAUUCAUAUACAUUGAACUAGUCUUCUUUCUAUAUUACAUGGAUUAAAUUUUGAAAUUAGGCCAACCUGUUGUUAAAUCUGCCUUUCAAAUUAUUGACUUAAUAUUGCGAAAAAAGAGAGACUUUUUACUAUUACAGAAUUUUUCAUUGUUGCAGGAAACUGGAGUCGUAGCUGACAGUGCUCAAGGGCAAUCCUUAAAUUAAAUUUCAUUGCAAUAUUUGAAAUUUAAAUUAUUUGAGAAAAAAAAAAUAUUUGCAUAAUAUUGAACAACGCAUUUUCUUGUAUAAUAUCAAUAAAACAAUGCAUGUGAGGGAAUAAAAAGAAUAAGACGAAAUUUGACGACAGUAAUUAGCAUUAUUUCAAGCAAAGAAAUCUGGACACUAAUAUGUUUUCUCUGUUACUUUUCAAAAUUACUGCGUGUGCAUGAGAUGAUUGCUUGCUACUGUAGUACUGUGCAAGGUGAAACAUUUGAAGAAGCCCCCUUCUAAACUGGUAGUGGUGGUCGUUGUCCUCCUGCCGAGGAAGUGUCAUUAGAUUGAAACCUACUGCAAAUAUUGAUACAAAAUGGCUUCAAGGUUUCGUUAUAGAGCUGACUGCAAAAUGGCUUCAAGGUUUCGUUGUAGAGCUGACGACAAGCUUCUGUAAACAGCGCCCCAUAUUGAUGCACAACAAUGAUAAUGGACGAGCAAAGCCAUGCAGUGUACAAUAUGAUAUGACCAAUAUCAGAGCGGGGAACAAAUGUGGAGGCUAGCGAGACUGCAGAAACAGAUCCAGAGACUCGUGCUGCAAGGGCCCAAGAUUGGGAAAAAUUCUCUUGAUGAGCUAAAUAUGCAUAACAAUAAAUGGCUGUGGUUAUGAGAAAAGACCAUAUAUUUGUUGUGUGUUUCAAGCAAGCGCUCAUUUGUGCCUUGCAUAUUUGCUCCCACAAUGCCGAUGAGAGCUGGAAUGAGAUAUCCAAACACGUUAUGGUAUGCGUUUGACAUCGCAGAUAAAUAAAAUUUGUUCUUGCAGAACCAUUAAAAUACUAUAUUAAGGAAAGUAUUAGAUCCAUUCCUUUAGAAAAACAGGAAUUUAAGAGAUCAUUAUGUAUUUAGUCUCAUUUAAUAUUAGUUUAAUUUUUUCGAGUCAUAGUUAUUGUGAAAAAAAAAAAUUAUCAAAUACUUUUAUUGAUUGGUAAGAAUUUAAAAAGGAAAUUUGGGAUUUUUUUUUUGUUUUCUUGUGAACAUUGACGGUAUAUAUGUAGGGUAAAGUUUUAUUUUUAAAUACACGUUGUGGCUCAGCUCAGAGAGAGAAGGGAGACGGUCAAGAUUGCUGGGUUGACUUUCUUUUCCCGUCAGCCAUUUUGUAAUAGCUUGAUCAGAGCAAUCAUUACCUGCAAAACUUAACACAACACCAAAUUAACAACCAACAUUUCAAUUGAAACAAAUCUACUUGAAAAUAAAAGAAAAAGCAACUCCAAAUCAAAAUCGAAAUGAAACCUUAUCAGAGAGACAGCCGCAAGUAUGAAGAGACAAGCACGAUCCUGAAGGACUAUUACUCCAAAUCAAAAUCGAAUUAUAAGAGAGAAAGCCGCAAGUACGAAGAGAGAAGCGCGAUCCUAAAAGAUCUGAAGUCGUGUUGUAUAUAUGUCUUGUAUAGAUUGACAGAGCAAUCAAAGGCCGUGUCGACCAGAGCAAUCGAAGAGUAGAAGAGAUAAGAGAGGAAAAAAGAAGAAGAGGAGAACUGCAGCAGCAAAUGAGCAAAGGGCAGUAUUUAUAGACAAGACAUGUUGUACGAAAUAAAGUAGUGGACCCUUUGUAGGCCUCAUCAUUCUUAAAAAUUUCUUCCAUCAUCACUGCCAUGCAACCUAGAUAUUCUUUUUCAAAUAUAUUAAACAUUUUAUUCGUGUUAGUUUGUACUGCAUGGCUUAAAAUUCCACUCUUUACUAUGAGACAACGAACGAGUGGACCCUUUGUAGGCCUCAGUUUUGCAAUUACUGACUUAUCACAGCUUACUCCAAAUCAAUUUGGAGUAAGCUGUGAUAAGUCAAUUUGGAGUAAGCUGUGAUUUGGCUGUUGUAAGCAUGGCGUUCGUUGAAAAUUCCGCGAAUUCCCCCAUCCGCCAUCGGACCGACCGUCGGUUGAAUUAUCACAGCUUAAGAGCUAAAGUUUUUGUGUUAAAGAGCUUAAAUAACAUAUUAUAAGACUCAAGAUAUUAGGUUCGAACCACGCAUCUUCGUUUUACUUAAUGCAGAUCCAAUUUUGGUGGCAGCGAAAUUAAAACUUUUCAUUUCAUGUAUUAUCUCAAGAAAUAUGACAUUGAUACAAAUACAUCAUUCAUAGAAUUUGAAACUUGGAACAUGAAUUUGCAGUACGUACUUUUAGGUAAUCCCAAAAAAAAAAAAAUUUAAACUAUUAGGUAAGAGUUCAAUAGUUGUACUUGAAAUCAAGUCUAACAAAUAUUUAGAGCAUAGUAAAAUAAGGACCGAUUGAGAACAAAAUUAAAGAUUUAGAUUAAUUGAGAUGAUAAUUUAUGUAAACUUACUAAAAUAAAACAAAGAUGCAUAGUAAGUUUACAUAAAUUAGGUUCGAACUACGCAUCUUUGUUUUAUUUUAGUAACCUUAAACAUCUACCUCGAAAGUUGACGAAAGUUGUGAGCAAUAUUCUAAUAUUGCUAAUAUGUGUUUCAAACUAGAUACUUAGAUUCUAAUUAUCCUCCUCGUUCAAUAAUCAGUCUUUCUUGUGAAAACACAUCUUAUAAUAAUAAUAAUAAUAAUAAUAAUAAUAAUUAUUAUUAUUAUUAUUAUUAUUAUUAUUAUUAUUAUUAUUAUUAUUAUUAUUAUUAUUAUUAUUAUUAUUAUAUCUAAAAAAAGAGUAAGCAGUGCUACUGGUAGUCUGCAGUCUGCCGUGUAAUGAUAAUAUAUAAUGAAUAAAUAAAUAAAUAAAAACGGAAAUACGUAUCACAGUUGACACAUACCUUCAUUGAAAUCAAUAUAUAUAUAUAUAUAUAUAUAUAUAUAUAGGGUUUGGCUAUCUUCUUAUUAUUAUCUUUCCUUGUUAUCAUGCAAGGAAAGAAGCCGUAGAGAUUCUGAAUAAAUGAAUGUUUCAAAUAAGUGCCUAGGAAAGUAAUCCACCAACAUACACAACACAAAUGUUCCGAUAAACAUACCAUCCCAACCAUUCUUUGAGGAGUAUAUGACUGUUGUAGGAUGAGAAGUAAAACAAACAAGAUCCACGCCAUAUUUUUUGCUAUUAAUUGUCUUCAAACAUCUGAAAUUCAAUUAAGGGUCUCAGUAACAAUUGUAAUACCGAUUAUCAUGAACUCAGCUAAGACAACUGAAGUGCAUUUGGGAGUGCUCUUAUAGAAAGAGCAUAUGAAAGCAGGAGGGGAAAACGGCCUUUUCACAAAGUACUUGAAAAACAUAUGAAUUACAUUUCCCUUAAGCACUUCCCAGAAACCACUCCAAGGUUUUUUUUUUUUAAUUUUUUUCCAUCUUAAAAAGCAUUUUUGUCCAUCUUAGAGAAACAGCAACUUUCAUGAGCUCCUGAAACACGCAGAGCAUACAUUCAGAAGUGCUUUAACUGAAAGUACCCUUGAGUAAAAUCACUUUGAAACAUAUAUGAAGUACUUCUUCAAAUGGCACUAGAAGUGAUUUCCUAAUCCAAAAAGUUCCACCUAUGAAAGCGGAUAUCAAGCACAUUCUCACAAAACCACUUCAAGGGUUCCUUUGAUUUAAAAAGACACUUUAUUUUUCUGCAAUUUCAAACAACUACUGCAAAAUUUAAACCAGCUAUUUACACUUACUCAAAAGCCCUUUCUUAGUUAAAAGAACUUCCAAAGAGACAACAUAAAAUCCUAAGAAACAGAGGAUAAACUUACGUGGCAGCAGUGACAUCAUACAGACGUAUAGAUUCAUCAUCACUAGCAGUCACCAAAUAACUCGACGAUUUAUGAAAAUCCAUGGAACUAAUUCUUCCAUUCUGUUGAAACACAAAUCAAUACCAAAACGACACUCAAUUAACAAACAGAUACACUUAAAAUGCAAAUCAAGUAUAUUUCUCAACUCAAAAAAAAAAAAAAGGUAGAAGGUUCUCUCACGUAAUCUCUAAAAGACAUGCCCACUUCCAUGCUCUGAAGAAUUUCUUCAGAGAGCUCCAAUGAGACCUUGUCUUCUCUCUCUGAUUGUGACCCUAGAAACACCCAGUAAAAAUACACAACACAAAUAAAAUAAAUAAAUAAACCACAGCAAUUAUGCAAGAAAACUACAACGUUUCAAGUAUAAUCUCCACAUACCAACCAUUUUUUUCUCCUCCAGAUUAAUUCCACUGCAUCGAAAAUAAAUUUUCCACUGAAACGGGAAGGAAGAUGCGGAAGUUGUGAAUCAAUCAGCAAGAUUUCUCCAAUAAGGACCUAAGUUUUGCAAUCGUCUCAAAUAGGUGCCCGACCCCAUUUAAUGAGUAAGAUACCCUUAGGCGUCGUAAAGAUUAUUUAUUUAAACACCAAGGGUAUUUUGGUCAUUUAACAUCACUGAGGGUGCCGCUACGCUACACCUUAUUACGAGCCGUAGACCCCCGCCGGUGGGAUGGUUUGGGUUUGUCGGUUAACGCAUUAAAAUUCAUCUCAAACACAAAAUAAAUUUUGACAUCCAUUGUAUAGUACACACAUUAAUAAAAGAGAUAGGUUUAGUUUCAAAAAAGUAAGUACAUGAUAUGUAGUGUUAUGGAUAUACAAAAUCAUUUUAAAAGUUAAAAUCUUUACAGUUUUUUUAAUGCUUUUCUCUCUUAAUGUAGAUUCCAUAAAAUACCAUAUAUUGUAACAAAGAAAAAAUGUUAUGUUCUAUUUUAAACCUUUAAUAAAACAUAGUAUAUAUGUUUUGUCAUAUACAAAUGAUUAUUAUUAUGUGGAGGUAAUUUUUUUAAGAUAGAAACUAAAAAAGUAUAGUUUAUUACAAUAUGAAGUUUAUUAUUAUUUAUAACUGACUCAAAUUGGGACAAGAAAUUUUUAUGAUUAUAUGGAGGUUAUUCUUAUAUAAAGUAUCACCAUGAAGAUAUAUUAUUGUAAUUUGAAGAGGAAUCCUUCUAGACUGGUAGUGUUGGUCCUAGCUGUCCUAACUGGUAGUGUUGAAACCUAUUGCAAGUGUCAAUACAAAAUGGCUUCAAUGUUUUUUGGUAAAGCUUAAGAGAAGCUUCCAUAAACAAUGUGCCAUAAUGAUACACAACAUUGAUAAUGGCAGCUCCAAUCCAUGCAGUGUACAAAAUGAUGUGACCAAUCUUAGAGCGUGGGACAAAUGUGGAAACCAAAGAGAUUGCAGAUACAGAUCCUGAGGCAACAGCAAUAAGGCACCAGAACUGGGAAGAAUUUUCUUGAUGAACUCGAGACUUCACAUCAGCUGAAUAUGCAUAACAGUAAAUGGCUGUGGCUAUAAGAAAAGAGCAUAUAUUUGUUGAGUGUGUUUCAAGCAAGGACUUAGUUUGGCCUUGAACAUUUGCACCCACGAUGCCGACGAGAGCCCCAAUAAGAUGACCAAAAAUAUAGGGAUAUGACAUUGAGGAGAAGAGAUUUCGCCCACUGCAAAACAAUUUUAAAAAAAAAAAUCCAUCAUAAUCUAAUAUUUCUCCUGAGCAAACUUCACUCAAGCGAUUAGUUGUUAAUAAUUUAAAAAAUAAAAGUGGUUAAGUUUUAUUCGUACACUAGCACUAAAUAAUAAGUGACAAAAGAUUUUUAAAGGUUUAAAAGAGCUCAAAUUAUAAAAGGAUCUUAAUCACCAUUUUAAACACAAAUUUAGACACAAGUUUUAGCCAUUGAAUUACAAUCAUUUCAAUAACUUAGAUUGAAGCUAACAUAAAUUUCAUUUUAAAAAUAAAAUAGUGGUCACAUUACAUAUUAUUAAUUUUAUCUCUUUUCUCUCCACUUUAAAUCUCUUUCUUGCUAGAAAUUGAGAGAGAGACUAAAAACUUCAGAGAUUAAUGUACCUAGUUUAGAGCUUAAAGAAGCUAAAACACAAGAAUCAAUGGAGAUAAUGGUUCCUUUACGUUAUACACAAGGCUUCCACCUUAUACUUCAUCUAAAUAAAUUGGUGAGAUCCCAUUACGGACAUGAAAAGAGAGAAAAAGAUUUAAAACAAAUUACAUCAUUUAUCUUCUGUACAGUAGAAAAUAGGAUAAAUUAACAAAUUACAUCAUUAAACUUCUGUACAUUAGAAAAUAGGGUAAAUUUUAAUUCAUCUCUUAAGAUAAUAUGACAGUCUUUAAUUUAUCUCCUAAAAGUGUGAAAAUUUCAAUUUACCCCGUAUUCUUUGAGAAGAUGAUUGCAUGAGGACCACUAUUGAUGGAUUUAUUUUUUGCCUUCUUUAACAGCAAAUGGAUGUAAAAUAAUAUUUUCACACUCUUAGAGAUAAACUGAAAAUUGAUAAUAUAAGUAUGAGAUCAAUUGAAAUUUACCCUAAAAAUUAUAAUUAAAUCUCACCCAUCUAUCAAUCCAUAGAUUUUUACACGCUUUCAAAAUCGUCAUUCUAAAAUCAAGUCAACUCUCAUUCAGAGAAGCUACGUAGAGGUGUGACUUUUAUCAAAGCCAAAAUGAACCACUGUUUGUUGGCAUCGAUUUUUGACAAAGUAUAUAGUAACCCCCUCAAACAUUAACAAAAGCAAAAAAAUUGAAAAGGAAAAAAUUGUUUGUUAUACGUUUUGAGUCCCUUUCUCUUGGUUUUGCUUCUUGAGGAAAUUGUAGUUUUAUUUGAGUUCGUAGAAGUUAAAACUUUGAAGGACAAAAGAUCUUGGGAAAAGAUACGAGGAGAGAGAAAAAGAAAAAAAUUAAAUUAAAUAUAAAAUUGAAAGAGAAAGAAAAAUAAUUAAUAGUUACUAAUUAAUUUUGCAUCAAAAGGAAAUUCAUGUCAGUCUCAAUCUAAGCGAUUGAGGCUAUUAAAAUGAUUCUGAGCUAAUAGCUAAAAGUUUGUGUUUAAGUUUGCAUUUAAAAUUAUAUCUCUUAAACCUGCAUUUCAUCUUACAUAUAUUUUGUUUUAGUGAGAGAAUGAAAGAAAAAUUUCAGAGGGACAACUUAACCAGUUUAUUCCCGCAAAAUUGGGAGAACAAAAGUAAUUUGAAGUAGACUGCAUACUCAAAGAUAAUGUACAACUAGAGUGCAAAAAAUAAAAAUAAAAUAAAAUGACCAUACACAGGAGAAGGGUUUGGACUUGGAUGAUGAAGAAUGCACUGGCAGCUUUGCAUUCGCAUAUAUAUCUCAGGAAAAUCUUCAGUUUUCAUAUUAAAUGAAAUAGAACUCAACAGUUAACUCACUCAGCUUGAACUUGGAAGGAAAAAAGAAAAGAAAGGGAAAGAAAAAUCUCCCUCUCACUUCCAAAAAUAAAAAUUACACACUCGAUAGAAACAUCUUACUUAUCUCCGCUUAAAAAAUUAUCUCAUGGCCUCGGUAUUUAUGGGCUAAACGAGCCACUGUUUAAUCAAAAUGUGAAAAAAAACAAAUUCAAAAAGUUUUUGUUUGAUGGAAUGAGGAUGGAAAUGGACAAAAUUCAAAAGGGUUAUUUUUACUUUUACUGGCUUCCAAUAAACUAGGCCAUAUUGCACGUAAUUAUAGAAACCUCUCCUGCUGUUUGUACAACGUUUCGUAAUGGUCAAUAGAAAUGUUUUGCUCAGUUGCGUUAUGUGCUGAGUGAGGGAGACAGCGAAUCGUAGAGAGGAUUUUCAAGUUCAAAGUAAUAAAUGAGAAAGCGGCGAAGGGCCAUCGGUAGCUAGUAAUGAAAGAAUAAAGUUUUCAAAAGUUUACUUUUAUUGAUGAAAAAGUAAUGACAAUUAAGGUUUGAUCCUUUUUUAUUCUAGAAUCCUAACACACCGUUUUACUAAUUAUGUUAUUUCAAACCCUACAAAUUUUUUUUCCAAUAAUGAACAAUCUUGCUGGGAUAUAAACGAGUCUAUGCAAGGAAAGCCAAAAUACAAAAAAAAAAAAAAUAUAUAUAUAUAUAUAUAUAUAUAUAUGAGCAUGAUUUAUAUACGUUUCCUGAUUGAGUUGCUAGCGACGAUAAACUCAGUUUCGAAAGUGUAUAGGCGUAUCUCAAAGUAUUAGUGGUUGAGAAUAUGCAGAUAAACUGAAAUUACAAUGAAAUUAUUAUAAAGCAAAUAAAAAUUUACAAGGGAAUGAGUUUCUUUUAACCAAUUAAAUAACAAAUCCGAUGUUUCAAAUGGAAUAAUACACGAAAAAACCAUGUUCACAGAUAAACAAGUUAGCAGCAUUAUAGACAAACUUCGGAAGCAGAUACCUGAGAUGGCCAACAGUUGAGUGCAAAUUUAUUAGUGAGGUUAAUUUUAUUUUUAGUUGUUCUUAAAUAUAACUUCAAUAAAACAAGAGUUUUAUGAUAUUAAUGAAGUGAUGCCAAUUGUCCAACUCUUUAUUUUUAUCAUUUUAAAGGCUCCUUCUUCUACUUACCUGUUUGUUCUUCUAACUCACUAUUUAUUUCUUUAUUUUUGCAUUUAAAUUCUUUCUUAAUUAAUAUGAGCUUUCCCAAGCAUUUAAAAAUUUAAUAUCAUCAACGUUAAUGUAUAAUUAAAAUCUAACUAAAUUUAUUUUAUAAGUUAUUAAAACACCAAUCACUUAAAUGAAUUUUACAUCUUUUUUCUGCCAACAUAACAAAUGUCUUUAUUUAAUUGCUUUGGUAAUGUAAAUGGCGAUUACCUGAGCAGCCGGUCGCCCAUUCUCACAUGUGUGACACACAUAUUUCCUCUACUCGACAUUUUCAUGUUUCUACAGUGUAUAUUAUGCAAGACCCUACAAUUAUUGGUCAUUUGUUUCAACUCAGAGAAAAAUUUGCACAACAUUUUAUUUAUAUUCGUCAAAUUUAUUAUUUAAAAAUUAAUGAAACCUACCAUUCUAUUAUAUUCUAAAGCAUCACCAACAGACCGUCUCAGGUUCUCUCUCCAAGUCAAUAGCAAGCAAUGUAAUCUCGGUACCGAGGUACAUUCAAAGGUCAAAUCACGUUCAGCUGCUGGCAGGAAAAUCAAAUAAAUUAAUUAGGCAAUGAGUCCCUUUUUAAGCAAUGGUGAGGAUUACUUUUUCAGGAAACUUUCAGUGACCGGUAAAGACAAAUUUUGGUUAGGUGAUGGUAGCAAAUAAACGUUGCAAGUUAAAUCUGAACGCUGCAUUUAACCCAAACUCUGUUUCAAUUGAAUGUGGAAAGGACAUAUACAUAUGCUGCUGUGAAGAAGCUCGAAGCAGUCAGCCAUGAGAGGCCCUGCUUUCCUUGUAAUCUUUCCGUAAAGUAGCACCAUCAUCAUGCAAUGAAGGAAAAUCCUCAUGAGAAGCCUCCAUUCCCUUUCUGCAAUUGUGUCCUUGCUUAAUAUACCUUGAUAUUUACAAAGAACUUUCACCAUAUCAAGUAAAAUGAACAAACACAAAUUACAGAGCCGCGGCGUUUGAAUCAAAGGAACAAGAGGGUUACUCUUGAACAAUGAUAUGUGUUACGUCGCACAUAAAGAACGGAACCGCUAAUAUUUUCUGACAUACUAUUUUCUUACUAAAAUUUUAUCUACUUCUACCACAGUGGAGGAAAAAAGCACCAUACCAGCUGUUUCCGUGAAAAUAGGCGUGAGAAAAAAAUAUUUGCAAGCAACAGAAUUUAUGUUUAAGUGUAAUUUCACGCUUAUUUCAUCUUUCUUCAGUUAAAUCAAUCAGCAAAACUUAAAAGCCCACUUCAAGCUUUUCUUUGAUUUCGAAAGGCACCUUUUUUUUUAAUCCCAUUUCCGAAAACUACUACAAAAUCUAAAAGAAUGAUUUACACUUAAAAAGCCUUUUCUUAAGUUUUAUUUGGUAUUGGGGGUAGUGUAACUUCUAAGUUAUAGUUGCUGUAAAAAAAAAAAAAAGUGUAAUUAUAAAAUACAAAGUUAAUAGUGUACAGUAAAAAUAAAAUUUAAAGAAAUAUUUUGAUAAAAUUAAUAAAAAUAUUAUAAUUUUCUCAUCACAUGAGUGAUGAAUUAAAUCAACUUAGUUUGUAAGCUAUAGCUAAGGAUGAUAAAAAGUUUGGGCCGGCCCAGUAUAUUCUUGCAAACUUUGGCUUGGGCUUCUACACGAGGGCCGGACGAGGGCUCAAGGAAAAAAAGACUGAGCCUAACCCAGUCCUCUAUUUUUUUAAAAAUAAAAUUAUGAAUUAGGAUAACAAAUUAAAAUUCAAAAAAUAAUGAAAAAUUAAAAAAAAAAGCUUAAAUCCCUAAUUCAUAUAUCAAUAAUGAUUCAAAUAACCUAAAAUUAUAAUACUAAACUUAUUUUAAGCAUUAAUUAAUUGAGAGGGUACUUGAAUUAGAAAAUUCAAUAUUAAAACAUUAAAUCUCUCAAAUUUUAUUUGCUUCAUUUUUGUUAUUUAUUAUUUUAUUUGAAAAUAUUUAUUUUCUUUAAUUUAUUAUUGAUUGUAACAACUUAUUGAUUAUUAUCUCAUGUCAAGUUUACAAUAAUAAAAAAUAAAAAAGUUUGCAAUAAAAAAAAUUUAAAAAAUAAGUAAAAGUCCAAGCCCAGCCCAAGCCUGGCUCACCCUGCAAUGGCCUGGCCCAAGCUCCCAUUCUACCAUCCCUAGCCACAACAACUAGUAAUUUAUAAAAAAAUGUAAGUGUUGUAGGUUAGUUUUUAAGUUACAGUUGUAAAACUUCAAUACUAAAUAGAUAUUUAGGGGUUUUUAUUUUCUUUUUUUUUCCUUUGAUAAAACAGGGCUUUUGUUAAAAGCACUUCCAAAGACAAUAUAGAAUCACAAGAAACAAAGGGAUCAACUUAUGUGGCAUAGAGACAUCAUAUAGAUGUACCGAUUCAUCAUCACUAACAGUCACCAAAUAGCUCGAUUUAUGAACUUGUAAAAUCUUUUUUUUUUUCUUUAAGUGUAAUUUCAUCGUAUAGAUGUAGUUUUUUUCCCCCUUCCUUGAAUAAGCUUAUUCACAUCCCAACAAUAGAAUUUUACAUUGAAUAAUGAGUGUGUGUUUUACAAGUAUUAAGAGUAAUUAUGUCAUAUUGGUUUAUAAUAGAUUGUCUUUAACAGUAAUUCAACUUAUGAGUAUUAUGAGUAUUUUUAUAAUGAAUUAUUUUAUAUAAAUAAAUGUGUUCAUAGCAAUUUUUGAAAGUACAAAUAUCUCCACCCUCAUAUUAAUUAUUGUUAUUGAUAUUAUUAUUUGUGCAUGGUAUAUACACGGAUGGAUCCAGUAUUAGACUAGUUGGGGCACGGGCCCUCGCUGACUUUUGUAAUAUUUUUUAUGAUUAUAAAAAAAUGUAUUUAAUUUAUUAUUUAAAAUAGUGCCCCAAUUGAAAUUAGAAUUAUGAAAGUGUUCCAAUUAACUUCAAAAGAUUUUAUGUUGCCCUUAAUUGAAGUGUCUAAUUUUAGAUGAUUUGAUUCACUAUUAAAACAUUAUGAAACUUAAAUAAAGACAAAAGAUAAUUGAUAUUUUAAACAAAAUAAAAAAUAAUUAAAAACUAAAGAUGUAUACUUUGCUCUUUUUAUUUUUCUGGUCUCUUUCCAAUGCUUUGAAUCAAAACCACUUUCUUUAUUUGUUUGUUAUGGUCGUAGUGUAAUAAUCGAUCAGAGUAAUGCACGUGCAUCAGUGCAUGGAUUUCAUCCCAAUUCCCAUAAAUCAAAAGCACUUUCCUUUAAUUGUUUAGUUUUUCGAUAUUGAUUCUUAAAUUAUAAGUCUAGCUAAUUUUAAUUUUCAAUUAUUCCUAUUAAUCUUUUAUCUAGUUUCCAAAUCUCAAUUUUACUAUCUAUUCAUAUUUUCUCUUCGUGUUGCACUAUAUGAAUAUUUGGGAAAUUUACAAAAAUAACCAUAAAAGUUUUACUGUUUUCACAAUUAAUCCUUUAAAUUUUUUUCUAUCAACAUUAGCCAAACACACGCUUUUCUCCCCAAAUUACCCUUGUUUACAAAUCAAAAGCAACAGUCGUGGGUGAAUCUGGCGACAGGCGUCUAUCGCACCAAGCUUGGUGCGACAGACUGCCUGUCGCACAAAGCUACGUGCGACGGGCUGCCUGUCGCACAAAGCUACGUGCGACAGGCGUCUGUCGCACCAAGCUGCCUGUCGCACAAAGCUACGUGCGACAGGCGUCUGUCGCACCAAGCUUGGUGCGACAGGCGCCGGUCGCACCAAGCUUGGUGCGACGGGCGCCUGUCGCACGAAGCUGUAAACUGAUUAUGGAUUAUGAAGCAAAUUCCAGAAUCAGGGAUCCUGUCUACGGCUGCGCCGGCACGGUUUGCCAUCUGCAGAAACAAGUCAGUGAGCUUCAGGCUGAGUUAGCCAAGGCACAGGCCGGGCUCGCUUCCAUGCAAAGCCAGCAACAAAAUUUGAUUGCUUUGAUUUGCAUGGAAAUGGCUCAAUCUCAAGAACAAGUCCUGCAUCGUCAUCAGCAGCAGCAGCUGCAACAGCAGUUCAUUGAUACAAGCUGUUUUUUGGACGAAUACAGUCUUGGCUCUACCUGGGAACCUCUCUGGACAUGAAGAGAAGUUAAAGCAAUAGGAGUGGUUGAAACUUUUGAUUUGAAGUUAAAGCUAAAUAACCAAAUGAUUUGAAUAAAUCUCGUUGAAGAGAAUAGAAGAUAAGAAAGAGGGAAACAUUUUUGCUUUUAUCGGAUUCUGUGCAGAAAGCCCUGCACCAUUCCACCUUCUUUCUUUUUCUUAAAAAAAUAUAUAUAUAUAUUUGUUUCUAUAUCUUUCUUAGUUUCCUUCACCUCCGUUCACUCUUUUUCUGGUUUUGCCUUCAAACUCAUGUUCUGCAACUUUCUACACUAGCUCUCCUCAGUAGCUUAUUCUUACGCAGGGAUUGACUUCAAAGGAUGAAGAAUCCUAUUUAUCUAUCCAAAUUCGUUUAAAUUUCGCAGAAUUCAACUCUUGGAUAUGCAAACUUCAGUUACGCGUAAUUCAAGAUGAUAAAUUAUAACCAGCAUAUCAUCAAUAGACCAAAAGCACAUUGAAAUACUAGAUAUCUACAUAAAUUGGAAUUUUUUUUUAAAAAAAAUUAUAAUGCUUUAAUGUAUUUACAAAAAUAAAUUUCUUAUUUUAGUGGAAUCGCUUGUGAAUUAACAUAUCAUUUGCUUGAGAAAAAGACCAUUAGUGCCGCCGACGAUGGGAGUUUCUUCGGUUUGGGAGAGAUGGGUGAAAGAGAGAUUGUUGGUGGAGAGAAGAGAGAGAGGGGUAUUUUGGUCUCAAAGGUUUUUUUAUGGCUAAUGUUGAUAGAAGUUUGUUUGGGGGGUUAAGAUGGAAAAAGUCAAAACUUUUAUGGUUAUUGGUGUAAAUUUCCCUGAAUAUUUUUGCUAUUCAGUCACAUCAUACAGACGUACAAAUUCAUUAUCACUAACAGUCACCAAAUAGCUCAACCGUUUUUUAAAAUCAAUUGAACUAAUUCUCCCAUUCUGUUGAAAAAUAAAUUAAUACUAAAUGAUACUCAGUUAAUAAAUGGAUACACUUAAAAUGGAAAUCAUCAAGAAUGUUAGAACCGAAGAAUUCAAUCCAAAAUCAAACUAAAUUUUAAUAUGAAUCGAACCAAACUGAAUGACUCAGACAAUUUGGUUUCUAACAUGAAAACCAAGCCAAACCUGUGAUUGAAUGACAAAACAGAAACGUAAAGAAGGUAAAAGAUAGAGAAAUAGAAAUUUCUGACAAAAGUAAAGUUUUAAGUAUCUUUUAUAUUAACCCUAAAUAAGUGAAUUUAUCAAAAGAGGCAAAUCCAAAAUAUUUUAAAAUAGUAAAAUAUUAUCAUUGGAAAUAAAAAAAAAAUAAAAAAUGACACUUAGAUACGAUAUUUGGAAAAAUAAAAAUCAAAAUUUGGAAAGAAACUAAGAAAAUAGGAAAUUAAAUAUCUUUUGCUUGCAAACAUGGCCCAAAACAAUGGGAUUUCAAAAUAAUUCGCUAAGUUUUUAUGAUAUUGUGAUAAACCUCCUUAUUCAUCUUUUCAUAAGCUUCUAUAUAUAUAUAUAUAUAUAUAUAUCUCAUUCCCUUGAAAAAAAUUUUAAAAGACGAUGUAUUAAUUUCCUCUCAAAUUGUCAAUCAUUUGAUUUUGACUGAAUUAUUUUAGACCAUUAAUCAAUAUACAAUAAUGUAUCGAUAUAACUAUGGUAUGUUUACUAAUUAGUAAUCGGAAUGAGCCGGAAUCAGAAUGGAGUGGAAUUGGAAUGGACUUUAUUACUAUUGAUGUAUUUACUUUAUCUUGAAAUCAGAAUGAAUUAUCACAAGUUACUAAACCGACCUUAGUUGAUUAUUUCAUUAUUUAUAAUAAUAAUAAUAAUCAUCAUCAUCAUCAUAAUAUGAAUAAUAGUUAUUAUUAUUGUUAUUAUUAUUAUGGUGAUGAUGAUGACGACGAAAAUUUCAUUGUUGAUGACUUUAGGGAAUGACAUUCUUACUCCCAUCUCCCCCAUAGGAAUGGGAACUCUAGUAAUCAUUCCUAAUUUUAAGUGAGGCCCACAACUUUGAUUCUUAUUCUGCCUUUUAUUUAACUAGGUAAAUGUAUCAUUUAUUCAUAUUCCUUGAUUUUCAUUCCCAUUUCCAAUAGGUAAAUACAACACUAAUGUAUACAAUAAUGAAAUCGCAAUAGAUACGAAAUAGGAUAGAAGGGAAUAUUAUUCUUUGAAUAUAAUUUUUCUCUAUAAAUUCAAGGGAGUACUUUCUUUAACACAUAUAGUUAUUUUUCCUCUGCCCCCAAAUAUUUCACCAAUUUUACUGCAUACAUACUUGCUUCAACAACCAUCACGUGCUUUUAAUUUAUGGGAACUGGAAUAAAAUCCACCUACUGAUGCAUACACAGUUCUCUAAUCGGCUACUGCACUAUCAUCACGACAAACAAAUUAAGAAAGUGCUUUUGAUUCAAAGCACUGAAAGUAGAGUGAAUAUCUUUUGUUUUUAAUUGAUUUUUUUAUUUUAUUUUAAAUAUUUAUCGUCUUUUGUCUUUAUUUAAGAUUCAUAAUGUUUUAAUAGUUAAUGAAAUUAUCUAAAAUUAGACACUUCAACUAAGGGCAAGAUGAAAUCUUUUAAAAUUAAGUGAGGCAGUUUCAUAAUCCUAAUUUCAAUUGGGGCACUUUCUAAAAUAAUAAAUAAAAUACUUUUUUAAUUUAUUUAUAAUCAUCAAAAAAAUGAUUUCAGAAGUCAGGUAGGGCCGUGCCCCAACUAGUCCACUAUUGGAUCCAUCCGUGUAUAUACCAUGUCCAAAUAAUAAUAAUAAUAAUAAUAAUAAUAAUAAUAAUAAUAAUAAUAAUGGUAAUGGUAAUUUAUGUGAGAAUGUAGAUAUUUGUAUCUUUAAAAAUUAUUAUGAAUGCUCUUAUUUAAAUAAAAUAAUUCAUUAUAAAAAUAAUUGUAAUACUCAUAAGUUGAAUUACUAGUAAGAAUAAUCUAUUAUAAAAGGGAAAUUUACAAAAAUAACCAUAAAAGUUUUACUGUUUUCACAAUUAAUCCUUUAAAUUUUUUUCUAUCAACAUUAGCCAAACACACGCUUUUCUCCCCAAAUUACCCUUGUUUACAAAUCAAAAGCAACAGUCGUGGGUGAAUCUGGCGACAGGCGUCUAUCGCACCAAGCUUGGUGCGACAGACUGCCUGUCGCACAAAGCUACGUGCGACAGGCGCCUGUCGCACCAAGCUUGGUGCGACGGGCGCCUGUCGCACGAAGCUGUAAACUGAUUAUGGAUUAUGAAGCAAAUUCCAGAAUCAGGGAUCCUGUCUACGGCUGCGCCGGCACGGUUUGCCAUCUGCAGAAACAAGUCAGUGAGCUUCAGGCUGAGUUAGCCAAGGCACAGGCCGGGCUCGCUUCCAUGCAAAGCCAGCAACAAAAUUUGAUUGCUUUGAUUUGCAUGGAAAUGGCUCAAUCUCAAGAACAAGUCCUGCAUCGUCAUCAGCAGCAGCAGCUGCAACAGCAGUUCAUUGAUACAAGCUGUUUUUUGGACGAAUACAGUCUUGGCUCUACCUGGGAACCUCUCUGGACAUGAAGAGAAGUUAAAGCAAUAGGAGUGGUUGAAACUUUUGAUUUGAAGUUAAAGCUAAAUAACCAAAUGAUUUGAAUAAAUCUCGUUGAAGAGAAUAGAAGAUAAGAAAGAGGGAAACAUUUUUGCUUUUAUCGGAUUCUGUGCAGAAAGCCCUGCACCAUUCCACCUUCUUUCUUUUUCUUAAAAAAAAUAUAUAUAUAUUUGUUUCUAUAUCUUUCUUAGUUUCCUUCACCUUCGUUCACUCUUUUUCUGGUUUUGCCUUCAAACUCAUGUUCUGCAACUUUCUACACUAGCUCUCCUCAGUAGCUUGUUCUUACGCAGGGAUUGACUUCAAAGGAUGAAGAAUCCUAUUUAUCUAUCCAAAUUCGUUUAAAUUUCGCAGAAUUCAACUCUUGGAUAUGCAAACUUCAGUUACGCGUAAUUCAAGAUGAUAAAUUAUAACCAGCAUAUCAUCAAUAGACCAAAAGCACAUUGAAAUACUAGAUAUCUACAUAAAUUGGAAUUUAAAAAAAAAAAAAAUAUAAUGCUUUAAUGUAUUUACAAAAAUAAAUUUCUUAUUUUAGUGGAAUCGCUUGUGAAUUAACAUAUCAUUUGCUUGAGAAAAAGACCAUUAGUGCCGCCGACGAUGGGAGUUUCUUCGGUUUGGGAGAGAUGGGUGAAAGAGAGAUUGUUGGGGGAGAGAAGAGAGAGAGGGGUAUUUUGGUCUCAAAGGUUUUUUUAUGGCUAAUGUUGAUAGAAGUUUGUUUGGGGGGUUAAGAUGGAAAAAGCCAAAACUUUUAUGGUUAUUGGUGUAAAUUUCCCAUUAUAAAACAACAUUACAUAAUUACUCCGAACACUUGUAAAACGCACUCAAUGUAAACUUAUAUUAUUGGGAUGGAAUAAGCCUAUAAACAAGGAAAGCCAAAAUACUAAAAGAAUUAAUGAGCUACAUAGGUGUCUUGAUUGAAUUGACAGCGAGGAUAAACUCAAUUUCAAAAUUGAAUAUGCGUAUAAAAGUAUUAGUGGAUGAGAACAUGCAGAUAAAAACAGAAACUACAAUGAAAUUACUAUAAAAGCAAAUAAAUUAAUUAGGGAAUUAGUUUCUUUUCACCAAUUAGAUAACAAAUUCGAUAUACUUCAAAAGAAAUAAUACUUUAAAGAAUAUGAUCCUAGAUAAACAUAUUAGCAACAUUAUAGAUCACAAACUUUGGAAGUUGAUACACGGAGUUGAGUGCACAACUAUAUAAGGGGUUAAUUUUAUUUAUAUUUGUUAUCAAAUAUAAUUACAAUAAAAUAGAAGUUUUAUGAUAUUAAAGGAGAGCCUAACUCUUUAUUUUUAUCAUUUUAAAGACCUUCCUUCACCUUAUCCGUAUGUUCUUCCAAGUCAUUUUCAGCCGACCACUUUUAAGAUACUUUCACCACUGUUUACCGCCAACACAACAAAGGUCACCGAUUACUUUUAUUUAGGCAGCUGUUACCGGAGCAGCCGGUCGUCCUUUCUCACAUGUGUAACACACACAUGGUCCUCUACUUGUCAUUCCCACAAUUGGUCACUCAAGUCAAUAGCAAGAAGCAAAGAAAUCUGUCAAAAUCACUUCAGCUGCGUCAUGGCUGGAAAAACAAAUAAAUUAAUUAGGGAAUGAGUUUCUUUUAAUCAAUUAAGUAACAAAUUUGAUACUCAAAGGCAAUGUAAUGCACAAAAGAACCAUGAUCGUAGGUAAACAUGUUAACAAUAUUAUGGAACAAAAACUUCAGAAGCAGGCACCCGUCUGAGAUGGCCUCCUCACAUUUCAAACAAUUAUGCAAAUUUUAAAAGAGUGAUUUACACUUAUUCAAACGCCAUUUUCUUAGUUUUUUUUUUAGUACAUGAGACUAUUACUUAUAUUACAUGAGAUUAUAACUAAUAUUUACAAAUCAAAUUAUUAUUAAAAUUAGUUUACAUCAAUUUUUAUGAAGCACUGUCCAGAUUUUUAACCAUCACUAAUAUUGAAGGGAUGUAUACUCUACUCGCACUUGAUAAGAGAGAAGACUGUUUCCACUCAAUUAUACAUUAUAAAUAAGGAAUAAAUUACCCCCACAAUACGUUUGUGGGGUUUCGAACUACUAUCCUCACAUAAGGGCACCAGCCCUAACCUCCCAACCAAAGUCGAGUGGCUAAAAACCCAAAAAGUCAAUCAAUUAAGAAACACGUAUACUUAAAACACAAAUCAAGUACACUUUGCAAAUGAAAACAUGCCUGAACGAGACCUUUGCUUCUCUCCCCGACUAUGACACAAAACACCCCCCUCCCAAAAAAAAAUAACAAAGAAAUAAAUCACAACAAUUAUGCGAGAAAACGACAACGCUUUAAGUAUAAUUUCCACAUAUAUACCAACCAUUUUAUCCUUCUUUUUAUUUUUGUUCUUCAAUUUUUCUCCACUGCAGCCUGAGGAAGAUGAGAAUUUAUUUACAACGAUUAAGCCACAAAUAUUAUUAUACAAAAUAGUGUGCACAAAAUUCUUUUUUGGGUAAAAAAACAAGUCUAGUAUGUAUAAACUAAUGUGACAUAAAGAGAUUGACAGAAAAGGGAUAAUAAUUAUUUUUUAAAUUAUGUGGACUCACAAUAGUUUUCUACAUUUAAUCUCUUUAUGCUACAUCAUUUCGUACAUAUUUGUUUUUACAAGGUGAUUUUGACUUGUGACUAUCUUGUAUAUCAAAUAGCUUGAUUUCUCUAGUAAUCAGACUAGUUUUAUAUUAGUCUCAAAUAGGUCCCUAGCUCCGUUUAAUGAAUUACAUACCCUUAGCCUUAAACACCAAUUCUUACACCAUCAUAUGUCAUUGCCAAUGGUUCUUUGGUCAUUUAGAAUUAAAUAAGGACCUAAUUACAUGAAUGGACAACUAAAUCAAUACAUUACACCUUAUCACUUGAGCCUUAGACUCCCACUAAAAGGGGUGGACAUUUUGAUUUUAAAUUUUGGGUUAGUCAAAUCAUGAUUCGAGUUGGAAUCCGUUUGGGUUAGAGAAUUUAACCCAAACACAAAACAAACUUUAGCCCGAACCGAAUCAAACCAAAUUAUUCAAAUUGUUUGGUUUCUAAUUUAAAAACUAAACCAAACUUAAUUUUAGGAUCGAUUCGGUCAGAUCAAUCCAAACCGUUUGCCUACCUUAUUGAAUGGAAUAAACUUUUUACUAUUAUAUUAAUAAGAAAAUUAUUAAUCCUGAGUGUAGAUGUUGCUGACUGCCUUGAUAAAUCAUUUGUUCACAUCAAACUGAGGCAUGAGAUAAAUAAAGGUGUAGGAGAUCUAGAGGAAGCUGCAACAUACACAAAAGCAAUAUUAUAUGGAUACGCCAUGCCGAUACUGUGUGUGAAUGAAGAUUCACCAAUGGACUGGGGGAAUGCUAUAGCGAAACAAAUUAGUAGCUGACAAGGAUUAACAUGUCACAGAGUUAAUAGGGGGUUUUGCACAUCUUGAAAGAUCAGGCAAGACCACAAUGUUGAAGCUGGCCUAGCUACUUGAAAGAAACGAGUUACUUACUUCACUUUGGUGGAGUGCAAAUAUACCACCUACACUAUAUAUUGUUGAAAAGUCAAAAUGAGUCUCACAUGCACUGUCAAAUUGCCGAAAAUUUUGGAAGAGUUGGGAGUGUUGGAGUUGGGAUGUUACAGGUAUUUGUCGUAGCAGGAAUUGGAACAUGCAAGGGCUCCAUCAAGUUGCCCACCAUCAAAUCAGGUCAAAGCACAAAAUGUAUCAACAGAUGGAUAUGCAUUUCCUUUUGUUUGAGAUCUUGUGAGUACAAUGCUCUUAGUCCUUAAUACCAUACACAUAAACAAUGGCCUAUAUAUAAACACUGCUGUGAUUGAAGAAAGGCAGUAUUGUUAUCGCUGACUUUUACCAAUGGCCUUGAUGGACCAUUUCUUCGCAUCUAACUGAGGCAUAAGGGGUAUAAAGCCUAAGUGUAGGAGAGAAAGCCACAACAUAUGUACAAAAACACAAUAUGGAUAGACCUUAUUGAUCAUGCUGAGUUAAUUGAUCUCUCUGUGAAUGAAGAGGAUUCCCGUUAAUGCCACAGCGGAACCAAUUUUUAGGAACCAGGGUGGACAUGUCAAAUAGUGAACAGGGGUUUUAAAUCUUGAAGGGAUACAAGACCACAGUUUUGAAGCUCACCUGGCUGCCUGAAACAAGCGAGUUAGUUAACGACGUUGGUGGAGUUCGACCCUAUAAUUAAUUGACUAAUAUCACAAAGAAAAAGGUAUAUUGGUUAUCAGAAUUUUGCAUCCACUUGAGCCAUUCUGAAUAGUGAACUUUUCUUGCAAUGUGAAUAUGUUUUGUUUUGUUUUUUUCCUCCCUUUUUCUGAAGGCCUGAGAAUUUGUUCUUAAACCCGACUUAAUCUAAUAAGCUUGCUGCAUGCUAUAGUCAGCGUAGGAUCUGGUGUCUCGACCAUGUGAUCUUUUUCCUCGAGUUGCUUGUGCCUAAAGAUGCAAGUAGCUAUGCGGAUUCCAACCUCUGAAUUCUAAUCAUCCAUGUGUUUUUGUUCUUAGUCACAGCAAUCACGAACAUACACUAAUUUGGUUCAAGAGGUAAGACCACUUGAGAUAGUACGCAAAGCCGUUAAACCCAAAAUUAUUAAGACUUAAGGUGGAUUCAUAUACUUUGAACUAGUCUGCUUUCUAUAUCACAUGGAUUCAAAUUUGAAAUUGGGCCAACCUCUUUUUUUUUCAAAAAAGAAAAGAAUUAAUUUUCCCUAUUAAGGUUUUCUCAUUGUUAAUGGAACCGGAGUCUCUGACAAGAGGAAUUUUAAAAUACGUCAGAUGUAAUACAAUCAAUCAAUGCAUCUAUAAUAUGUGUGGUUGAAUUUUAUAUAGCCACCAAUUAUAUGCUGAUUCUUCAAAAUAAUUACACAUAUAUCAUAACAUCAUUUACUUAUUGUAUGACUAAUAUAAUACCUCAAAGAUAUUUUAAAAAUUUUCCAUAGACAACAGUCAAUCAAGGGUAAAUCUUAAAUUACGUCAGAAAAAGUCUUUGAAAAAUAUUGAAGAAAGCAUUUACUUGUAUAAUAAAAAAUGCAUAUGAGGGGACAAAAAGAGUGAAGGUACGAGUUUCACUAUUAUCACAACAUUUAUUACUAUUUCAAACAUAGAAAUGUGAACAAUAAUGUAUUUUGUCGAAUUUUCUCUGUUGGUUAUUAAAAUUACUAUGUGUACAUGUGAUGAUUGCUUGCUACUGUGCAAUCCGAUAAUUUGACUUGGAGAAGUAAUCAUAGAAAUGUGAUGAUUACUUGGAGGAGAUUACUCCUAGACUGGCAAUAUUGGUCGUUAGGUUUCUUUGUAGAGCUGACGACAAACUUAUGAAAAUAACGUGACAUAUUGAUACACAACAACAAUAAUGGCAGUGCCAAUCUAUGCAGUGUACAAAAUGAUAUGGCCAAUUUUAAAAUGCGGAACAAAUGCGGAGACCAAAGAGACUGCAGAAACAGUCCCUGAGACAACAGCAAUAAGACAUCAAAAUUGGGAAGAAUUUUCUCAAUGAAGUCGAGACGUCAGGUCACCUAAAAAUGGAUAACAAUAUAUGGUUGUGACUAUCAGAAAAGACCAUAUGCUCGUUGAGUGUGUUUCAAGCAAGGGCUUUGUUUGGCCUUGCACAUAUGCACCCACAAUGCCGAUGAGUGCCGGAAUCAAAUAUCAAAAAAUGUUGAGAUAUGAGAUCGAGCAGAAGAGAUUUCGCCCACUGCAAAAUCAUUAAAAUGAAUAAUCAUCUUCUGUAUAUCCCAUUUCUUUUGAAAAAAAAAAUUAAAAUUAAAAAGACGCUAUAUUAAGUUCCACUCAAAUUGUCUGUCAAUUAUUUGCUUUCAACAAAUCCAAUUCUCCUAUAAAAAUUUGAUGAAGUGCUUUUCUAGUUUCCUUAACAUAUAUGAAAUAUUUUUCAUCUGUAACCCUGUUUCAUCAAAAUUUUACUAUAUACACGCUUGUUUCAACAACGAUCACCAUCACCCUUUAGUGUUACAUAUUGUUGUUGUCGUUAAUUUUGACAAUUUUGACGAUAAAAUAUAAAUUUACCCUCAUUUGAAUUUUGAAAUGUAAAAUUAUCAUAAAACCAUAACAAUAGUUUCAAAUUCCAGUUGACCUGUGCGGAAAUUAAAAUUUCUUAAAGGUUAGAAAAAAGUAAAAAUGUUUUGUUAUGGAAUCAAAAUAUCCCCUCUACCAUCAUCCAUAAUUAUCUAUUCUUGAUAACAAUCUAAUAAACUUGAAAAAGCAAUACAUCCAAUCCCUGUCAAUCAAACAGCCAAACUUCUUCAUAAAGUUUAGCUUUUACUUCUGAAAAUUCUAAUUCUUGAGACCCUAAAUAAAUGGAUAUUCAAAGUUACAUGUUUCUAGAACGAAAAUCUUCAAUUUAGUCCUUUUAAAUUUUGAAAACAUUAAUUUACAUCUAUUUAUCAGUCAAAGGAUUAGAAUAAAUGGAGGCACAUUGAUGACAAACUUUUUAUCUUAUUAAUGGUAUUUGAUAAAUAUAAAUAAAUUGAAAAUUGUCAUUUUAAGUGGAGGUAAAUUAAAAUUUUACUCUGUAUUUAUAGUGCUUUAGUAAGAGAAAGAAAGAAAACAGAAAACAAAUCUCUUCAACGGGAGGCUGAACAAAAUUUUCAGUAGGGACUCAACCAAUUUUUUUCACGGAAAUUUAAUUAGGAGAACAAAAACAAUUUGAAGUGGACCGCAUAUAUUUACUAAAAUAUAAUAUACAAAUUUGAGUCAAUAAUGAUAAAGAAAAUGACCAUACACAGAAGGGUUUGGAUUUGGAUGAUAAAGAAUCCAGUGGCAGCUCCGUAUUUGCGCAUAUAUAUAUAUAAACCCUGGAUUGAGUUUUCUUUUUAGCGAAUAACGUAGGGAACAGAAAACCUGAUCAAUUUGAAAAAAAAAAAGUAAUAAUAAUAAUUAAAUAAAAAAAUUAAAAUGUAACCUCAGCUUGAAACUUGGGAAUGGGAGGAUAAAAGGAAAAGGACAAUAAAAAAUAAAACUCUCACUUUAAGAACAUCUCAACUAUCUCUGCUUAAAAAAAUUAUCUCAUCUCGUGUGUGUGUGUGUGUAGGUAAAACGAGCCUCAUUUUUUAAUUCAAUUUAAUCUCCAAUCGUGAAAAUUUGGUUAAGCUAAAAUGCGGUGCGACCGGGGGGAGUUUCGUCGGAAGGUAAUCGGAUAUUAAAACGAACUCAAUAAGUUAUCAUGAAGCCUAUCGGCAUCAUACUGAAUUACUGAUGCAAAGACAAGCGUUGAAAAUGACUUCUCAGUUUCCAUUUCCCUGUUCCCAUCAAGGGUCAAAGGGCUCCAUUAGCUGCGCGUAAAGGGCCCCAGUGGGAAAUUUAAUCGGUAAGGGGUCCCAGUCAAAAAUGUGAAGGCAUUAAACAAUAGGGGUAAUUUGGGUAUUCGUUUAUUUAAUUUAAUUCGAUUUAAAGUAAAUAAGUUUGAGUUUAAAAAAAAUUAAUUUAUUUAAUAAAUGGUGAAUUCGACUUCAUUUUCACUUUUAGGUUAAUCUGUAUUAAUUAUUUUUAUACUUAUUUAAUUCUUUAUUUAUUGUUAUUGAAGUUUGUCCAGUCAUUUAUUUAUAAGUUUUUCUUUUAUGGAUAUAGUUUAAUAAUUUGGUUGAUGAUUAUGUUAAUCAAUUCUUUUAGGCUCAAUAUUUGAUUCUCUAAUCAUUUAAUUUAGACUUUGAAUUAAGUGUCUAUUUCUUUUUACAGUUCUAAGAGUUGGUUUUGUAGGUUGGACUUGAUCCUUUCAAAACGGUGUUAUUUAUUCAUUAAGUGUACAUGAUUUCUUUAAGAUACUGACAGCCAAAGGGAGAAAAAAAGAAAAAAAGAUUGGAAUGCAUAUAAAGAUACAAAUUAACGAUGAAAUAUGUAGGGAUAACCAAAAAUAAACAAAUAGUUAAGCAACUUUUCUUGAAUCUAUAGAUUUUUUUUUUUUAUCUUCUCAUAUUUUUUACAAAAUUAUUUGAAGAAUUAUUAUAUUUUUUAAUAUAAGAAUUUAUUAAAGUUGAUUAAUUAUUAUGCUCUCUCAUGCAAGCAAGAAUCAUUAAUGAAUAUGUGAUGAUUUGAUUAUUAGGUGUCCAAUAAUAUCCUACAAUAGCUUUUUUUUUUUUUUUUGAUACACUUAUAUAGUACAAUUAGAAUUUUUACUGAUAUUUACAAUCAGAAAUUAGUCGGAACCAUCCUGAAUAAGCCUAUUACAGCACAACCCGAAGUCAACGCUCACUUAAAAGCUGGAGGUGAUCAAUCCUACCCCAAUGUGGGUAGAUAACUAACCCCUAUUAUAUAGGGGAGUCAAUCCUACAAUAGCUUAUUGAAUUGCAAUACUUGGAUUAAAUCUCUUAAGAAAUUGGCUUUCUCAUCUUGUUGCAGAACUCAGUUAGCAACUUAAACACUAUUUCAUGUUGUUUGUCAAACUUUAUCCCUCUUAUUUUGCCUUGUGUCUUCUUCUUAGUCUAAUAAACUGCAUAUAAUAUUAUUACGUAUGAAUACAAGAAAUAGGAAAACAUAUAUAUAUAUAUAUAUAUAAUAAAAAAAUUUAAUAUUACCAGAAAUGUCUAGAGCACUAGGUAGUGCAACAUAUUUGUCAUUUAUUUGUAUAUACAUCAACUGUUGGAGAUGUUUGAAAGAAAUAUGAUCCAAGAGCCAUGCUACAAUGUAUUAUAAUUAUAUAAACCAAAUGACUAAACCAACUAUAUAAAUUCUUUCUCGCAAACAAGAUGAAGCACUAGAAAGUCAGCCAUAAGAUGUGCUUACCAUUUGGUUUCUUUUUUUUUUCAAAGUGAGUUUCAUAGUCUUUUUAUGUUAAAAAUCAACUUUAGUAUAUUAUGUGAUGAUUUUUCAAGUUGGAUUAUUUUAUUAUACUUUGAUUAAUUUUAUUAGUAUCCGAUCAUAUUAUGCAUUGUCGCACAAAAGGUUCUCGUACACAAGUUAUUUUUAAUUUAAAGUUUUUGUUAUUAGAUUUCAAUUUGUAGGACUGAAAUUUGUAAUCACGACUACUUAUUCUUAACAAUGAGACAAAAAGUUUUCUAAUACAAUAUAUAACUUGCCAUUUGCCAAAAAGGUAAUGGUCAGAAGAUAACAAUUUUUCGACUAAAAAUUUUUUCAUCACUGGAUAUCAAUUUACGUGACUAAAAUACGUCAUCAUAGAUGCUUGCUUUAAAUGAUGGUUAAAAAUAGUCAUUAAACUUUUCAGUUAUAAUGUAAAUAGUCGUGAAAAAAAAAUAUUGUUGUUAAAAAUCAUUUAAGACAAUAUUUAAUCUACUUUGCAACAAAAGAAACAGUCACAAAAUAACAUUUUUCGAUUCAAAAUUGUUUUGCCACGAGAUAUCAAUUUAAGUGACUAACCAUUGUAGUUGUGGAUGUAGGGAUGGCAAUGGGGCGGGGUGGGGGUGGGGAUGCCUACCCCAUUCCCCACCCCAUUAAAAAAUUUUGCCUCCAUUCCCCAAUAAAUUUAGUGGGUUGGGGAUGGGGAAUCCCCACGUGGGGAAUGAUUCCCCCAUCCCCACCCCAUUCCCCAUUUACAUAUUUUAUAGUAGAUAUAAAAAUAUGAUUUCAGUAAAUUAAAAAUUAGAGACUUAAGAUAAAAUCAUCACAAUAUUAUAAAGUAUUUAAUUUUUUUAAAAAAUCUCUAAAAAUUUGAAACAAUAUCUUAAAAUGAUAUUAAAAGUGAAAAAUAUUUAAAGAAAACAGCACCUUAAAAGAGAAAAGAAAAUAUAUUAAUGUUUUAAAGUUAAAAAAUAUUGUAGAAUUUUCUUUUAUUCAUAUUCUAUUUAUAUUACAUAAAAAUUAAAAAAAAUUAUUAAUUGACAUUAUAGUUGAUAAAAUACAAAUUAUUAAAUAAGAAUUAAAAACAUAUUUAUAUAUAAUGGGAAUGGGGAUUGGGGUGGGGGUGGGGUGGGGAGUGCAAUACCAAACCCUACCCCGUUAACAAUUUGGGGAUUACUUUUCCUCCACUCCCCACCCCAUUCCCCAAAAAUUAUUAAAAAAUUUCCCCAUUUGGGGUGGGGCUCCAUGGGGCCCCAAACCCGUGGAGGAUUUUGCCAUCCCUACGUGGAUGUUUGCUUCAAAUACCGAGAAAAUAGUCACCUGGAUUUUUCUGAUACGAUGUUACUAGUCAUAAGUGACAACUUGACAAUAAUAUAACGUCGUGAUAGGUAUACUUUAGCGACAAAAACAUAAUGUUGCUAAUUAUAUUUUUGAACCUCUAAAUUGAUGAUUUUGAGUAGCAAUUACUACUAUUUUUACUUACCCUUGAGACAAACAUUUUAGUCACUAUAAAUCACUAAUAGUAACGAAAAUAUAAUGUCGCUAAUUGCACUUUUGACUUUUGAACAUCUAAAUUGACCACUUUGAAUAUCAUUCACGAUGUGUUUAAUUUAAAUUUAGGACAAAUGGUUUAGUCAUAAAAACAUAUUAUUUUAUGUGACAAAUAAUUUUGGUUGCUAUAACCUAAUGUGACACACUUAGUGUGUUACUUUUUGUUAUUCCUGGAUUUGAAAGACAAUUAAUGGUGCACUUACUAAACGAGAGUCGGAAUGGGGUAGAAUCAGAAUGAAUUGGAAUCGAAAUGAGGAAUGAGAAUCAUAAUAAAUUGUGUAUUUUAUUUGUAGGAAUCAAAUUUGGAAUGAGCUGAAUUGCAAUUGAUGUGUUUACUUUGUCUUGGAAUUUAAAUAAGAAUGAAUUAGAUUGUUGUAAAUUACUAAAAAAAAAUUAAUUAACUAUUAUCAUAAUUAUUACUUUUUAUUUUAAUUAUUGUGAUUAUUAUUAAUAAAUAUUGUUAAUGAUAAUUAUUAUUAUUAACAUUAAUAUAAUAAUAAUGGUGAUGAUGAUGAUCAUCAACAAUAUCAUUGUUGGCAUAAUCAUCAUCAACAAUAUCAUUGUUGGCAUAAUCAUCAUCGUCGGCAUUAGAUUAAAACGCGACGGCUACUGUUGCUGCUUGUGACACAACGGCUGCUCAUGACUACUAGAUGUGACGAUUGGCAACUAGUUGUUGCUCCACAAGCAAUGACCGACAGCAACAAGGGAGCUCAUCCACGGAUUGCGUGCUUUUUUUUUAACUGAGGACAAAGUUGGGAUUAUUGAUUAUGUUGGGGGGCAAAAUUGUCACUCCUGGGAAUGAGAGACUAAUUCCCACCCCCUUGGGAAUCAGUCUCUCAUUUCCUAUUCCUAAAUUUGGGUGGGCUCCAUGAUUUCAAUUUCAAUAUUCGCUCUUUUUAUAAAGUAAAUGUUAUCAAUGAUUUCGAUUUUGGAUUCUAAUUCCCCAAUUUAGAAAUUAAACACACCAUAAGUGUAAUUUAUAUUAUGGCAGUUUCAUGGUCGAAAAAUUUCGGUUCGAUUUGGAAUGCCUAUCCCUCUAAUGUUUCACACACACAUGGUCCUCUACUUGUCAUUUCUACAAUUGGUCAUAUGUUUCUAGUCAAUUGCAAGAAGCAAUGUACUCUAGCUAAGUACAUGCAAAGGUCAAAAUCUUAAUCUUAAUUAAUUAAGAUUUAAUUUAUUUUAUAUUUUUAUCUAAUAACUAUCAAUUAUUUUUUCAUAAUAAUUAGAAAAAAAAAUUAGUUUAGUAUUGAAAUCAAAUCCACAUUAGAGUUGGGAUGUUACAAAUAUUUGUCAUAGCUGGAAGUUGAACAUGCAAAGGUUCCAGCAAGUGCCUACCAUCAAACUAGGUCAAGGUACAAAAUGCACCCAACAGAUGGAUAUGCAUGUCCUUUUGUUUGAGAUCUUGUGAGUACAAUGCUCCUAAUCCUCAAUACCACAUACAUAAAAAAAAUGGCCUAUAUAUAAACGCCGUUGUGAUUGAAGAAAAGCGGUAUUGCUAUUACUUACUCUUGCCAAUGGCCUUGAUGGACCACUUUUUCACAUCAAACUAACGCAUAAGAGGUAUAAAGCCUAGGUGUAGGAGAGAAAGCCACAACAUAUAUACAAAAACGCAAUUUGGAUAGACCUUGCCGAUCAUGCUAAGUUAAUUAAUCUGUCUGUGAAUGAAGAAGAUUCACCCUAAUUAAUGCUGAGUAAAUUAUUAGUAACCAGGAUGGACAUGUCAUAUGGUUAAUAGGAGCUUUAAAUCCUGAAACUCACCUGGCUACCUGAAUCAAGUGAGUAAGUUAACCACUUUGGUGGAGUUCGACUAUCUAGUUGACUAAUAUCUCAAAGAAAAGGGUAUGUUGAUUAUCAGAAUUUUACAUUCAGUUAAGCCAUUCUGAACAGAGAACUUUUCUUGCAAUGUGAAUUUGUUUUGUUUUUUUUUUUCUCUUUCCUUUUUCUUGAAGGCACGUGAAUUUGUUCUUAAACCCAUCUUAAUCUAGAUAAGCUUGCUGGAUGCUAUAGUCAUCACAGGAUCAGGUAUCUCAAUCAUGUGAGAUUUUUCCUUGGGUUGUUUGUGCCUAAAUAUCCAAGUAGCUAUGCCUGUUGUUGCCUCUGAAUUCUGAUCAUCUAUGCGUGUUUUUUCUCAGUCACAGCAAUUGCGAACAUACACUUAGUUAGUUCAACCAGUAAGAUUUCUUGAGAUAGUACGUAAAAUCGUUAAAUCAAAAUGAUUACGACCUAAGGCGGAUUCAUUUACUUUGAACUAGUCCUCUUUCUAUGUGGAUUACAAUUUGAAAUUAGACGAACCUAUUUUUUCAUUCAGAAAGAAAAAAAAAAUAUUUUUUUCCCUAUUACAGGUUUUCUCAUUGUUGAAGUAACUAGAGUCUCUCACAAGAGAAAAUCUAGAAUACAUCAGAUGUAAUACAACCAAUUAAUGCAUGUAUGAUAUGUGUAGUUGAAUUUUAUAUAAUCAUCAAUUACAUGUUGAUUCUCAAAGUAAUUGCACAUAUGUUAAAACAUCAUUUACUUGUUGUACAUUAGAUAUAAUACAACCAAUUAAUGCAUGUAUGAUAAGUGUAGUUGAAUUUUAUAUAACCACCUAUUACAUGUUGAUUCUCAAAGUAAUUGCACAUAUGUCAUAACAUCAUUUGCUUGUUAUAUGACUGACAUAGUACCUCAGAGAUAUUUCAGAAUUUUUCCGCUAACAAUACUCAAUCAAUGGUAAAGUUUAAAUUAUGUCAGAAAAAACAUUUGCACAAUUAUUGCUAUUUCAAACAUAGAAAUGUGAAGAGUACUAUAUUUUAUGGAAUUUUCUCCGUUAAUUCUUAAAAUUACUACGUGUACAUGUGAUGAUUGCUUGCUACUGUGUAAGGUGAAACAUUUAAUUUGAAGAAGAUUAAUUCCUUCUAGACUGGUAGUAUAGGUCGUUGCUGCCCUGUCGAGGAAUUCUUAUUAGCUUGAAACCUAUCGCAAAUGUCAAUGCAAAAUGGCUUCAAGGUUUUGUUGUAGAGCUGAUGACAAGCUUCUAAAAACAACAUACCAUAUUGGUACACAACUACAAUAAUGGUAGUCCCAAUCCAUGCAGUGUACAAAAUGAUAUGGUCAACAUUAGAACGUUGAGCAAAUGUAAAGACCAAAGAGAUUGCAGAAAUAGAUCCUAAGACAAUAGCAACAAGGCUCCACAACUGGGAAGAAUUUUCUCCAUGAAGUCGAGAUCUCAGGUCAGCUGAAUGUGCAUAGCAAUAUACGACUGUGGCUAUCCGAAAAGACCAUAUGUCCGUUGAAUGUGUUUCAAGCAAGGGCUUAGUUUAGUCUUGCAUAUUUGCACCCACAAUGCCAAUGAGAGCUGGAAUGAGAUAUCCAAAAAUAUUGGCAUAUGACAUGGAGCAGAAGAGAUUUUACCCACUGCAAAAUCAUAAAAAUGCAUGAUUAACCAUCUUAUGUAUAUCCCAUUUCCUUUGAAAAAAAAUAAAUGAAACUUAAAAAGACCCCAUAUUAAUUUCCAGUCAAAUUGUCUGUCAAUUAAUUAUUUGUUUUUCAAAGAUGCAAUUCUCCUCUAAAAAUUUGAGGGAGCGCUUUUCUAUUUUCAUUAACACAUACGAGAUAUUUUUCAUUUGCGUCCAAAUGUUUCACCAAAUCUUAUUGUGUGCACAUCUGUUUCAACAACUCUCACGGCUCACCGUUUUUGUUAAAUAUUGUUGUUGCCGUUAAUUUUGACAAUUUUGAUGUUAAAUGAUAAUUUUACCAGUCAUUGGAAUUAGGUGUAAAAUUACCAGAAAAUCACGACACUUGUUUCAAAUUCGAAUUUUGACCUAUGUGGAUAUUAAAAUUUCGUAAAGGUUUUUUUUUUUUUUAAAAAAAAAAGAAGUGUAAAAAUGUUUUCUUAUGGGAAUCAAAACAUCCCCUCUACCAUCAUCCAUAAUCAUAUAUUCUUGACAACAAUCUAAUAAACUUGAAAAGCAAGAAAUCCAAUCCGAAUCAAUAAAACAAUCAAAUUUCUUCAUAAAGCUUAGCUCUUGCUUUUGAAAUUUCCAAUUCUUGAGACUCUAAAUAAACCGAUAUUCAAAAUUACAUAUUUCUAGAAUAAAAACCUUCAAUUUACCCCUUUAAAUUUUUGAAAACAUCUAUUUGCCUCUAUUUAUCAGUCAAAAGAUUAGAAUAAAUGGAACCCCGUUGAUGACUAACUUUUUAUAUGCUUAAUGGUAUUUGAUAAAUAUAGCUAAAUUGGGGUAAAUUGAAAUUUUAUUCUACAUUUAGAGUGCUUUAAUAAGAGAAAGAAAGAAAGCAGCAAACCUGAUCUAUUUUAAUAAUAAUAAUAAUAAUAAUAAUAAUAAUAAUAAUAAUAAUAAUAAUAUUAUUAUUAUUAUUAUUAUUAUUAUUAUUAUUAUUAUUAUUAUUAUUAUUAAAUAAAUAAAUAAAUAAAAUUAACAUGUAAACUCAGCUUGAAACUUGGGAGAAAUAAAUAUGUGAAUUUUAUUACAUGUUGAUUCUUCAAAUUAAAAUGUAAACACACUCAAUAAACAUUAGACAUAAUACAACUAAUUAAUGCAUGUAUGAUAUGUAUCAUUGAAUUUUUUUACAUGCUGAUUCUUCAAAUUAAUUGCACACAUAUUAGAAAAUCAUGUGUUUGUUGUAUGAUGGACAUAGUAUCUAAAGAUAUUUUAAAAUUUUUCCUCUGAUAAUGCUCAAUCAAAUUAAGGGUAAAGGUUAAAUUAUGAUAGAAAAAGUCUUUGAAUAAUAUUGAACAAAGCAUUUACUUGUAUACUAAAAGAAUGCAUAUGAGGGGCCAAAAAGAGUGAAGAUAUGAGUUUGACUAUUAUCACAUCAAUUAUUACUAUUUCAAACAUAGAAAGAUGAAACUAACAUAUUUUGUGGAAUUUCCUCUGUUACUUACUUAAAAUUACUACGUUACAUGUGAUGAUUGCUUGUUAUUGUCUAAGGUGAAACAUUUAAUUUGAAAAAGAUUAGUUCCUUCUAGAUUGGUAGUACUGAUUGUUGCUGCCCUGUCGAGGAAGUAUUAUUAGCUUGAAACCUAUUGCAAAUGUCAAUGCACAAUGGCUUCAAGGUUUCGCUGUAGAGCUGACGACAAGCUUCAGAAAACAAUGUCCUGUAUUGAUACACAACAAUAAUGACAGUGCCAUUCCACGCAGCGCACAAAAUGAUAUGGCCAGUAUUAGAAUGUGGAAAAAAGGUGGAGAUCAAAGAGAUUGCAGAAGUAGAUCCUGAGACAACAGCAACAAGGCACCAGAACUGGGAAGAAUUUUCUCGACGAAGUCGAGACUUGAGGUCCACUGAAUGUGCAUAACAAUAUAUGACUGUGGCAAUGAGAAAAGACCAUAUAUUUAUUGAGUGUGUUUCAAGUAAGGGCUUAGCUUGGUUGCCUUGCGCAUUCGCACCCACAAUGCCGAUGAGAGCCGGAAUGAGAUAUCCAAAAAUAUUGGGAUAUGACAUCGAGCAGAAGAAAUUUCGCCCACUGCAAAUCAUUAAACUGCAUGAUUAACCAUCUUCUAUAUAUCCCAUUUCCUUUGAAAAAAAAAAUAAUAAAUAAAACUUAAAAAAGACCUCGUAUUAAUUUCCACUCAAAUUGUCAGUCAAUUAAUUUAUUACUUAUUUUCUUUUGGCUGAUGUAAUCUCCUCUAAAAAUUUGAGAGAGCACUUUUCUAUUUUCAUUAGCACAUGUAUAUGAGAUAUUUUUCAUCUGCGUCCAAAUUUUUCAUUAGAUUUUAUUGUGCGCGGACUUGUUUCAAUAACUCUCAUGACUCACCUUUUUUGUUAAAUAUUGUUGUUGCCAUUAGUUUUGAUGAUUAGUGUAAAAUUAUUAGAAAACCACAACACCUGUUUCAAAUUCCAAUUUUGACCUACAUGGAAAUUAAAAUUUCUUAAAGGUUAAAAAAAAGAGUAAAAAUGUUUUCUUAUGGGAAUCAAAAUAUCCCCUCUACCAUCAUCCAUAAUCAUCUAUUCUUGAUAUUAAUCUAAUAAACCGAUAUUCAAAAUUACAUGUUUCUAGAAUGAAAAAAACUUCUAUUUAUCCCUUUAAAUUUUUUAAAACAUCUAUUUACCUCUAUUUAUCAGUCAAAAGAUUAGAAUAAAUAGAAGCGCGUUGAUGACUAACUUUUUAUCUGCUUAAUGGUAUUUGAUAAAUGUAGAUAAAUUGGGGUAAAUUGAAAUUUUAUUCCACAUUUAGAGUGCUUUAAUAAGGGAAAGAAAGAAAACAGAAAACAAAUCCCUUCGAUACGAGGCUUAACAAAAUUUUCAGCAUGGACCUAACCAAAAUUUUUUCACGCGAAUUAAAUUAGGAGAACAAAAACAAUUUGAAAUGGACUGCAUAUGUAUACUCAAAAAUAAAAUACAGCUUGAGUCAAUAAUGGUAAAGAAAAUGACCAUACACCGAAAGGUUUGGAUCUUGAUGAUGCAGAAUGCAGUGGCAGCUUUGCAUUUGCAUUUAUAUACCUCGCCAAACCCCGGAUUGGGUUUUCUUUUUCACGGCAAAUAAGGCAGGGACAAGCAAACCUGAUCGAUUUUAGAACAAAAAUAAUUAAAUAAAUAAAUAAAAGUAAAAUGUAGACUCAGCUUGAAACCUUGGAGAAAAAAAUAACAAUAACAAAGUAAAAAAAAUCACUUACCUUAAGAACAUCUCAAUUAUCUCGUGGAUUGGGUGUUUAUACGGGCAAAAUGAGGGCCAAUUCAACCCCAAUGUAAUCCCGAUUCCGGAACACGUUUGGUCAAGCUCAAGUGCGGCCGAAUGGGGAGGGUUUCCUAGAAAGGUCGCACGGUAGUCCCCCUUAGAAAGUGAAAAUGAAGCCUAUCCUCAAUCAUACUGAUGCAACACAAGGGAGAUUUUUUUUUGGUUAGAUGUAGAGAAUGAUUAAACAGGUCCCAUCAAGUUCAGCGGGCAAGGGCCCCCCGGUAGCUACACGUGAAGAGGGGGCCCCCAGCGCCCCGGCGGGGAAAUUUAAGUGGUACGGUGCCAAUUAAAAUGUGAUUAACUUAUCAAAUAUCAAGAUUUUUUCCAAUAAGGACAUUAGUUUUGCAUUCGUUCGUCUCAAUUAAAUGGUACGGUCCAAUUAAAAUGUUACUAACUUAUCAAAUAUCAAGAUUUUUUUCCAAUAAGGGCAUUAGUUUUGCAUUCGUCUCAAAUAGGUCCCUAACCUUGUAUGACGACUAAGAUACCCUUAGGCGUUAUAUAACUUAGGAAAAUGAUGUUUGUCUCGGGUUAAAUCCCAAAAAUAACUUAAACGGCGUCGUUUUGAGUUUUUUUUUUCUUUUUUAUACUCCAAAACGUUGCCGUUUCUGAUGGACGAUUUUGAGAAGAAUUAAACAAACCUCUUCCUCUUCGUUUCUUCGUUUCAGCUGGGAAAGCCACAGAUAGAAGAGCAAGUUCGUUAAAAAAAUUUGUUUUUUCGUUUCUUCGUUUCUUCGUUUGUUAAAAAAUUUCGUUACUUUCCUUCCUCGACCAAGGUCCAGGCAUUCGGGAUCCACCAACGGUCACCGUCAACGCUGACAGCCACGGUCACCGUCAACGCUGACAGCCACGGUCACCGUCAACGCUGGUAACGCUGGUAGCCGAAACUUGUUUGGGAAAUUAAACUCACGAAGCGGCAAAGUUCACAGCCUGAGGUAAUGCUUCGUUUUUUCCUCUUUAGGUUAUGGCAAAAUGGGGAAGAUCUAGGUUAGGACAGUUAUGAUUAUUUUUCGGCUGAAUUUGGAUAGCUAUUGUGAUUCCCGUUUUAUUUAAGUGUGUUAAAUUGCAAUUGAUUUUCGGCUGAAUUUGGGUACAAUUUUGAAUUUGCUAAUGUUGAGGUUGAGGAUGAGGAUGAGGAUUAGUAUUAUUGAUGGAGGCUUCUAUUGUGUGCAUUUUGGUAUAUAGAUUGUGUGCAUUUUGGUAUAUAGAUUGCUGGCUGGCUGGUUGAUUGUCGAAUUUAUUGGUAACUUGUUGAACUUGGUUGCUGGUUGUUUGCUUGUACAGUUUAUUGGUAACUUUGUUGAACUUGGUUGCUGGCUGGUUGCUGGUUGCUUGUAGCCUUUCUGGCAUAUUGGUUGUAGUUUCAAACCUUUGUGAUUGUGUGUGUGUGUGUGUGUGUGUCUGUGUGUGUGUGUCUGUGUCUCUGUGUGUGUGUGUGUGUGGUUCUGUGUGUGUGUGUGUCUGUGUGUGUGUAUGGUUGUGUGUGUGUGUGGUUGUGUGUGUGUGUGUGUGUGUGUGUGUGUGUCUGUGUGUCUGUGUGUGUGUGUCUGUGUGUCUGUGUCUGUGUGUCUGUGUCUGUGUGUGGUUCUCUGUGUGUGUGUGUGUGUCUGUGUCUGUGUUUUGAAUGUUUGGAAGAGGUUUUAGUAUGUUAUCUGUUUUUGGAAUAAUAGUUUCCCACCAUACCAAUAAAUCAGGGCUGCAUUGGCUGCCGUCAGGAACUGCCUGAUAAAUAAUUCGAGCCCUGCAUACCAGGAUUGCUUCUGGCUUUCUUUUUUGGGGCUUAUCUCUGUAUGCUUAUGAAGUUUCAGAAUCAUUUGUAAAUCAAAUGCUGUAAUGAUGUUGUGGUUUCCAACAGCCUCACUUGCUAAUCCACUGCUCUUGCUCUUGCUCUGCCAACAACCAAUAUGCCAGAAAUAACACACACACACACAGACACACACACACACACACACACACACACACAGAACCCCACACACACACAUACACACAGAACCACACACACACACACAGAGAACCACACACACACACACAGACAAACACACACACACACACAGAGAACCACAGACACACACACACAGAACCAUACACACACACAAGACACACACACACACACAGAAUUUGACACACAUUGUUCUGGUUUUCUUUUCAUUAUUAACUGUAAUUGUAUCCCUUUUCGGCAGUUUCUUUCCAACGGUAUAUGGCUUCACAAACAAUGUCAUCCAACACAAGCGAGAAUCGAAUGUGUAAUGGAUGCGGUGAUCAGAUGGAGCUGUUAACGUCACACAUAACAAAAAAUCCAAAUCGCAAAUUUUGGAUUUGUAGAGGAUAUAACAACUUUCAAUGGGCAGAAGAUCGUAAAUCUAGCGAAGAGAAGAUAAACUUGUUAGUGGAUGAGGUUAGGAAGUUGGCCUUGGAGAUUGAGUGUUUGGCCGUAAAAUUUCAAUUAUUGCAUAAAGAACUUGAGCAUAUGCGAGAUCGUGAAGUGCAGAGGCAAUUGUUGGACAACGAACUUCGAAAGAGAGAGGCACCACGAUAUGAUUUUAUUAAAUUAAUCAUGAUUGUUGUAUUAUGUUAUCUAUUUAAGUACUGUUUUUAAGUUGUUUGUAUUUGUACUAUGUUACUGGAAAAUACUUCUAUUGUAGAAUUUGACCACGAUAUGUAAUAACAUUUUCAUGUAAUAACAUUUUCAUGCAAUGCUCGGACUCACGGCAUGGUUGUGUUCAAGGAUCAAAUUUCCAAUUACCCAUUUUCCACUAACAAUAUCCAAACGUCCUCCAAUUUUAGCAUUGCAUCCAAUUUUUUGGUUUGGUUGAAGCCGCAAAACAUUAGUGGCUUUGGCUUUUGACUUCCCGUUUCUCCCACAAGUAAAUGUAACAUAUCUCAAACUCCCAUCUUCCCCUUUUCUACAAGAUCUCCGCAUCACUGGAAACCCCUCUUGUAGACCAUACGUUUUAUAAUAUUCAAACAUUUCAUCAGGACUAUCAAAAGACAUCCCAACUGUAGGCUCAACAACAUUUUCCACCACCAAUUCCUCAUUGUUUUCUUCCAAAUUAGCCCCCCAGUAAAUCCUGCAAUUCCCCAACUUCAUCAACCUCCUCCACUUGUUCGAAAUUAUCCAUUAACUGCUGCAAAUGAAAAUGGGAAGAGUUAAUCGAAAUUAUCCACUUGUUCGAAAUUCCCCAAUGCAAAUGCAUGUUAAUUUGCCUAAAGUUUUCAUAUGAUUCUAGGCAGUAAAAGAUGAGAAAAAAGAUUUUAAUCAACAAUGCAAACCCUCCCACCCCAAUUCGUAAGUAUUGCGCAAGUUCUGUAGUUCUUUAAUUGCUCAUGCCGAUUCCAAAAUUUAGUAAUAAUAAUAAUAGAAUAAGAAGAGGAAUUUUAUUCUCGAGCAUUAUCAUACUUUAAUGCAUGUACCCAUUAUAUUAACUUAAUUGUCAAAUAACGGCAAUAUCACCCAAAACAAAGUUUCAUACAAUGUUGUAAAAAAUAAAUUAUGAUUUGAGAACUGAAAAAAUAAUAUGAGAACUGAAAAAAUGAGACAAAUCAAGAAUAUGAGAACUGAAAAAAUUAAUUCAAUGUUACAAUGUUCUAAAAACGAAGGCCAACUUCCUAAAAUAAAAUUAAAAAACAAAAUGCUACAAUGUUAAUCUUCCGUCCAAACUCAGCUUUCAACCGUCCAAAUUCAGCUUGUCCAAACUCAGCUUUCAACCGUCCAAACUCAUCUUGUCCAAACUCAUCUUUCAACCGUCCAAACUCAUCUUUCAAGGACACAUUUCGCAGCCGAAACUCAGCUGCUGUUGGUCUUGUUCUUCAAUGGGUGCGAAACGAAAAAGAAACUCAGACGCUUUCAACUCAGCUUACAAGGACAAAUUUCGCAGCCGAAACUCAGCUGCUGUUGGUCUUGUUCUUCAAUGGGUGCGAAACGAAAAACAAACUCAGACGAAGAGGAUGGAGCUUUAAUUAGUAGAUCCCGUUCUGCUGUCGAUGAGUGCUCCGGCUGUGGAUCUCGGUCGAGGAUGGAAGAAACGAAAAAGAAACGAACAAACGAAAAAGAAAAUAAAAGAAAACGACGCAAAUCAUUCAAUAAACAAACGAAAAAGAAAAAAAAAAAAAAAAGAAACGACGCCAUUUUGUAUUUUUCGGGGUUUGACCCGGGGCAAACAUCAGCACUCUAUAACCUAUACACUUGCUGUUUUGUUCUGCAAAGGAAGGACAACACCCUUUACCUCAGAGCCUUUGAGCUCAGUCUGAGGGCACAUAAAAGGUCGCUUGAAGAACAAGCGGAGUUGAUGUGAGUGUUGCGUUGCCGCAUGGCAAAGAAUAAGAGGGUAUCGCACUAUCGCUAAUCCCUGCGGCAUUUGACGACUAUUAUUAUCAAAACAAGUAUAAAAUUUGACGAAAAUAUCACAACAAUUAUUACCUUCGAUAAAAUUUAACAAAAAUAUAUAUCAUUGGUAUUUCAAAUAUAGAAAUCCGAGUAUAAUAGAAAUAUUUCAAUCUAGAAUCAUAGAUUUCUUAAAGUCUGAAAAAGUUAUGAUUUAAUACAAUAAUAGUUGGAAAAGCUAUUAAGGCAUAAGAUUUUAGUAGUAUAAUAACAUUAUACUAUUAAAUCAUAUGUCUUAAUAACUUUCCCAAACUAUAAUAAAAUUUAGGAUCAUGAAUCAAAUUAGUACACCUGAACACAAAUAUAAUAUAAAUAUAUAUGUUUACGGAAUUUCUCCACUACAUUUCUUUUUGUUCUAAGGAGGUUGUUCCUUAUCACUAGACCUAUAACUUGACAUAGCAGUUAUGAUGAUUGCUACUAGCAGGUGAAACAUUUAAAGAAGAGUUAUUAGCUUGAACCUAUUGCAAAUGUCAGAGCCAAAAGGCUUCAAUGUUUCAUGGUAGAGCUGAUGACAAGUGGUGGCAGCGGUUCAAGCUUUUGUGGGGGCUAAAUGUUCUUAAUAUUUAUAAAUUAUUUUCUCUUUCGAAAUGCGAGUGGGAUAUGAAUAUCCCUCCUUUGUGAGAGGUUAUUUGUCUGGACAUGUACUUCACAUAAUUUAAUAUAAUAAUGUAAGUCUCAAUCAUGUACUUCACAGAAUUCAAUGUAAUAAUGUAAAUCUCAAUCAUGUAUAUCUGAUUGUAAAUAUCAGUGUAAUAUAUUUACUAUAAUAAUAAUUGUAAAUAUUUAUGUAAUGUAGUAAUCUGAUGUGUAAUCAGUAUUUAAAAAAAAAAAAAAAGACUGGUGACAAGCAUAAAUAAACAAUAUGAGAUAGUGAUACACGACAAUGAUAAUAGCAAAGCAAAUCCAUUAAAGUGUGCAAAAUGAUGUGACCGCUGACCAGUAUUUGACCAAUAUUAAUAUUAGAGCGUUGGCUGUUGAGACCAAAGAGAGUGCAGAAACAGACCCUUGGACAACAACAAGGCCCCCGCCACCAAAAUCAGGAAGAAACUUUUCGAUGAAGUUUAGACCUCAGUGCCAGCUAAACAUGCAUAACAAUAAAUGGUUAUGGCUAUCAGAAAAGACCAUAUAUUUACUAAGUGUGUUUUAAGUAAGAGCUUAGUUUUACCUUACAUAUUUGUAGUGUCGCAUUCAGAAUUAAAGCCUAAUAGCAGCAAAUAUAAUUUCUUUAAUUUAUUUUCCUAAAAUGUUUUAAAAUAAUUUUGGAUAUAACAUACUCAUUUAAAAUGAUUUUAAUGAUGAUAAUUUAAUUUUCAGUAUAUAAUCUUAUAAAUUACUUAAAGUCGGUGGAGUAAAUUAAAAAUUUUAUUAGGACAAAAAUUUUUUUAUUGAAUUUUAGAAAAUAUUUUUAGAAAAAAGAUUAAGACUUACGGGGACAACUGCCACAGCUUGUCUUUACGUGACUCCACCAGUGCCGAUAUUUGCACCCACAAUGCCGAUAGGAGCUGCAAUGAGAUAUCCAAAAAUACUAAGGUAUGUGAAUAAAGAAAUCAUCUUAGACCCACCAGUCCUUUGAACUAAAACCACCAACAUGCGAAGAAGAAGGAUUUAGAAUAAAUAAAUAAAUACAAAGUUUUGCUUUUUUUUUUUGCUACAAGAGAAGAAAAUUUGAAUUAGCUAUUUGGAAGAGAUAGGCAUGCUCAAACUAAAUUUUUCCCUUGGGUAUUAAUCAAUGGUCAUAACCCGGAUUUGAAAUGGUAAUUUAAUUUCGCUGUUACCCAGAUUUGAAAGACAGUAUUAAGUGCAAUUUAUGUUUCAGCAGUUUAUGGUCGAAAAUGUAAGUGAAGUCGUUAGCAGAUUGCCUAUUAUUAGGAUUUUUAUUGAUCUAAAUUCUCUUGAAUUUUUAAGAUGCGUACUGUAGUAGUAAGGUAUGGAUAGAAUUUAAGUUCUUAAUUUUUUUUUUAUGUAUUAACCACCAAUCAACGUAUGAAUUUAAGAAAUUUAGAUCAGAAGAGAAUUUCAUCCUUUUGUAUUGAGAUGUUAUAAUUUAAAAAACUGAAAAUAAAUUAUAAUUAUAAAAUAAAAAUUAACAUCUUAAUAAUUUUGACCGAAAAGUAAAAAUACUGUAGAUUUUUCAUUAUAUAUGUAGUAAAUUAAAUCAAUUUAAUUUUUAAGCCACAAUUAUUAUUAUCUACCAAAUAUUUAGGGCUAUAGCUAACCUUAACACUAAAUGGGGGCAUUCGGCUCCCACGAUUAAUCUGUUGAGGCUGCAUUGGUUGGAAUGUACGAUGAGGAUGGCAUUUUUUGUCUUAUUCGUGCUUCAUAAAUCAUUAUAAAGCCGAUUAUUCGUGGCAGACAUUUGAUUAAUAUCUCCUCGCGGUUUCAUAUGGAAAAUUGGGAUGUUACCAGCGUUGUGUUGUCUUAAUAUUUUCCUGUAGUUUUUGCAACCCAGUACGCCACCUGUCAUCUUGUUUGCCCUCGAGGAUGAACAGAAGCCCAGUGCGCAAUGGGCAAAAGGAUUGACAGUGACUUGGUUUCAGGUACAAUUUGUCCGCAACAGCAAAUUAAAUAAAAUAAAGUAAUAAUUAAUAAAUAGAUUAAUUUGAAGAAAUUUAAAUUUUUAUUAAUAUAUUUUUCGUAUUUCAAGGAUUAAAUACCUCUCUAGUUUUUUUUAUACACUUAUUUAUUACAAUAUUGAUAUUUAGAAUCAGAAAUUUAUCAGAACUUAUUUGAGUAAUUCUAUUAUAGCACAAGCUGAAUAUCAAUCCUCACUAAAUUGGAGAAAAAUUUGUCUUCACUAUUAUUAAAGAGAAAUCGAUCAUAUUCCUACCCCAAUAUGGGGAGUCAAUUAACUCCCAUUAUAUAGAAAAAUAAAUCCCAACGAUGACCCUAAGCUGGGACUUGAAUCCAUGCCCUCAAGGUUGUUGAGGGCAUGGGCACACCAAUGGGCUUGUAGCCCAUUGGCAAAUACCUCUCUAGUUGAUAAAUAAUAUUCCAGAUUUUUAUUACUAUAGUUGAUGCUAGUUAGUCCACAUAUAAAACUUAAAAAUUAAGAAUAGGAAUAAAAACUAGACACCAUUAAUUUAAACUAAAACAAAUAAUUUGUUCACUAACCAACCACAAGUUUACUAAGUCCAAGUACACGUUAAUCACGACCAAUAGGAUGAAUACAGUUUAAAACAAAUAAAAAUAUAGAAUUAGGGAUCGUAACACUCCUUCACCUUAAAAGUACUCUUUGCCGUCAAGGGUGGACUUUGUUAAGGAGUCUUCUCUCGUCAACAUACUUCUCCGAAUUUGACCACGACAACAUAAUAAUGGCUAGAGUCCCGUCACCGUCCAACCAUAAUGGCCACUUCAAGGCCAAAGGUUUUGCGUGUGUGCAUGCUUCUUGACUUUUUCAUUGGUGCAUUAAAUUUUGUUUUGUAUUCCGAAAUCAAGCAUGCAUGCAUGCUCCUUGGCUCUUUUCAUAUUCCACAAGGAUGCAUUAAAAAAUAAAACUCUCACUUUAAGAACAUCUCAACUAUCUCUGCUUAAAAAAAUUAUCUCAUCUCGUGUGUGUGUGUGUAGGUAAAACGAGCCUCAUUUUUUAAUUCAAUUUAAUCUCCAAUCGCGAAAAUUUGGUUAAGCAAAAAUGCGGUGCGACUGGGGGGAGUUUCGUCGGAAGGUAAUCAGAUAUUAAAACGAACUCAAUAAGUUAUCAUGAAGCCUAUCGGCAUCAUACUGAAUUACUGACGCAAAUGACUUCCGAGUUUCCAUUUCCCUGUUCCCAUCAAGGGUCAAAGGGCUCCAGUAGCUGCGCGUAAAGGGCCCCAGUGGGAAAUUUAAUCGGUAAGGGGUCCCAGUCAAAAAUGUGAAGGCAUUAAACUAUAGGGGUAAUUUGGGUAUUCGUUUAUUUAAUUUAAUUCGAUUUAAAGUAAAUAAGUUUGAGUUUAAAAAAAAUUAAUUUAUUUAAUAAAUGGUGAAUUCGACUUCAUUUUCACUUUUAGGUUAAUCUGUAUUAAUUAUUUUUAUACUUAUUUAAUUCUUUAUUUAUUGUUAUUGAAGUUUGUCCAGUCAUUUAUUUAUAAGUUUUUCUUUUAUGGAUAUAGUUUAAUAAUUUGGUUGAUGAUUAUGUUAAUCAAUUCUUUUAGGCUCAAUAUUUGAUUCUCUAAUCAUUUAAUUUAGACUUUGAAUUAAGUGUCUAUUUCUUUUUACAGUUCUAAGAGCUGGUUUUGUAGGUUGGACUUGAUCCUUUCAAAACGGUGUUAUUUAUUCAUUAAGUGUACAUGAUUUCUUUAAGAUACUGACAGCCAAAGGGAGAACAAAAGAAAAAAAGAUUGGAAUGCAUAUAAAGAUACAAAUUAACGAUGAAAUAUGUAGGGAUAACCAAAAAUAAACAAAUAGUUAAGCAACUUUUCUUGAAUCUAUAGAUAUAUUUUUUUUAUCUUCUCAUAUUUUUUACAAAAUUAUUUGAAGAAUUAUUAUAUUUUUUAAUAUAAGAAUUUAUUAAAGUUGAUUAAUUAUUAUGCUCUCUCAUGCAAGCAAGAAUCAUUAAUGAAUAUGUGAUGAUUUGAUUACUAGGUGUCCAAUAAUAUCCUACAAUAGCUUUUUUUUUUUUUUUUUUGAUACACUGAUAUAGUAAAAUCAGAAUUUUUACUGAUAUUUACAAUCAGAAAUUAGUCGGGACCAUCCUGAAUAAGCCUAUUACAGCACAACCCGAAGUCAACGCUCACUUAAAAGCUGGAGGUGAUCAAUCCUACCCCAAUGUGGGUAGAUAACUAACCCCUAUUAUAUAGGGGAGUCAAUCCUACAAUAGCUUAUUGAAUUGCAAUACUUGGAUUAAAUCUCUUAAGAAAUUGGCUUUCUCAUCUUGUUGCAGAACUCAGUUAGCAACUUAAACACUAUUUCAUGUUGUUUGUCAAAUUUUAUCCCUCUUAUUUUGCCUUGUGUCUUCUUCUUAGUCUAAUAAACUGCAUAUUAUAUUAUUACGUAUGAAUACAAGAAAUAGGAAAACAUAUAUAUAAUAAAAAAAUUUAAUAUUACCAGAAAUGUCUAGAGCACUAGGUAGUGCAACAUAUUUGUCAUUUAUUUGUAUAUACAUCAACUGUUGGAGAUGUUUGAAAGAAAUAUGAUCCAAGAGCCAUGCUACAAUGUAUUAUAAUUAUAUAAACCAAAUGACUAAACCAACUAUAUAAAUUCUUUCUCGCAAACAAGAUGAAGCACUAGAAAGUCAGCCAUAAGAUGUGCUUACCAUUUGGUUUCUUUUUUUUUUCAAAGUGAGUUUGAUAGUCUUUUUAUGUUAAAAAUCAACUUUAGUAUAUUAUGUGAUGAUUUUUCAAGUUGGAUUAUUUUAUUAUACUUUGAUUAAUUUUAUUAGUAUCCGAUCAUAUUAUGCAUUGUCGCACAAAAGGUUCUCGUACACAAGUUAUUUUUAAUUUAAAGUUUUUGUUAUUAGAUUUCAAUUUGUAGGACUGAAAUUUGUAAUCACGACUGCUUAUUCUUAACAAUGAGACAAAAAGUUUUCUAAUACAAUAUAUGACUUGCCAUUUGCCAAAAAGGUAAUGGUCACAAGAUAACAAUUUUUCGACUAAAAAUUUUUUCAUUACUGGAUAUCAAUUUACGUGACUAAAAUACGUCAUCAUAGAUGCUUGUUUUAAAUGAUGGUUAAAAACAGUCAUUAAACUUUUCAGUUAUAAUGUAAAUAGUCGUGAAAAAAAUAUAUUGUUGUUAAAAAUCAUUUAAGACAAUAUUUAAUAUACUUUGCAACAAAAGAACAGUCACAAAAUAACAUUUUUCGAUUCAAAAUUGUUUUGCCACGAGAUAUCAAUUUAAGUGACUAACCAUUGUAGUCGUGGAUGUUUGCUUCUAAUACCGAGAAAAUAGUCACAUACGAUGUUACUAGUCAUAAGUGACAACUUGACAAUAAUAUAACGUCGUGAUAGGUAUACUUUAGCGACAAAAACAUAAUGUUGCUAAUUAUAUUUUUGAACCUCUAAAUUGACGAUUUUGAGUAGCAAUUACUACUAUUUUUACUUACCCUUAAGACAAACAUUUUAGUCAUUAUAAAUCACUAAUAGUAACGAAAAUAGAAUGUCGCUAAUUGCACUUUUGACUUUUGAACAUCUAAAUUGACCACUUUGAAUAUCAUUCACGACGUGUUAAAUUUAAAUUUAGGACAAAUGGUUUAGUCAUAAAAACAUACUAUUUUAUGUGACAAAUAAUUUUGGUUGCUAUAACCUAAUGUGACACACUUGGUGUGUUUAAUUGUAAUUUACUUUUUGUUAUUCCUGGAUUUGAAAGACAAUUAAUGGUGCACUUACUAAACGAGAGUCAGAAUGGGGUAGAAUCAGAAUGAAUUGGAAUCGAAAUGAGGAAUGAGAAUCAUAAUAAAUUGUCUAUUUUAUUUGUAGGAAUCAGAUUUGGAAUGAGCUGAAUUGCAAUUGAUGUGUUUACUUUUUCUUGGAAUUUAAAUAGAAAUGAAUUAGAUUGUUGCAAAUUACUAAAAAAAAUUAAUUAACUAUUAUCAUAAUUAUUACUUUUUAUUUUAAUUAUUGUGAUUAUUAUUAUUCUUAUUAUUAAAUAUUGUUAAUGAUAAUUAUUAUUAUUAACAUUAAUAUAAUAAUAAUGGUGAUGAUGAUGAUCAUCAUAAUCAUCAUCAACAAUAUCAUUGUUGGCAUAAUCAUCAUCGUCGGCAUUAGAUUAAAACGCGACUGCUACUGUUGCCGCUUGUGACACAACGGCUGCUCAUGACUACUACUGCUUGUGAUGUGACGACUGGCAACUAGUUGUUGCUCCACAAGCAAUGACCGACAGCAACAAGGGGGCUCAUCCACGGAUUGCGUGCUUUUUUUUUUUUUUUUUAACUGAGGACAAAGUUGGGAUUAUUGAUUAUGUUGGGGGGCAAAAUUGUCGCUCCUGGAAUGAGAGACUGAUUCCCACCUCCUUAGGAAUCAGUCUCUCAUUUCCUAUUUCUAAAUUUAGGUGGACUCCAUAAUUUCGAUUUUAAUAUUCGCUCUUUUUAUAAAAUAAAUACUAUCAAUGAUUUCGAUUUUGGAUUCUACUUGUCAUUUCUGGCAGUUUCAUGGUCGAAAAGUUUUGGUUCGAUUUGGAAUGCCUAGCCCUCUAAUGUUUCACACACACAUGGUCCUCUACUUGUCAUUUCUACAAUUGGUCAUAUGUUUCUAGUCAAUUGCAAGAAGUAAUGUACUCUAGCUAAGUACAUGCAAAGGUCAAAAUCUUAAUCUUAAUUAAUUAAGAUUUAAUUUAUUUUAUAUUUUUAUCUAAUAACUAUCAAUUAUUUUUUCAUAAUAAUUAGAAAAAAAAUUAGUUUAGUAUUGAAAUCAAAUCCACAUUAGAGUUGGGAUGUUACAAAUAUUUGUCAUAGCUGGAAGUUGAACAUGCAAAGGUUCCAGCAAGUGCCUACCAUCAAACUAGGUCAAAGUACAAAAUGUACCCAACAGAUGGAUAUGUUAGAUUUAUUUCUCAUAUUAUGUGGACUGACAUAAAUCAUUCUAAUUGUUUUCUAUAUUUUACCGAAUUAAUACGUGACUAAUGUCAAAUAUUAUGGAGCAAUUUUGACAGACUGAUCAAAUAUUGUGUUAAUGAGUCUGAUUUUGACAUACCCUAUACAGUAGUAUAGUAUGGACAAGUAUAAUCCUUAAUUGUGUUAUUUUAGCUCAUAAUGGGAUGGGCAAUUUUGUACUAACACAUGAGGGGUCCAUGCGCUCAACCACUGUGUUUAAGUAACUUCAGCCCAUUGGCAGGUUACUGUUCAAGAAAUCUGUGGCAUGAGUGCAGUGCACCUCUCUCUCUCUCUCCCUCUUGUCUCCCGUGUGUGCACAGUGACUUGUUGAGGAAAGCUGAAGGAAAGGAAGCGGGAAUUCAUAAGCUGGAUCAAAGUUGUAGCAACUCUGUUAAAGCUCCAUAACAAGCUUCCAAGCUCGGAUCCAUGGGAGAUCAUGGUAAAUUUUCGAAAUGACCUAAAAUAUGUGUUUAUUUGGAAAUGCAAUAUUAAGGGUAUAAAGUUUAUUUUUGUUUCAUCAGGAUAUGCAUGUCCUUUUGUUUGAGAUCUUGUGAGUACAAUGCUCCUAAUCCUCAAUACCAUAUACAUAAAAAAAUGGCCUAUAUAUAAACGCCGUUGUGAUUGAAGAAAAGCGGUAUUGCUAUUACUGACUCUUGCCAAAGGCCUUGAUGGACCACUUCUUCACAUCAAACUAACGCAUAAGAGGUAUAAAGCCUAGGUGUAGGAGAGAGAGCCACAACAUAUAUACAAAAACGCAAUUUGGAUAGACCUUGCCGAUCAUGCUAAGUUAAUUAAUCUGUCUGUGAAUGAAGAAGAUUCACCCUAAUUAAUGCUGAGUAAAUUAUUAGUAACCAGGAUGGACAUGUCAUAUGGUUAAUGGGAGCUUUAAAUCUGAAACUCACCUGGCUACCUGAACCAAGUGAGUAAGUUAACCACUUUGGUGGAGUUCGACUAUCUAGUUGACUAACAUCUCAAAGAAAAAGGUAUGUUGAUUAUCAGAAUUUUACAUUCAGUUAAGCCAUUCUGAACAGAGAACUUUUCUUGCAAUGUGAAUUUGUUUUGUUUUUUUUUUUUUUUUUUUCUCUUUCCUUUCUUUUGAAGGCACGUGAAUUUGUUCUUAAACCCAUCUUAAUCUAGAUAAGCUUGCUGGAUGCUAUAGUCAUUACAGGAUCAGGUAUCUCAAUCAUGUGAGAUUUCUCCUUGGGUUGUUUGUGCCUAAAUAUCCAAGUAGCUAUGCCUGUUGUUGCCUCUGAAUUCUGAUCAUCCAUGUGUGUUUUUUCUCAGUCACAGCAAUUGCGAACAUACACUUAGUUAGUUCAAUCAGUAAGAUUUCUUGAGAUAGUACGUAAAAUCGUUAAAUCAAAAUGGUUACGACCUAAGGCGGAUUCAUUUACUUUGAACUAGUCCUCUUUCUAUGUGGAUUACAAUUUGAAAUUAGACGAACCUAUUUUUUCAUUCAGAAAGAAAAAAAAAAUAUUUUUUUCCCUAUUACAGGUUUUCUCAUUGUUGAAGGAACUAGAGUCUCUCACAAGAGAAAUUCUAGAAUACAUCAGAUGUAAUACAACCAAUUAAUGCAUGUAUGAUAUGUGUAGUUGAAUUUUAUAUAAUCAUCAAUUACAUGUUGAUUCUCAAAGUAAUUGCACAUAUGUUAAAACAUCAUUUACUUGUUGUACAUUAGAUAUAAUACAACCAAUUAAUGCAUGUAUGAUAAGUGUAGUUGAAUUUUAUAUAACCACCUAUUACAUGUUGAUUCUCAAAGUAAUUGCACAUAUGUCAUAACAUCAUUUGCUUGUUAUAUGACUGACAUAGUACCUCAGAGAUAUUUCAGAAUUUUUCCUCCAACAAUACUCAAUCAAUGGUAAAGUUUAAAUUAUGUCAGAAAAAACAUUUGCACAAUUAUUGCUAUUUCAAACAUAGAAAUGUGAAGAGUAAUAUAUUUUAUGGAAUUUUCUCCGUUAAUUCUUAAAAUUACUACGUGUACAUGUGAUGAUUGCUUGCUACUGUGUAAGGUGAAACAUUUAAUUUGAAGAAGAUUAAUUCCUUCUAGACUGGUAGUAUAGGUCGUUGCUGCCCUGUCGAGGAAUUCUUAUUAGCUUGAAACCUAUCGCAAAUGUCAAUGCAAAAUGGCUUCAAGGUUUUGUUGUAGAGCUGACGACAAGCUUCUAAAAACAACAUACCAUAUUGGUACACAACUACAAUAAUGGUAGUCCCAAUCCAUGCAGUGUACAAAAUGAUAUGGUCAAUAUUAGAACGUGGAACAAAUGUAAAGACCAAAGAGAUUGCAGAAAUAGAUCCUAAGACAAUAGCAACAAGGCUCCACAACUGGGAAGAAUUUUCUCCAUGAAGUCGAGAUCUCAGGUCAGCUGAAUGUGCAUAGCAAUAUACGACAGUGGCUAUCCGAAAAGACCAUAUGUCCGUUGAAUGUGUUUCAGGCAAGGGCUUAGUUUGGUCUUGCAUAUGACAUGGAGCAGAAGAGAUUUUACCCACUGCAAAAUCAUAAAAAUGCAUGAUUAACCAUCUUCUGUAUAUCCCAUUUCCUUUGAAAAAAAAUAAAUGAAACUUAAAAAGACCUUGUAUUAAUUUCCAGUCAAAUUGUCUAUCAAUUAAUUAUUUGCUUUUGACAAAUGCAAUUCUCAUCUAAAAAUUUGAGGGAGCGCUUUUCUAUUUUCAUUAACACAUACGAGAUAUUUUUCAUUUGCGUCCAAAUGUUUCAUCAAAUUUUAUUGUGUGCACCUCUGUCCUCUGUUUCAACAACUCUUACGGCUCAUCGUUUCUGUUAAAAAAUAUUGUUGCCGUUAAUUUUGACAAUUUUGAUGUUAAAAGACAAUUUUACCAGUCAUUGGAAUUAGGUGUAAAAUUACCAGAAAACCACAGCACUUGUUUCAAAUUCCAAUUUUGACCUAUGUGGAUAUUAAAAUUUCUUAAAGGUUUGAAAAAAAAAAAAGAAUUGUAAAAAUGUUUUCUUAUGGGAAUCAAAACAUCCCCUCUACCAUCAUCCAUAAUCAUAUAUUCUUGAUAAUGAUCUAAUAAACUUGAAAAAGCAAGAAAUCCAAUCCUAAUCAAUAAAACAAUCAAAUUUCUUCAUAAAGUUUAGCUCUUGCUUUUGAAAAUUCCAAUUCUUGAGACUCUAAAUAAACCGAUAUUCAAAAUUACAUAUUUCUAGAAUGAAAAAUCUUCAAUUUAUCCCUUUAAUUUUUUUAAAACAUCUUUAAAUUUUUGAAAACAUCUAUUUGCCUCUAUUUAUCAGUCAAAAGAUUAGGAUAAAUGGAAGCGCGUUGAUGACUAACUUUUUAUCUACUUAAUGGUAUUUGAUAAAUAUAGCUAAAUUGGGGUAAAUUGAAAUUUUAUUCUACAUUUAGAGUGCUUUAAUAAGAGAAAGAAAGAAAGCAGCAAACCUGGUCUAUUUAAAUAAUAAUAUUAUUAUUAUUAAAUAAAUAAAUAAAAUUAACAUGCAAACUCAGCUUGAAACUUGGGAGAAAAAAAUAUGUGAAUUUUAUUACAUGCUGAUUCUUCAAAUUAAAAUGUAAACACACUCAAUAAACAUUAGACAUAAUACAACUAAUUAAUGCAUGUAUGAUAUGUAUCAUUGAAUUUUAUUACAUGCUGAUUCUUCAAAUUAAUUGCACACAUAUUAGAAAAUCAUGAGUUUGUUGUAUGAUGGACAUAGUAUCUAAAGAUAUUUUAAAAUUUUUCCUCUGAUAAUGCUCAAUCAAAUUAAGGGUAAAGGUUAAAUUAUGAUAGAAAAAGUCUUUGAAUAAUAUUGAACAAAGCAUUUACUUGUAUACUAAAAGAAUGCAUAUGAGGGGCCAAAAAGAGUGAAGAUAUGAGUUUGACUAUUAUCACAUCAAUUAUUACUAUUUAAAACAUAGAAAGAUGAAACUAACAUAUUUUGUGGAAUUUCCUCCGUUACUUACUUAAAAUUACUACGUUACAUGUGAUGAUUGCUUGUUAUUGUCUAAGGUGAACAUUUAAUUUGAAAAAGAUUAGUUCCUUCUAGAUAGGUAGUACUGAUUGUUGCUGCCCUGUCGAGGAAGUAUUAUUAGCUUGAAACCUAUUGCAAAUGUCAAUGCACAAUGGCUUCAAGGUUUCGAUAUAGAGCUGAUGACAAGCUUCUGAAAACAAUGUCCUAUAUUGAUACACAACAAUAAUGACAGUGCCAAUCCACGCAGCGCACAAAAUGAUAUGGCCAGUAUUAGAAUGUGGAAAAAAGGUGGAGAUCAAAGAGAUUGCAGAAGUAGAUCCUGAGACAACAGCAACGAGGCACCAGAACUGGGAAGAAUUUUCUCGACGAAGUCGAGACUUGAGGUCCGCUGAAUAUGCAUAGCAAUAUAUGGCUGUGGCAAUGAGAAAAGACCAUAUAUUUAUUGAGUGUGUUUCAAGCAAGGGCUUAGCUUGGCUGGCUUGCGCAUUUGCACCCACAAUGCCGAUGAGAGCCGGAAUGAGAUAUCCAAAAAUAUUGGGAUAUGACAUCGAGUAGAAGAAAUUUCGCCCACUGCAAAUCAUUAAAAUGCAUGAUUAACCAUCUUCUAUAUAUCCCAUUUCCUUUGAAAAAAAAAUAAUGAAUAAAACUUAAAAAAGACCUCGUAUUAAUUUCCACUCAAAUUGUCUGUCAAUUAAUUAUUUGCUUUUGGCUGAUGUAAUUCUCCUCUAAAAAUUGAGAGAGCACUUUUCUAUUUUCAUUAGCACAUGUAUAUGAGAUAUUUUUCAUCUGCGUCCAAAGUUUUCAUUAGAUUUUAUUGUGCGCGGACUUGUUUCAAUAACUCUCAUGACUCACCUUUUUUGUUAAAUAUUGUUGUUGCCAUUAGUUUUGAUGAUUAGUGUAAAAUUAUUAGAAAACCACAACACCUGUUUCAAAUUCCAAUUUUGACCUACAUGGAAAUUAAAAUUUCUUAAAGGUUAAAAAAAAGAGUAAAAAUGUUUUCUUAUGGGAAUCAAAAUAUCCCCUCUACCAUCAUCCAUAAUCAUCUAUUCUUAAUAUUAAUCUAAUAAACCGAUAUUCAAAAUUACAUGUUUCUAGAAAGAAAAAACUUCUAUUUAUCCCUUUAAAUUUUUGAAAACAUCUAUUUACCUCUAUUUAUCAGUCAAAAGAUUAGAAUAAAUAGAAGCGUGUUGAUGACUAACUUUUUAUCUGCUUAAUGGUAUUUGAUAAAUGUAGAUAAAUUGGGGUAAAUUGAAAUUUUAUUCCACAUUUAGAGUGCUUUAAUAAGGGAAAGAAAGAAAACAGAAAACAAAUCCCUUCGAUACGAGGCUUAACAAAAUUUUCAGCAUGGACCUAACCAAAUUUUUUUCGCGCAAAUUAAAUUAGGAGAACAAAAAUAAUUUGAAAUGGACUGCAUAUGUAUACUCAAAAAUAAUAUACAGCUUGAGUCAAUAAUGGUAAAGAAAAUGACCAUACACCGAAAGGUUUGGAUCUGGAUGAUGCAGAAUGCAGUGGCAGCUUUGCAUUUGCAGUUAUAUACCUCGCCAAACCCUGGAUUGGGUUUUCUUUUUCACGGCAAAUAAGGCAGGGACAAGCAAACCUGAUCGAUUUUAGAACAAAAAUAAAUAAAUAAAUAAAAGUAAAAUGUAAACUCAGCUUGAAACCUGGGAGAAAAAAAUAACAAUAACAAAGUAAAAAAAAUCACUUACUUUAAGAACAUCUCAAUUAUCUCAUGGAUUGGGUAUUUAUACGGGCAAAAUGAGGGUCAAUUGAACCCCAAUGUAAUCCCGAUUCCGGAACACGUUUGGUCAAGCUCAAGUGCGGCCGAAUGGGGAGGGUUUCCUAGAAAGGUAGCAAGGUAGUCCCCCUUAGAAAGUGAAAAUGAAGCCUAUCCACAAUCAUAGGGAUGCAACACAAGGUAGAUUUUUUUUUUUUGUUAGAUGUAGAAAAUGAUUAAAGAGGUCCCAUCAAGUUCAGCGGGCAAGGGCCGCUCGGUAGCUACACGUGAAGAGGGGCCCCCCAGCGCCCCGGCGGUGAAAUUUAAGUGGUACGGUCCCAAUUAAAAUGUGAUUAACUUAUCAAAUAUCAAGAUCUUUUCCAAUAAGGACAUUAGUUUUGCAUUCGUUCGUCUCAAAUAGGUCCCUAACCUUGUAUGACGACUAAGAUACCCUUAACCCGUUGGACCAAUCUACCUUACAGAUUCUGUAAGUAACGGCCUGUGAGUUGACAAGAGGAUAUAUGGAUGCGUAGCACGUGGACGGCGGAUGGAAUGGGAUAUUAUAUAUGGAACCAGACAUUCCGGUUUUCUUCGGGUGACAAAAUGAAUUCCUUCCCGGUUGCUGACCGGUAACCCAUCACUGAAAGUGGUAAAAAAAAUUAGGCUGAUGGGCCGUGUAUUGAAAAUCCAAAUAUUUGCAAUUUGAUAGUGGAAAAAUGUUGGUGGUUAUAGGCUUCCAGCGUAUCGAAUUAUUAUUCAGACUCGUGCAUAUAGCAAGUGAGGCGACGUUGCAUCUCCUGCAACAGCAUGGUGUGAAAAAACCCCUUCAAAAUAUUUUCUCACUUUGGAUCCACGGUGUGUGAUCCAGUUUAAGCAAUCGCGGCUGCCUCGGAGGUAGCAUGACCUAAACUGUUUUUUUUUUACCGACACCAACCUAAUUAAAAUACAAUUAAUUCUGUAAAUUUCUCCAACCACGUGUCCUUUUGUUACUUCUCACAUCCGGUUGCACAUUAACCAUUAAAAUCGGUUUCCCCAUGCUUUGGGUUUUCUUUCCCCUUAUUUUUCUGACCGUUGCCAACCCUCCAUCUUUCUCUAUCCACAUUCAACGAUUGAGAUUACAGGUCUGUUACUUACAGAAUCUGUAAGGUAGACAGGUCCCUUAACCCGUUGGACCAAUCUACAGGUCUGUUACUUACAGAAUCUGUAAGGUAGACAGGUCCUUAACCGUUAUAUGAUUUACACACUUGCCGUUUUGUUCUGCAAAGGAGGACACCACCCGUUACCUCAAAGCCUUUGAGCUCAGUCUGAGGGCACAUAAAAGGUCGCUUGAAGACCAAGCGGAGUUGAUGUGAUUGUUGGGUUGCCGCAUGGCUAAGAAUAAGAAAUUUCGCCGUCAAAAUGAAACGUAUCCUGUAAUAUAUAAUAUUCAUUUAUCAGUGAAGUAAAUAUACAGAAGGUUUACGGAGUUGCAUUAUAUGUAUAUUUAGCUAUUAUCAAAUGUCAACAGUAAUCAUUGGUAUUAAUUCUUGUAAAAUUAAGUUCUUAUCCACUUUCCCAAAAAAAAAAAAAUCUUAUUCAUUAUUCAAAGGCUUCCGAGUGCAUUUGGUGUUAGUUUUAUUCAUAUGUGAGAGUACAUCUUGCAUAUUAAACAAAUGAGUAAUGAUAUAGUAACAAACUCUUGUACAAACUUAUUUUGUACACUCUUGUACAAACUCAUUUUGUACACUCUUGUACAAACUCAUUUUGUACACUCUUGUACAAACUCAUUUUGUAUAAACUGAUGUGGUAUGAUAAGAUUGGUUGAAUUAAAUAUCACUUGGCCCACAUGAUUUAUUUUUAUUAUUUUAUAUUUUCAUUCAACCAAUGAAUUAAUAUCACGUUAGUUUGUACAAGAGUUUGUGGUUGUAUCAUCACUCUAAACAAAUUGUUAUUUAGUCCCGCCCUUAUUUGAUCAGAGUGGACCACGGUGGUUUUUUAACUCCGAAUAUUUAAGCACAAAUCAUUUUUAAAUAGUGAUUUACGAAUAUGAAUGGAAUUAAUUCUUCCAUACUGUUCAUGUUCUUAGGAUAAUUGUGGAAUUAGUUCAAAGAAAGCAAAAUUUCCUAAUUCACAAAUUUUGCAUUUUAUUAAAGGUUGGGAUAGUAUUUACAACAUUGUAAACUGACUUUCAUAUAACAACGUUAUAAAACGGUAAAAACGAUAGUUUACAAUGUUAUAAAACAAUGAAAAAAAAAAAUAGUUUACAAUGUUGUAAACACAUCCUGCACUUUAAUAGCCCGAGAUUUUUAGACCGGAAGCAGACACUUCAAAAAGUAAUGAUGUUUAUUUAUUUUUUUCUGAAAAAGGAUACCGACAACUCUUGAUUUAAAAAAUGAUCACAUAAAUUAAUCUUUUAGGAUAAUAUCACCUUUGAUUGCAAUAACCCAACUGUAUUUCAUCUGAUCAUAUAUAAUUAUAAAAAAUAUAUAUAUAAAGGUUGUUUUCCCUUUGACUGCUAAUCACACGAGCCUCGUUGAUCUUUUGCUGGAAUGAUGACCAGAGGAUGGUAUUUUUGCCUUAUUUGUGCUUCUGGGUGAAGCAAAAUAUUGGUAGCAGGCUUUCGCUUAUACGUCUGAUGUGCAGCAGCCAUACACACUGUUGUGAUUGUAGAAAAGAGGGUAUCGCUAAUCCCUGUGGCAUUCGAUGACUAUUAUUAUCAAAACAAGUAUAAAAUUUGACGAAAAUAUCGCAACAAUUAUUACCUUAAAUAAAAUUUAACGAAAAUAUAUAUCAUUGGUAUUCCAAAUAUAGAAAUCCGAACAUAAUAAAAAUAUUUCAAUCCAGAAUCACAGACUUGUUUAAGUCUGAAAAAGUUAUGAUUUGAUAGCAUAAUAGUCGGAAAAGCUAUUAAAGUAUAAUAUUUUAAUAGUAUAAUGACAUUAUAUUAUAAAAUUAUACGUCUUAAUAACUUUUUAAAAUUAUAAUAAAGUUUAAAAUCUUAGAUUAAAUUAGUGCACGAACACAAAUAUAAUAUAAUUAAAUAUAUAUGUUUACGGAAUUUCUCCACUACAUUUCUUUUGUUGUUGUUCCUUAUCACUAGAGCUAUAACUUGACAUAGCCGCAAUGUUUAAAAUUAGUACACGCACCACGUGAUGAUUGUUACUAGCAGGUGAAACAUUUAAAGAAGAGUUAUUAGCUUGAACCUGUUGCAAAUGUCAGAGCAAAAAGGCUUUAAUGUUUCAUGGUGGAGCCGAUGACAGGCAUAAAUAACAAUGUGGGAUAUUGAUACACGAGCAACACGACAAUGGUAAUAGCAAAGCAAAUCCAUUAAGUGUGCAAAAUGAUGUGACCGCUGACCAGUAUUUGACCAAUAUUAAUAUCAGAGCGUUGGCUGUCGAGACCAAAGAGAGUGCAGAAACAGGCCCCAGCCCCCAAAAUCAGGAAGAAACUUUUCGAUGAAGUUGAGACCUCAGCGCCGGCCAAAUAUGCAUAACAAUAAAUGAUUAUGGCUAUCAGAAAAGGGACUCGCCUAUCGUGCAACAGAAGCACCAUACCACCGUUUUUAUCUUUUUUUUAUAAAAUUUUAUGAAGUCCUUUUCAUUUAUUCUUAUUUGAAUUUUUCUUAACAAAUAUUAAGUUCAUUUCUCCCAAAUCUAUGAAUCCUUCAACGGCCGAUCAAUAGCAAAUCGGCUCCUCUGGUGGCUGUGGUUGGUCAGAAAAGAUAGAGAGAACUGUGGAUAACAAAAUUCAAGUGGUGACGUCACCGGAAAUCAGAGAAACCACAGUGAAUUGAAGUGGAGAUUCUGUGACUUUUCACGGCUUCGAUCGACGGCUUUCUGAAUGUUUUACGACGACAAGGAUGGCAUGGAGAUGAUCGGCGUCGCACGAGCUUCCGAUCGGUACCAACCUUGGCCAGUGGAGUAGCCAGAAACAAACAAAAUUCGGGUUGGGUUGACCUAGUUAUUUUUGCGACAAGGAUGGCGUGGAGAUGACUGAGGUCGUACGAUUUUCUGAUCGGUACCAACCUUGGGCGGUGGCGUGGAUGGAAAUGGAAACGAAAUUCGGGUUGGGUUCACCGAUAUUUUGAUAAAGAGAGGGGGGUAUUGUGAUAAAUGUGCAAUAUAGAAUAAAAAUGUGUAAAUAGUAAAUAGUAUAAGGUGCUAAUUAUAAUGUUUAUAUGGAUGCAAUAGAAAUUAAUUUAAUAUUUAUGAGGUAAAGUUUAAAUAAAAAUGAAUUAAAGGGGUUCAAUGAAAUUUUACAACACUACUAGCACAAAAGACAAAACCAGUGAUACGAUACCACGGUGGUACCGCAGCUGGAUCCAAAAGAAAAGAUCAUAUAUUUACUAAGGUAAUUCUUAUCUUACAUGCAUGUAAGAUAGGGGGAUCCAUUUACUAAAUGUGUUUUAAGUAAGAGCUUAGUUUUAUCUUACGUAUUUGUAGUGUCGCAUUCAGAAUUAAAGCCUAAUAAGUAAUAGCAGCAAAUAUAAUUUCUUUAAAAAAAAUUAUUUUCCUAAAAUGUUUUACAAUAAUUUUGGAUAUAACAUACUCAUUUAAAAUGAUUUUAAUGAUGAUAAUUUAAUUUUCAGUAUAUAAUCUUAUAAAUUACUUAAAGUCGGUAGAGUAAAUUAAAAAUUUUAUUAGGACAAAAAAAUUUAUUGAAUUUUGGAAAAUAUUUUUUGAAAAAGAUUCAGACUUACGGGGACAACUGCCGCAGCUUGUCUUUACGUGACUCCACCAGUAUCGAUAUUUGCACCCACAAUGCCGAUAGGAGCUGCAAUGAGAUAUCCAAAAAUACUAAGGUAUGUGAAUAAAGAAAUCAUCUUAGACCCACUAGUCCUUUGAACUAAAACCACCAACCCACCUCAUUUUGACAACUCUUAACCGCAUAUCAAACAACAUGCGAAGAAGAAGGAUUUAGAAUAAAUAAAUAAAUACAAAGUUUUGCUCUUUUUUGCUACAAGAGGAGAAAAUUUGAAUUAGCUAUUUGGAAGAGAUAGGGAUGAUCGAACAAAAUUUUUCCCUUGGGUAUUAAUCAAUGGUCAUAACCCGGAUUUGAAAUGGAGAGUUUUUUUUUUUUUUGAUGACAUGAGACUAUUGUUUAAAUUACAACUCAUAUUACAUGAUAGUAUAACUGAUAUGUACAAGCAUAUAUAUAUACUGAGACCUGUUGAGAUCAAUGCUGAUAUGACAUCGCUCAUAUUUGUAACCCUCUCAAAUAGUCGAGGGACGUCAACUCCCAGCCUGGGAGAAAGACUGCCUUCACUCAAGCUCUGGGGCUCCAAAGAAGGACAUUUAAAUUAAACCACAGCAAUGCGUCUGCGGAGGCUCGAAUCACUUCCCUCACAUUUGUGAGUGAGUGGCUCUAGCCACUUGGGCUAAGCCCAAGUGGUUAAAUGGAGAGUUAAUUUCGCUGUUACCCAGAUUUGAAAGACAGUAUUAAGUGCAAUUUAUGUUCCAGCAGUUUAUGAUCGAAAAUGUAAGUGAAGUGAAGUCGUUAUUAUUAGGAUUUCUCUUGAUCUAAGUUCUCCUGAAUUUUUAAGAUGUGUAAGGUAAUAAUAUUGUAUGGAUGGAAUUUAAGUUCUUUAUUUUUUUUUAUUUUAAUCACCAAUCAACUUGUGAAUUUGAGAAAUUUAGAUCAGAAGAGGAUCUUAUCUCUUUGUAUUUUAGUGUCAUAAUUUUAAAAACUAAAAAUGAACUACAAUUAUAAAAUAAAAAUUGACAUUUUAAUAAUUUUGACAGAAAAGUAAAAAUACUGCAGAAUUUUUAUUAUAUAUGUAAUAAAUUAAAUCAACUUAAUUUUUAAACCACAAUUAUUAUUAUCUACCAAAUAUUUAGGGCCAUAGCUAACCUUAAUACUAAAUGGGGGCAUUCGGCUCCCACGAUCAAUCUGUUGAGGCUGCAUUGGUUGGAAUGUACGAUGAGGAUGGCAUGUUUUGUCUUAUUCGUGCUUCAUAAAUCAUAAUAAAGCCGAUUUUUCGUGGCAGACAUUUGAUUAAUAUCUCCUUGCGGUUUCAUAUGGAAAUUUGGGAUGUUACCAGCGUUGUGUUGUCUUAAUAUUUCCUGUAGUUUUGGCAACCCAGUACGCCACCUGUCAUCUUGUUUGCCCUCAAGGAUGAACAGAAGCCCGGUGCGCAAUGGGCAAAAGGAUUGACAGUGACUUGGUUUCAGGUACAAAUUGUCGGCAACAGCAAAUUAAAUAAAAUAAAGUAAUAAAUAGAUUAAUUCGAACAAAUUUAAAUUUUUAUUAAUAUAUUUUUCGUAUUUCAAGGAUUAAAUACCUCUCUAGUUUUUUUUUAAACACUUAUAUAUUACAAUAUUGAUAUUUACAAUCAAAAAUUUAUCAGAACUUAUCUGAGUAAUUCUAUUACAAUACAACCCAAAUAUCAAUAUUCACUAAAUUGAAGAGAGAUUUAUCUUCACUAUUAUUGAAAGGAAAUCAAUUCUACUUCAAUGUGGGGAGUCAGUUAACUCCCAUUAUAUAAGAAAACAAGUCCCAACGAUGACUCUAAGCUGAGACUUGAAUCCAUGCCCUCAAGGUUAUUUAUCAACUCUCUAGUUGAUAAAUAAUAUUCCAGAUUUUUAUUGUUAUAGUUGAUGCUAGUUAGUCCACAUAUAAAACUUAAAAAUUAAGAAUAGGAAUAAAAACUAGACACCAUUAAUUUAAACUAAAACAAAUAAUUUGUUCACUAACCAACCACAAGUUUACUAAGUCCAAGUACACGUUAAUCACGACCAAUAGGAUGAAUACAGUUUAAAACAAAUAAAAAUAUAGAAUUAGGGAUCGUAACACUCCUUCACCUUAAAAGUACUCUUUGCCGUCAAGGGUGGACUUUGUUAAGGAGUCUUCUCUCGUCAACAUACUUCUCCGAAUUUGACCACGACAACAUAAUAAUGGCUAGAGUCCCGUCACCGUCCAACCAUAAUGGCCACUUCAAGGCCAAAGGUUUUGCGUGUGUGCAUGCUUCUUGACUUUUUCAUUGGUGCAUUAAAUUUUGUUUUGUAUUCCGAAAUCAAGCAUGCAUGCAUGCUCCUUGGCUCUUUUCAUAUUCCACAAGGAUGCAUUAAUUUAUUUUUAUUUUUUUUGUUUGUUUGUGCGCCAGGGGUUACCAAUUACGAUCAUGAUUCUCUUCUGAUCUGAUUAUUUUCUAAGUAAAUAAUUUAAUCACUGAUUGAGUGUUAAUAAAUAAAAAAGUAAAAAAAAUUAAAUCUUACACAUACACUACUACUAAAAGACACAUGACAAAAGAUUAUUUAAAUCUCAAUAAUAUUCAGAUCAUGAGAGGAUCUUGUUCCUACUAAUUACUUCAUCGUUAGGAUUUGUUCCUUAUUAAUUGCUUAGUUCUGAUACCAAAUGUUACGGAAACAAAUUAUUUACAACAAUAAAUCAAAUAAAAUAAAAAGAACAAGUAACAAAUGGGUUAAUUUGAGAAAACCAAAAAUUUCAUAAAUAUAUUUUUAGCACUUCAAGAGAGCAACUACCUCUCAAUACAACUAAUCAGUUGCCAAAUAAUAUUCCAAAUUUUUAUUAUUGAGUUUGAUACUAGUUUCAAUAUUGGUUUGCUAAUAAAACUUAAAACUAAAGAAUAAGAGUAAAACUAGACACUACUAGCCUUUACUAACACAAAUAAUUAGCUAAUUAACGAACUACUAAUUUACUAAGUCCAAGUACACCUUAAUCACAACCGUUAGGAUAAAUACAAUUUAAAAUCAAUAAAAAUAUAAGAUUGGAGAUCGUAAGUCGUAACAGACUUCUAAAGAGAGUCGAGAGAAAAACUUACUUGGGACAAUCCAAAAAAUACUACUUGCAUUUAUAUGACUGGCCAAUUUGAAAACAUAUGAAUGCUUAGCUGUCAAAAUAUAAAUGGAUGAGCACACCACGUGAAACGUGGGCUUCUCCCACCUAAAUACUUCUCAAUCUGAGUAGGGGGAAAUGUCCGAAGAGUGACUCCAAAAUCUGCUUCUUAUGCUAAAAACACAUGUAUGAAUACUCUGAAUGAAUUAACAGAAUUUUAUACAUGCCAAAACCAACUAAUCAUAUGUAAAAUUUAUUAGCAUGCGAUUGUAUGGAUCAUAGUCUUGAGGCAGCUUACAAGGAUAACAAAAUAAUAGUGUGAGGAAAUAAGUUGCUGAUGUACUGGGUUUAAAUGCAAGAUAUGAAGAAUUCUUGGGGCUAUAUGUAGAUCGACUUCAGUAGGAGGGAUCUUGUUGCAAAUUUAUGCUGAUGUGGCAGAAUUCGUUGAGAGUUCGUUAUGCCCUUUCCAGAAAUAUCAGAAUAAAAGGCACUUGUGACUAGCCUCUUAUAUCAGAUCGAUAUCUUCUUCAUUUCAUGUUCAUUUUGCUUGCAAUUUGGUUCUUUGUGAUCCUUAUAAUUUCUUUUUGUUAAUCAAUCUGUAAUCCGAUUGUUGAGAUCAAUAAAAGAGCAGUUUUUUCCUUCAUCAAUUUGUGUACUUGAAACUGUGCUCUGAGUCUGAUUCUUGUGAUUGCUUUCUUGUGUUGAUUAAUCUGGUCUGUUUCUUUCAAGUCUGAUUCAUCAAAGUUCUUCACGAAAUAACUUGUGUAGCUAUUAAAGGUUAUAACAAAUAGAAUGGUGCAAUAAAAGUACAAUAGCUGAUUCACUAAGGCUACAUAUAACCAGAGAAUAUGGUCAAUAAACUGGAAUAACCAACUGUUCUUGAAUCAAGUCCCUCCCCAGGGUUCUCAAGAACAAAACCAAUGAAGUUUGUCAGGACAGCAAUCCAUCAGCUGCAGUGACCCAGUGGUUCAACGGUGGUUCAUUCCAUCAUUUACAUGUAUAACAGAUUAUCUUCCGGUCUUGGCGCGUUUCAUUCCAGCACUGUUGAAGGGCCACAUGCUAGGACUCAUACUCGGACUCAUGCAUGGACUUUCUUCUCUUAGAGUACCAUUCAGCGUAGCAAAUUCACGCAAUUGUUGCUUCUUGUAAUGAUCCAAGGAUUCAUCCUGCAUAAAGAGAUUAGUUUGAACAAGCGGGAAUUAGGAGAGAUGCUGAAGGAAAGAAUAUCGACAAAGUUCACAGAAAAUACAAGAGUUUUUUUUGUUCAUACCACAGGCUUCAAAAGGUUCUCUAGUAUCGCUACAGCAUGAUCCAAGCGGGAAUUUAUUAUAUCCUCUGGAAAUUCGGCCUCCCCUAACACGUGCAGUGGCUCAUUAAGAUGCUCAUAUCCAGGUUUAUCUUUAAGUUUUUCUUCCUAAAGAACCAAAAAGUAAAGAAUUAUCAAGAGAAACCAAGAUGGUAUAAUAAUGUAAGGCAACAUCGAACAUUAGGAAAUACGAAGAAAUGGUUUGCUAAUGCAAGACGCACUCUCCCAUUUGUAGAACACAAAGAACAUGAAAUGAGUCUUGAUUUCCACUUAAUAGAUAAACUAGUAAUAAUAUAAAUUCAUUUCCAGUACAUAUGCCAUCAAUGUAAAACAAAACUACUCAAAAUAUCUAGCUACUCCUACCACAACGAAAGAAAACCACCAUAAUCAUACCAGUUGUCUCCACGAAAAAGAAUUAUGAGGGGCCCAAAAAAAAAAAAAAAAGCUAUAGUUCAUCUGGAAAUCAUUAUUCCAAAGCAACAUAAUUUAUAUGUGUGUAAUUUCAUGCUCAGUACAUCUUUCUCCAGUUAAAUCAAUCAGCAAAAUGUCACAAUCCUCCAUUGAAUAUCAUAGAACUACAUCAUGCAUGAUCAUAAGCAAAUCUAGUCAUACCAUGACCAGUAUCGGUACUAAACUACAAAUUAAAGCAUCUGAUAGAUUGUUACAUAAAACCAGGAUAAUUACAGUGCUAAUCAAAUAACCCGAAUUGCAGAUUCCCUAAUCAAACAAACAUAACAAAAAAAUCUGAAUUACAUUUUUUUUUUUUUUAACCAGAGAUGCACAUUGGCAGCGGAUAAAAUUGAGCAUGUCCUACAAGUUAACAUGGUCCUCCUUUAGCAAGGUCUAGAUGGGAAGGACCAUAGUAAAAAUAAGAGGAAAUACUUUACUUCAUCUAUAAAUCCUACAAUUUAGUUGCAAGUAAAAUAACUCCAAUCUAAAACAUCAAAUGCAUAAGAUUCACAAGGCAAAAGCAGCUUUAGCUAUUAAAAUUUCACAUUCUCAUGCUUUAAGUGUUCAAAUCCACUUUAGCUUGAUUAGAUUGAAUCAGCAACUUAUUCCAAAAUGCACAGCUUCACCACAUUAUGAUAGAUCAGGCCUUUAAAGAAUCCUCGACUGAACCCCGUCCUCUAAUGAACACCCUACAUUCUGUCAUGGCUUCAAUUCUUUUUGAGGGAGUUCCCAUGCGUUCCCAAAAUCCGGCCAACAAAAUUAAACUGCUGUGUGUUUAAGUUAGAAACUAUUAUUAUAAGGAAUUUAAAUAUAUCAAUAUAACUACCUUUUAAAUUGGAAAGCAAAGUUUAAACUUACAUUUGGAUAUUUAUCUACGGUAACAUCAAGUCUAAUAACUCUCUUCACAACAGGUGUGGUUGGAAUUCCGGGAACACCUAGCCCGCCCAUUGAAGGAGGAGUUUGAAAAAGGGGCCAUUUUUUGAAUAUGCCCAUUUUCCUGAAUCAAGGCAUCUAAUGAUAUAAGGAUUCCUCUCUUCAGAAUGAUAUAAGGAAUCCUUUCUUUUAUGCUUGAAAACUUUAUCAUCAAAUCCAAAACAGCACAUGAUUCUCAAACUCGAUGAAACAAUCAAGAGCCCUCUAAAAAGUGAUGUGCAAGAUCCAAAACAGAAAGCUUAGUCAUUUAAAAAAUAGCAUUCAGCUAUGAGCAAUAAUAACUUAAAUCUUAAACAUGGAUGUAAUUUAUCUUCAGCUGACAGCUAGACAUACGAGGCAAGUUCAAAGAACAUUUCUCUUUUAUACCCAAAAAAAAAAUAGCUGAACUAGAAGAUACUCUCAGUUGAUUAGAGAAUGAGUAUAUCGAUCUAUGUGUGACAAUUUACUUUAGGUAUACCAUAGAUUCUAACCUUUGUUACACUAAAAGAUGGUCAUCCCCUCAUUUAAAAGGAACAUAGCGAUUAGAAGAAAAGCAUACAGUCAGAAUUCCAAGAAAUUGCAAUAUAGAAUUUUCUGGCAUCAAUCUCACAAUUACAGGAUAAAAAUACAUGGCAAGUAUAAAACCGUGAACAGGCAUUAUUAGCUCAGUUUGCGUUGUAGAUGAACCCUCCAAAUCCAUUGGUCUUCCAUUCGGCUGACCUGAUGACCUAAAUGGACUAUCAUGCUCAAACCCUUCAUGAUCAACAAAACUUGGAUUGCAACCUGUCGUUUGUCUGAUUAGGUAUACCAUGUAAUAUAUACAACUGAAUCCAGGUAAUAACUAACUGUGCUACAAAUGUCAAUGACAAAUAAAGUUCCUAGUUUUUUCAAAAAACUGCCUAGGCAGUGCCCACCCCGCCACACAAGUAGUCCAGGUAAUUUGCUCACGCUGUUGCCAGCCAAAGAACCAUGAAGAGGAAAAGCUGCAAGGAGCCUUUGCCAGGUUGGUCAGGAAGGGCUUCAAUAGAGUGUAACAUCUCAGUAGCUCAAUUCAUGUACCCCUAGCUGUGCAUGUAAGAAGAAAUGCUCUUCUGAAUAAAGUAUUGAUACCAGAUCUACUGUUGUUUCUUCACAACUUGUUAGGAAAGAUUACUAGCAGCUAAGUUAGACGCAUAUACAUACUACUAUAGGAAAUUGAACAGCUUCUUACAUAAUCGGUGCAACUUCUUAUACAAGUAACUUCUUAUACAAACAAGUUCCCCUCCCGGCAAUAGAUAGACAUCAAUAUUCAGACACCUGAGGGUGCUGAAUGUUAGAAACUUUACUUCCUCCCAACGUAAGCUCCCAGUUUAGACACAUUAGGAUUCCAAAAUGAUAGCUCAGAUAACCCCGUAACAAACAUGAGACUUCCAGGGGCCCAUUUUAUGACAGGAGGCUCUGUAUGAAAACUCAUCCAACUAACAACCCUGACAAGAAAAAUAAACAAAACCAAACAAUGUUUAUAUAAUAACAAUACCAACAUCAAAAGAAUAUAGUCUUUGGAUACAGAACUCAUUAUGCAAACUGGUGCUUAAGGUGAAUGCCCAAAUGUAGAUUCAAAAGCAUUGUUGGUUUGCCUAGAAGACAAUGAAUGCUAUGACUCGGUCAAUGUAGGGGAAAUAACAUCCCUUUGAAUUCUAAGCAUUCAAAAGGCAUUAGAAUCAAGGAAUUUUGCUUAUCAUACCCCUUUCCCGCUCCGUACGCUCCAAGCAUAUCCACUACCAUCAUUAGAACCUUCCAAAACCAAGAAAGUAAAAUUAGCAUAAAGAGUGCAACAAACCAAUAGUAUCACAUAAAACUAAUAAGACGUGCUUGGCCACACUAGGCUGCUUCCACAUGUGUGGGUGCACUUGCUAUUUGAGCAUUUCAUUGAUUUAUUUUGAUUAACAAGCACAACCAGAUGAAAAUACGUACGCAUUUGGAUUUGCAUGGAUGGGAGUGGGUUUUAAACCAAGUCAAUGAAGAAGAGAAAUUGAAUUUAUUGCAAAGAAUUCUGUGGGAACAAGCUUGAUGCUGAAUGCUUUUCUUCUAAUUGCUAUGUUUCUGUUAACAAGGUGGUAACAAAUUUGAGAAUUAUAUACAGCACAAGUGCAAGAACUUUAAUAUAAAAUAUCAAAACAGCCGAAAGCAAAUAUUAACAAAAUAUCCACAAGUCACUGUGCCCUAAGAACUGAAAGGAGAAACUCUACUGGGCUGAAAGAUGCCUCCAAUGUGGAAUUGUGAGAAACUGGCUUGGCAUCAUAAGUGGAUAAAUAAAAAGGGUAAUUUUUAGAGACCUCCCCUGAGGUUUGGUGUAUUAACACUUAAAUAGAAUGUAUUCAUGUAAUUACAUAUAUUUUCCCUACAAUUAAUAUAAAAAUACGUAUAGCGUCAGAUAGAAGGGUAAAUGUGUAAAAAUAUAUUUAAAAUUAAAAAUAUUUGCUUUUACCAAAUCAUUAAAAUUUUGACCCACUUGCCCGCUGUCGGCCCAAACUUGACCAGUCGGUCAUGGCUCCACCGGCGGCUGGUGGUGGUGCGCCACUGCCGGAGUCCUCUCCUCACACCAACAACCAACCCCAUUCACGGCAGCCUUUGAAUCAACUGCGUCCACCAACACACAUUAACCCAAGUACACGACUUUUUGAAGUGUCUCUUUUGCUUUGCGUUUUCCCUUCACUGAGAAGAUUCAUCAGCUAAUAUAAUAAGCUUUGUUGCCUUAGAUUUGAGAUUACAGAGGCCUGAGCAGAUGUGGCUGUGAUGUGGGCUUUAUUGUAUUUGACUAAUAGGCAAAACACAUUUUAUUGGCCUACAAGGACGGUGCCUUUUUCUUCUUGUUGGGGAACUUCGUGAAGAAUCCAGCUUGCUUCUUUCUUCCUUUUCUUUCUUCAUUUUAAUUCAUUUUUUUAAUUUAUAAUAACUUUUUGAGAUUGAAUUAUUGGCUUCACAUGUAAAUCAAUGGUAUUUGGUAUGUCACAAGUGUAUAGUUAUUCUUUUUUUAUUUAUUUUUUCUGAUGUUUUUGUGUUGGAAUUAAUUUCUCAAGGUUUUGGCACCACUCCCCAUUGGAUUUGCUGUGUUCAUGGUACACUUGGCCACAAUCCCAAUCACUCGCACUGGAAUUAACCCAGCAACGAGUCUCGAGGCUGCUGUUAUUUACAACAAGGACAGGGCUUGGGGUGGCCAAUGGCUCUUCUGGGUGGUGGUGCUUUGCCACUGCCGGAGUCCUCUCCUAACACCGGCGACCAACCCCAUUCACGACAGCCUUUGAAUCAACUGCGUCCACCAACACAGUAACCCAAGUAGGCUUUUGUCUCAUCACAACCCCCACACCCCCACCGCCCCUUUGGCCAUCGCCGAAGCCACCCAACAACCGCUAACAUCACCAUUAAAGUGGGUUCAAUGGAAUUCUCACUGCCAAUGGAAUUCCCAAAGUUAUAUAUAAUAAUUUAUUAUUUCAGCAGGAAGGAUAUUUUAGUAAUUUUAAAUGUUUACUAACGGUCAACUUAAUUAGUAACUAACGGCAGGGGAGGUAUAUGUAAUUACAUAGAUACAUUCCAUCUAGGUGUUAAUACACCAAAUCUCAGGGGAGAUCUCUAAAAAUUACCCUAAAUAAAAACAAGAGUAAAUAGAAGCUCAUUAACAGAGAUUCCACUGUAUAGAGGGGUAUAUAUGUACAAUAUGUUACAUUUGGGAGAUGAAGAAAGAAAAAGUAAACUCACAAGUGUGCCUUGGAAUGAGUCAAGCACACGAAUAUGUCCUUCCAUAGUGGUCGGAAGCAUAAUUCUCCCAUCAUUGCUGAACUUUAUGACAUCAGAAUCUGAUACAUCUUCCCCAUCAGAGAAGAUGUCAAAAGGACCCUAACAGCAUCCAAGCUUAACCAAAUUAGUGCAUGAUAAAAGUACUACGACAUAUAAACUUCCAAGAUAUUCUUAAAUAUUAAUUUUAACCUUCUCAUACUUACGAGCAUCAAACAUUCUUAUGUAUCCUCCAAAGGCAACUGCAAAGACAAGCCCUUGAUCAUCGUAUGCUGUAGCAGGCCUUCCUUGAACAUUCAAAAGACCCGGAUUUGCCAACAGAGAUCAUAAACACAAUUGAAAAUGGGGGAAAAAAUACUUUGAAUGUGACCGUGGAUGGCAUGAUAUCCACCUAGCAUUUCUCAGCCCGUUGAUCCCAGAGCAGAACAGUUUGAUCAAGAGAACCAGAGAUAAAGAAAUCUUUGGAGGAGCACAGGCUAAACAACCCUAGAAGCAAUAAAACAUAUAUACAGAUGAUAAUAAUUACAAAAUAUUUACAAGAAUCAGUGAAUUACAAACCUGUCAUGGUGACCUUUGAAGUAACGCAAGUACUUGUUAUCGUGCAAGGAAAGAAACUGUAGAGAUUCUUAAUAAAUGAACGUAUCAAACAGCACUACAAGUGGUUUCGUAAUCCAAAAAGUUCUAUCCAUGAAAGCAGAUAUCAAGCACUUCCCCAGAAAAACAAUUCAAGGGUUCCUUUGAUUUCAAAAGACACUUUAUUAUUUCUGCAAUUUCAAACAAACAUUGCAAAAUUGAAACCAGCUUCUUAUACUUAUUUAAAAGCCAUUUCUUAGUUAAAAGCACUUCCAAAGAGACAACAUAAAAUCCUAAGAAACAGAGGAUCAACUUACGUGGCAGCAGAGACAUCGUACGGCCGUAUAGAUUCAUCAUCACUAGCCGUCACCAAAUAACUCGACGAUUUAUGAAAAUCCAUGGAACUAAUUCUCCCAUUCUGUUGAAACACAAAUCAAUACAAAACGACACUGAAUUAACAAACAGAUACAUUUAAAACGCAAAUCGAGUAUGUUCCUCGAAUAGAAACUUAUUAGAAGAUUCUCUUACAUAAUCUCUAAAAGAAAUGCCCACUUCCAUGCUCUGAAGAAUUUCUUCAAAGAGUUCCAACGAGACCUUGUCUUCUCUCUCCGAUUGUGACCCUAAAACCCAGAAAUAAAAACACAAAGCAAAUAAGUAUAUCACAGCAAUUAUGCCAAAAACGACAACGUUUCAAGUAAAAUUUCCACAUACCAACAUUUUUUUUCCUUCAGAUUAAUUCAAUUCCACUGCACUGAAAACAAAUUUUUCACGGAAACGGGAGGAGGUUGAGAAUUUAUUUAUACUUCUGUGUCAAAUAAGGACGGUAGUUUUCUAUUCGUCCCAAAUGGGUGCCUAAACCCAUACAAUGACUACGAUACCCUUAAGCGUCAGCUCUUGUACACUUAAAUGUCAAGGGUAUUUUGAUCAUUUAAUAAUUAGUGACCUAUUUUCCGAUGCAUAUGUAAAGUCAAACUUCACGAAGAAAACGCUAAUAAAAAUGAUUAAGAAAAAACGCUCAAAUUGGAUCAAAGCUUUGAAUGACAACGUAAGUCUCGAUUUUUUUUUUUUUUUGCUUUCUAUUAUGCGUUAUUUUAUUCAUCAUCUAGUAGUAAUUUAAUCUGCAAAAUUCCAAUUUUUGACGCGCGCGCACCAACAAAAAAAUUUUGAAAGAAUUUUAUUUGAAUUUUAUAUGUGUUCCUAUUUGUUUUAUGAAUCGAAUCUGAUAAGAAAUUGUGGGGAUGCAAAUAUCACACGAUGCCUCCGUUCAGUCAAGUUUAUUCUUGAUUUGUUGAAAUUGUGUAAAUAGAUUUAUAAUAGUUUUUAUGAUGUGUCAGGGUUCGCGCUCUUUGGAUAAUCAUGGAAGUAUGGUGAUUUCUAUUUAUUGUUGUGGGGAAAGGACACCGACUUCUUUGCGUGGUUUUAGAAAUGAUCGCAUAGACUUGUAUUAGGAUAAUUAUACCCUUUGACUGUAGUGAUUUCAUCUUGGCAUAUUUAUCAAAAUGGGUAUUUUCCCUUUCAGCUACUCAUCACACGAGCUUUAACCUUCCACCAGUGAUCAAGUUGAACAUGCAAGAUUCCAACAAGUCCCUUUGAGAUCCCGUCCAGUUGUUGCAGCCCAGAUCCCACCAUCAAAUCAGGUCAAAUUACAAGAUAUACCUAACUUAUGGAUUAACUUUCGUGUCUUUUAGUUUGAGAUCUAGUGAGUACAAUGCUCGUAAUGCCCAAUACCAUAUGGUUCAAGAGGAUAUGAGAGCAUAAAGGUUCAAAUUUAUGAGUUUAACUGGUUGAAAAUGGUGUAAUAUGCCUCUGUGGUUUGUACAUAAUGGAUUAGAUAAUCCUCUUUUUUUGGCCCUCCAAAGAAUUAUUCGUAGGAGACUGAAAAUUGAAUCUCUGAUGCAGUUUAUCCUUGAACUGGUAAGACAAUGUAGCUGAAGUAAUUUUUCAUAUUUCAUAUAGUAUUUGCUAUCACUUAAGUGGAAGACUGACUUUUGUAUAUUUACUUUUUCUGGUGGCUUCAAACAGUCUCAACCAUUUGGAAUGUGACAAACUUUGAACUACUAUAUUAAUAAGAAGAUUAUUAAUCCUGCAUGCCCUAUACUCGCUGCUGUGAUUGAAGAAAGGCGGAUAUUACUAUUGCUGACUGACUGACUCUUACCAAUGGCCUUGACAAACCUUUUGUUCGCAUCAAACUGAGGCAUAAGAGGUGUAAAGGUGUAGGAGUGAAAGCUACAACAUAUGCAAAAACAAUAUGGAUGGACCUUGCCAAUGCCGAGUUGAUCUCUGGAAAUAAGAUUCACAUAAAUAGAUUGGGAAUGCAAUUGUGGAGCAAAUUAGUAGGAACCAGGAUGGAAAUUUCACAGGGGUUGUGCAUCUUGAAGGAUACAAGACGACCGUGUUGAAGCUGACCUGGCUGCUUGAAAUAAUCGAGUUAGUGGGGUUCGACUACCUAAUCACAAAGAAAAAGGUAUGUUGAUUUUCAGAUUUUUUUUCUUCCACUUAUCUCUUUGCUGUCAUACAGAGUGCCAUUCUGAAUAGUAAACUUUUCAUGUAAUGUGAAUUUGAUCCAUAAAGCACCUGAAUCUAGAUAAGUUUGCUGCAUGCUGAGCAUUGGGUCUUGUGUCUCAUGUGGGUUUUUUUCUUGAGUUCUUUAUGCCCAAAGAUGCUAGAAGGCUGGUUCUUACCACCGACCAACCAUCUAUUUAUACUUAGUCAUAGCAAUUGCAAACAUACCCCCUUGGUUGGUUCACGCAGUAAAAUCUCUUGAGGCAGUACCUAAUUGCCAUUUCCAAGUGUUUAACCCUAAAUUUUUAAUAACGUUUUGGUGGAUUCAUGUACAUUGAACUAGUCUUCUUUCUAUAUUACAUGGAUUAAAUUUUGAAACUAGGCCAACCUGUUGUUAAAUCUGCCUUUCAAAUUAUUGACUUAAUAUUGCCAAAAAAGAACUUUUUACCGAUUACAGAAUUUUUCAUUUUUGCAGGAAACUGGAGUCGCAGCUGACAGUGCUCAAGGGCAAUCCUUAAAUUAAAUUUCAUUGCAAUCUUUAAACUUUAAAUUAUUUGAGAAAAAAAAAAUCUUGGCAUAAUAUUGAACAGUGCAUUUACUUGUAUAAUAUCAAUAAAACAAUGCAUGUGAGGGAAUAAAAAGAAUAAGAUGAAAUUUGACGACAGUAAUUGGCACUAUUUCAAGCAAAGAAAUCUGGACACUAAUAUGUUUUCUCUGUUACUUUCCAAAAUUACUGCAUGUACAUGAGAUGAUUGUUUGCUACUGUUGUACUGUAUAAGGUGAAACAUUUGAAGAAGCCCCCUUCUAAACUGGUAGUGUUGGUCGUUGUUGUCCUGCCGAGGAAGUGUCAUUAGAUUGAAACCUACUGCAAAUAUUGAUACAAAAUGGCUUCAAGGUUUCGUUAUAGAGCUGACUGCAAAAUGGCUUCAAGGUUUCGUUGUAGAGCUGACGACAAGCUUCUGUAAACAGCGCCCCAUAUUGAUGCACAACAAUGGUAAUGGACGAGCAAAGCCACGCAGUGUACAAUAUGAUAUGACCAAUAUCAGAGCGAGGAACAAAUGUGGAGAUCAAGGAGACUGCAGAAACAGAUCCAGAGACAACUGCUACAAGGGCCCAAGAUUGGGAAGAAUUCUCUUGAUGAGCUAAAUAUGCAUAACAAUAAAUGGCUGUGGUUAUGAGAAAAGACCAUAUAUUUGUUGUGUGUGUUUCAAGCAAGCGCUCAGUUGUGCCGUGCAUAUUUGCUCCCACGAUGCCGAUGAGAGCUGGAAUGAGAUAUCCAAACACGUUAUGGUAUGCGUUUGACAUCGCGGACAAAUAAAUUUUGUUCCUGCAGAACCAUUAAAAUACUAUAUUAAGGAAAGUAUUAGAUCCAUUCCUUUAGAAAAACAAGAAUUUAAGAGAUCAUUAUGUAUUUAGUCCCAUUUAAUAUUAGUUUAAUUUUUUCAAGUUAUUGUGAAAAAAAAAAAUUAUCAAAUACUUUUAUCGAUCCAUUCCUUUAGAAAAAAAAUAUAUAUAUAUAUAUAUAUAUUUUCAGUGCACACACAACAUUUCUUUACUGUUUCAAACAAUCUGGUUCUAACUAUUAUAUUGUAUCAAACUCUUCUUGAGUUCGACUUUCUUUCAAACCCAAAUAUUAUAUUUGACUUUGGCUUUUCUCUUUAUUUUCAAGAUGCAAUGGGUUUCUAUCAGCUUUCCAAGCCUUAUAAAAUCUUGACAAAGACUUGAAGAAGAAAACAAAUUAUUUUCAGUGCAUAUUGAUUGGUAAGAAUUUAAAAAGGAAAUUUGGGAUUUUUUUUGUUUUCUUUUGAACAUUGUCUGUAUAUAUAUAGGGUAAAGUUUUAUUUUUAAAUACACGUUGUGGCUCAGUUCAGAGAGAGAAGGGAGACGGUGAAGAUUGAUGGGUUGACUUUCUUUUCCCGUCAGCCAUUUUGUAAUAGAUUGAUCAGAGCAAUCAUUACCUGCAAAACUCAACACAUCACCAAAUUAACAACCAACAUUUCAAUUUCAAACCCAACCUUAAAUUGAAACAAAUCUUCUUGAAAAAUAAAGGAAAAAGCAACUCCAAAUCAAAAUCGAAAUGAAACCUUAACAGAGAGACAGCCGCAAGUAUGAGGAGACAAGCACGAUCCUAAAAGAUCUGAAGUCCUGUUGGUAUAUGAGAGAUGAACUGACCUCAAUUUAUAUAGGAUGGAUUCCCUUUGCUCAUUGGCUGCUGCAGCCCUGGACCGUUGAGGGGGGACACGUGGAGGGAUCGUGGGGCGGGAUGGAAGUAACUGUGGUUGAGUUAAGGUUGGACUUUUCAUUAACAUACCUUUGAAAAAGGUAUGUUAAUCAACCUUUCAAAGGUACUUCCACCCCUCACAUAACUCCAGUCAACCACAGUUACUUCCAUCCCGCCCCACGAUCCCUCCACGUGAGCUGCUGCAGCCAAUGAGCAAAGGGAAUCCAUCCUAUAUAAAUUGAGAUCCCUGUUGAAACACAUAAAACGACGCUGAAUUAACACACAAAUACACUUAAAAGUCUGUUUCCCAAACAAAAACUUUUUAGAAGAUUCUCUUACGUAAUCUCCAAAACACAUGCCCACUUCCAUGCUCUGAAGAAUUUCUUCAGAGAGUUCCAACGAGACCUUGUCUUUUCUCUCUGAUUGUGAGCCCAAAAACCAGAAAAAAAAACUAAAUAAAUAAAUCACAACAAUUGCGAGAAAACGACAAUGUUUCAAGUAUAAUUUCCACAUACCAACCAUUUUUUUCCUUCAGAUUAAUUCAAUUCCACUGGAUUGAAAAUAAAUUUUCUGCGGGAACGGGAGGAAGUUGAUAAUUUAUUUAUACUUCUGUGUCAAACAGCAUGAUUUCCCAAAUAAGGACUAUAGUUUUCUACUCGUCCCAAAUGGGUGCCUAAACCCGAGCAAUGACUACGAUACCCUUAAGCGUCAGCUCCUGUACACUUAAAUGCAAGGGUAUUUUGAUCAUUUAAUAAUUAGUGACCUACUUUCUGAUGCAUAUAAAAGCACACUUCACGAAGAAAACAUCAAGAAUGAGGAAGAAAAACGCCGAUUGAGGAUGCUCAAAUUGGAUCAAAGCUUUGAAUGACAACGUAAGUCUCGAUUUUUUUUGUUUUCUAUUAUGUGUUAUUGUGGGGAAAGGACACCGGCUUCUUUGCGUGGUUUUAGAAAUGAUCACAUAGACUUGUAUUAGGCUAAUUAUACCCUUUGACUGCAGUGAUUUCAUCUUGGCAUAUUUAUGAAAAUGGGUAUUUUCCCUUUUAACUACUCAUCACACGAGCUUUAACCUUCCAUCAGUGAUCUGUUGAGGCCGAAUGAUGAGCGGAGGAUAGCGUGUUUGGCUUAUUCGUGCGUCAAGGUGAAGCAGAUUAUUGGUGGCAGGAUUAAGCUCGUCGGAUAUUGCAACCAAUUCCUUGGAAAAUGUUUGUGAAUGGCUUGAAGCAUUGAGAUAUCAUUCUAUUAUCUCCGUGUGUUUUCAUAAGCAAAAUUGGGAUGCUAAUAGUGUUGUCAUAGCAGGAAGUUGAACAUGCAAGAUUCCAGCAAGUCCCUUUGAGAUCCCGUCCAGUCGUUGCAACCCAGAUCCCGCCAUCAAAUCAGGUCAAAUUACAGGAUAUACCUAACUUAUGGAUUAAUUUUCAUGUCUUUUAGUUUGAGAUGUGGUGAGUACAAUGCUCGUAAUGCUCAAUACCAUGUGGUUCAAGACAAUAUGGGAUAUAAAGGUUCAAAUUUUUGAGUUUAGCCGGUUGAAAAUGGUGUAAUCUGCCUCUUAGCAAGCUUUUGUGGUAUGUACAGAUGGAUUAGAUAAUCCUCUUUUUUUCACCGUUCAAAGAAUUAUUCGUAGGGGACUGAAAAUUGAGUCUCUGAUGCAGUUUAUCCUUGAACUAGUAAGACAAUGUAGCUGAAGUAAUUUUUCAUAUUCCAUAUAGUAUUUGCUAUCACUUAAGUGGAAGACUAACUUUUUUAUCUCUACUUUUUCUGGCGACUUCAAACAGUCUCAACCUUUUGGAAUGUGACAAAAUUUGAACUACUAUAGUAAUAAGAAGAUUACUAACCCUGUGUGCCGGGUACACACUGCUGUGAUUGAAGAAAGGCUAACCCUGUGUGCCCUAUACACACUGCUGUGAUUGAAGAAAGGCUGAUAUUACUUUUGCUGACUGACUGAGUGUAAAGGUGUGGGAGUGAAAGCUACAACAUACACAAACAAUAUGGAUGGACCUUGCCAAUGCUGAGUUGAUCUCUGCGAAUGAAGAUUCACCUAAAUAGAUUGGGAAUGCCAUUGUGGAGCAAAUUAGUAGGAACCAGGAUGGAAAUUCCACAGUGGUUAUGCAUCUUGAAGGAUACAAGACGACUGUGUUGAAGCUGACCCAGCUACUUGAAAUAACCGAGUUAGUGGGGUUUGACUACCCAAUCACAAAGAAAAAGGUAUGUUGAUUAUCAGAAUUUUUCUACCACUUAUCUCUUUGCUGUCAAACAGAGUGCCAUUUUGAAUAGUGAACUUUUCAUGUAAUGUGAAUUUGAUUCUUAAAGCACCUGAAUCUAGAUAAGCUUGCUGCAUGCUGAGUAAAGAGUCUUGUGUCUCAUGUGGGCUUUUUUCUUGAGUUCUUUGUGCCUGAAGAUGCCAGUAGGCUGGUUCUUACCACUGACCAACUAUCUCUUUGUAGUUAGUCACAGCAAUCACAAACAUACCCCUUGGUCGGUUCAAGCGGUAAGAUCUCUUGAGGUAGUACCUAAUUGCCGUUUCCAAGUGUUUCACCCUAAAUUUUUAAAACUUUUUGGUGGAUUCAUAUACAUUGAACUAGUCUUCUUUCUAUAUCACAUGGAUUAAAUUUUGAAAUUAGGCCAACCUAUUGUUAAAUCUGCCUUUCAAAUUAUUGACUUAAUAUUGCCAAAAAAGAACUUUUUACCUAUUACAGAAUUUUUCAUUGUUGCAGGAAACUGGAGUCGCAGCUGACAGUGCUCAAGGGCAAUCCUUAAAUUAAAUUUCAUUGCAAUCUUUAAAAUUUAAAUUAUUUGAGGAAAAAAAAUCUUGGCAUAAUAUUGAACAAUGCAUUUACUUGUAUAAUAUCAAUAAAACAAUGCAUGUGAGAUUGUGAGGGAAUAAAAAGAAUAAGACGAAAUUUGACGACAGUAAUUAGCACUAUUUCAAGCAAAGAAAUCUGGACACUAAUAUGUUUUCUCUGUUACUUUCCAAAAUUACUGCAUGUACAUGAGAUGAUUGUUUGCUACUGUUGUACUGUAUAAGGUGAAACAUUUGAAGAAGCCCCCUUCUAAACUGGUAGUGUUGGUCGUUGUUGUCCUGCCGAGGAAGUGUCAUUAGAUUGAAACCUACUGCAAAUAUUGAUACAAAAUGGCUUCAAGGUUUCGAUAUAGAGCUGACUGCAAAAUGGCUUCAAGGUUUCAUUGUAGAGCUGACGACAAGCUUCUGUAAACAGCGCUCCAUAUUGAUGCACAACAAUGAUAAUGGACGAGCAAAGCCAGGCAGUGUACAAUAUGAUAUGACCAAUAUCAGAGCGUGGAACAAAUGUGGAGGCUAGUGAGACUGCAGAAACAGAUCCGGAGACUCGUGCUACAAGGGCCCAAGAUUGGGAAGAAUUCUCUUGAUGAGCUAAAUGUGCAUAACAAUAAAUGGCUGUGGUUAUAAGAAAAGACCAUAUAUAUGUUGUGUGUGUUUCAAGCAAGCGCUCAGUUGUGCCUUGCAUAUUUGCUCCCACGAUGCCGAUGAGAACUGGAAUGAGAUAUCCAAACACGUUAUGGUAUGCGUUUGACAUCGCGGACAAAUAAAUUUUGUUCCUGCGGAACCAUUAAAAUACUAUAUUAAGGAAAGUAUUAGAUCCAUUCCUUUAGAAAAACAAGAAUUUAAGAGAUCAUUAUGUAUUUAGUCCCAUUUAAUAUUAGUUUAAUUUUUUCAAGUUAUUGUGAAAAAAAAAAUUAUCAAAUACUUUUAUCGAUCCAUUCCUUUAGAAAAAAUAUAUAUAUAUAUAUAUUUUCAGUGCACACACAACAUUUCUUUACUGUUUCAAACAAUCUGGUUCUAACUAUUAUAUUGUAUCAAACUCUUCUUGAGUUCGACUUUCUUUCAAACCCAAAUAUUAUAUUUGACUUUGGCUUUUCUCUUUAUUUUCAAGAUGCAAUGGGUUUCUAUCAGCUUUCCAAGCCUUAUAAAAUCUUGACAAAGACUUGAAGAAGAAAACAAAUUAUUUUCAGUGCAUAUUGAUUGGUAAGAAUUUAAAAAGGAAAUUUGGGAUUUUUUUUGUUUUCUUUUGAACAUUGUCUGUAUAUAUAUAGGGUAAAGUUUUAUUUUUAAAUACACGUUGUGGCUCAGUUCAGAAAGAGAAGGGAGACUGUCAAGAUUGCUGGGUUGACUUCCUUUUCCCGUCAGCCAUUUUGUAAUAGAUUGAUCAGAGCAAUCAUUACCUGCAAAACUCAACACAACACCAAAUUAACAACCAACAUUUCAAUUUCAAACCCGACCUUAAAUUGAAACAAAUCUACUUGAAAAUAAAAGAAAAAGCAACUCCAAAUCAAAAUCGAAAUAAAACCUUUUAUAACAGAGACAGCCGCGAGUAUGAAGAGAGAAGCGCCAUCCUAAAAGAUCUGAAGUCGUGUUGUAUAUGUCUUGUAUAGAUUGACAGAGCAAUCAAAGGCCGUGUCGACUAGAGCGAUCGAAGAGGAGAAGAGAUAAGAGAGGAAAAAAGAUAGUUAAUUUGAUGCUGCAGCUCUGGAGCGUUGCUCAAUUUAUUAAGGAGGGAUUCCCUUCGCUUGCUCAAUUUAUACAGGAGGAUUUUCCCUUCGCUCAUUUGUUGCUGCAGCUCUGGACCGUUGAGGGGGGACACGUGGAGGGAUCGUGGGGCGGGGUGGAUUAGUGGAAGUAACUGUGGUUGAGUUAAGGUUGACUAGAGUUAUGUGACGGAUCUAAGGCUGGGUGUUUUCGUUUUGGAUAUGUCGUUUUGUCAGUGGGAAUGGCGUCGUUUGUUUGGGUUUAAAAUUGCGCACAUUUAUUAUACGUAGCGGAAUCGUACAAAAAUUGCUGCUGCAGCUCUCCUUUAUUAAUCUGAAGGAAAAAAAAAUUGGUUGGUAUGUGGAAAUUAUACUUGAAACGUUGUCGUUUUUGGCAUAAUUGCUGUGAUAUUUUUUUGUUUGUGUUUUUUUUUUUCUUUUUUCUGGGUUUUAGGGUCAAAAUUGGCUCAUUUCACAUCAUAAUAGACAACAAAAUAAAAUAAAAUAAAAUGAUUAAUUGAUUUAAUCAAUAAUUUGGUUCUGCCUACUUGAAAAAUGAAACGGAUAUCGUGGGAAAUUGGCAGCCCGCCAGUCCCCGGUUCCCACUCCCCAUCGCGCUUCUCUUACUAUUAAAAUACGAGUCAAGUUAGUACACAACGAAAGACAUUGCACAAUUAGCACAGCUUCCCUCUCUGUCUCUUUCACUUCCUCCUUCGUUAUUCAUCUCGCGCUCACUACUGAAUAUUGGAUCGCACCAACUAUGGCUCUCUCUUCCGGGAUUGCUAUUGGAGCUAAACAAUCUAUUUCUCCAUUUUUCACUGUUUCACAACCGAGCCUUAGUUACAGAAAACAGGUCGGUUCAUCCGCAUGCAGUAUUCAAGAUUUUGUUUUUGUUGCUUUUUCUAUCUGGGUUCUCAAUUCUUUUGCUUGCUUGUUUAAAGAUUCUUGUUUUUCGUAUCUGUAUCUGUAUCUGUAUCUGUGUUAUGUGCGUUUCUUGGUUUCUCACACAUGAUCAUCACCAUUGAGUUUGUAUGUAUUGACUGUGGUUGGUUGGUUCGUUGUCGUGGUGAUGUGUUUCAGAAUUUCUGUUUGAGAGCGUCCGCUGAGAAUCUUCUAAUAAGUUUCUGUUUGAGGAACAUACUUGAUUUGCGUUUUAAAUGUAUCUGUUUGUUAAUCCAGUGUCGUUUUGUAUUGAUUCGUGUUUUAACAGAAUGGGAGAAUUAGUUCCUUGGAUUUUCAUAAAUCAUUGAGUUAUUUGGUGAUGGCUAGUGAUGAUGAAUCUAUACGGCCGUACGAUGUCUCUGCUUCCACGUAAGUUGAUCCUCUGUUUCUUAGGAUUUUAUGUUGUCUCUUGGGAAUGCUUUUAAAUAAGAAAUGGCUUUUGAAUAAGUAUAAAAAGCUGGUUUCAAUCUUGCAAUGUUUGUUUGAAAUUGCAGGAAUAAUAAAGUAUCUUUUGACAUCAAAGGAACCCUUGAAGUGUUUUCUGGGGAAGUGCUUGAUAUCUGCUUUCAUCGAUAGAACUUUUUGGAUUAGGAAACCACUUGUAGUGCCGUUUGAAGAAGUGCUUCAUAUAUGUUUGAAAGUGAUUUUACUCGAGGGUACUUGCCAUUAAAGCACUGCUGAACGUAUCCUCUGCGUGUUUGAUGAGCUCAUGAAAGCUACUGUCUUUCUAAGAUGGAGAAAAAUGCUUUUUAGAUGAAACAGAAAAAAAAAAAAAGGAGAACCUUGGAGUGGUUUUCAGGGAAGUGCUUAAGGGAAAUGUAAUUGAUAUAUUUUUCAAGAACUUUUGUAAAAAGGCCUUUUCUUUUUCUUUUUGUUUUGUUUGCAUAAGCUCUUUCUAUAAGAGCACUGCCAAAUGCACUUCAGUUGUCUUAGCUGAGCUCAUGAUAGUUAGUAUUGCAAUUGUUGCUGAGAGCCUUAAUUGAAAUUUCAGAUGUUUGAAGACAAUUAACAGCAAAAAAUAUGGGAAUAUUUGUGUUUUGCAUGUUGGUGGAUUGCUUUACUAGGCACUUAUUUGAUACGUUCAUUUAUUCAGAAUCUCUACGGCUUCUUUCCUCGCACGAUAACAAGUACUUGCGUUACUUCAAAGGUCAUCAUAACAGGUUUGUAAUUCACUUAUUCUUGUAAAUAUUUCGUAAUUAUUAUUAUCUGUAUAUAUGUUUUACUGCUUCUAGGGUUGUUUCACUUAGCCUGUGCUCCUCCAAAGAUUGCUUUAUCUCUGGUUCUCUUGAUCAAACUGUUCUGCUCUGGGAUCAACGGGCUGAGAAAUGCAAGGUGGAUAUCAUGCCAUCCACCAUUUUCAAUUGUAUUUAUGAUCUCUGUUGGCAAAUACGGGUCUUUUGCAUGUUCAAGCAAGGCCAACAGCAUGUGAUGAUCAAGGGCCUGUCUUUGCAGUUGCCUUUGGAGGAUACAUAAGAAUGUUUGAUGCUCGUAAGUAGGAGAAGGUUAAAAUUAAUAUUUAAGAACAUCUUGGAAGUUUAUAUGUCGUACUUUUAUCAUGCACUAAUUUGGUUAAAUUUGGAUACAUCUUCUCUGAUGGUGGAGAUGUAUCAGAUUCUGAUGCUGUAAAGUUCAGCAAUGAUGGGAGACUUAUGCUUCCGACCUCUAUGGAAGGACAUAUUCAUGUGCUUGACUCAUUCCAAGGCACACUUGUGAGUUGACUUUUUCUUUCUUCAUCUCCCAAAUGUAACAUAUCGUACAUAUAUACCCCUCUAUACACUGGAAUCUCUGUUAAUGAGCUUCUGUUUACUCUUGUUUUUAUUUAUCCACUUAUGAUGCCAAGCCAGUUUCUCGCAAUUCCACAUUGGAGGCAUCUUUCAGCCCGGUGGAGUUUCUCCUUUCAGUUCUUAGGGCACAGUGACUUGGAUAUUUUGUUGAUGUUUGCUUUUGGCUGUUUUGAUAUUUUAUAUUAAAGUUCUUGCACUUGUGCUGUAUAUAAUUCUCAAAUUUGUUACCACCUUGUUGGCAUAUUGAAAUACACGACUUGAAAUGUUGGGCAUCAAGCUUGUUUCCGCAGAAUUCUUUGAAAUAAAUUCAUUUUCUCUUCUUCAUUGACUUGGUUUGAAACCCACUCCCAUCCAUGCAAAUCCAAAUGCAUAUGUAUUUUCAUCUGGUUGUGCUUAUUAAUAAAAAUAAAUCAAUGAAAUGCUGAAAUAACAAGUGCACCCACACGUGGAAGCAGCCUAGUGUGGCCAAGCACCUCUCAUUCGUUUUAUGUGAUACAAUUGGUUUGUUGCACUCUUUGUGCUAAUUUUACUUUCUCGGUUUUGGAAGGUUCUGAUGAUGGUAGCGGAUAUGCUUGGAGUGUACGGAGCGGGAAAGGGGUAUGAUAAGCAAAAUUCCUUGAUUCUCAUGCCUUUUGAAUGCUUAGAAUUCAAAGGGAUGUUAUUUCCCUUACAUUGACCCCAGUCAUAGCAUUCAUUGUCUUCUAGCCAAACCAACAAUGCUUUUGAAUCUACAUUUGAGCAUUUACCUUAAGCACCAGUUUGCAUAAUGAGUUCUGUAUCCAAAUACUAUAUUCUUUUGACAUUGGUAUUGUUAUUAUAUAAACAUUGUUUGGUUUUGUUUAUUUUUCUUGUCAGGGUUGCAAGUUGGAUGAGUUUUCAUAGUGAGCCUCCUGUCAUAAAAUGGGCCCCCGGAAGUCUCAUGUUUGUUACGGGGUCAUCUGAGCUAUCAUUUUGGAAUCCUAAUGUGUCUAAACUAGGAGCUUACGUUGGGAGGAAGUAAAGUUUCUAACACUCACCACCCUUAAGUAUCUGAAUAUUGAUGUCUAUCUAUUGCCGGGAGGGGAACUUGUUUGUAUAAGAAGUUGCACCGAUUAUGUAAGGAGAUGUUCAAUUUCCUAUGGUAGUAUGUAAAUGCAUCUGACUUACCUGCUAGUAACCUUUCCUAACAAGUUCUGAAGAAACAACAGUAGAUCUGGUAUCAAUACUUUAUUCAGAAGAGCAUUUCUUCUUACAUGCACAGCUAAGAGUACAUGAAUUGAGCUACUGAAGCCCUUCCUGACCAACCUGGCUAAGGCUCCUUGCAGUUUGUCCUCUUCAUGGUUCUUUGGCAGGCAACAGCGUAAGCAAUUGCCUGGACUAUGAGGCCUUUUGUAGCGGGGUGGGCACUGCCUAGGCAGUUUUUUGAAAAAACUAGGAGCUUUAUUUGUCUUUGACAUUUGUAGCACGAUUAGUUAUUACCUGGAUUAAGUUGUAUAUAUUACAUCGUAUACCUAAUCUGACAAAUAACAGGUUGCAAUCCAAGUUUUGUUGAUCAUGAAGGGUUUGAGCAUGAUAGUCCAUUUAGGUCAUUAGGUCAGCCGAAUGGAAGACCAAUGGAUUUGGAGGGUUUGUCUACAACGCAAACUAAGCUAAUAAUGCCUGUUCAUUGUUUUAUACUUGCCAUGUAUUUUUUUCCUGUAAUUGUCAGAUUGAUGUACAAGUUAAAAUGAUUGUAAAUAAAUUAUAUAUUAUAAUUUUAAAAAUAUUAUAAGCCCAUUGGUUUCAUAUAUAUAUAUAUAUAUAUAUUAGCUUUCUCUCCUACACCCAGGCUUUAUGCCUCUCGUGCCUCAGUUUGAUGUGAAGAAAUGGUCCAUCAAGGCCAUUGGUAAUAGUCAGCAAUAGCAAUAUUGCCUUUCUUCAAUCACAGCAAUGUUUAUUGGGUACGCAGGAUCAAUUAUCUUCAGUAAUUAACAAUUUAACAUAAUAAUAUAUCAUGUUUAUAAAUAUGUAAAUAAAUUUUAUUCAAUAUUUAUAGUUUUAUAGUAAUUUAAUAAUAAAAUUUACCAAACAUAUACAACUAUUUUUAUAACUCACAGCUCCUUUAAAAAGAAGUUUUUGUAAACGUUUAAUUAAUUUUCUUUACAAUUGAUUAUUUCUAUAGCACAGCUAACAUCAAUUAUUUUAAAAGCUACAACAUUACCAAAUUGGCCCCUUACUCUUUUUAUCAAAAUUAUUAUUUAAAAGUUCUAACUAUUUUUAUAACUCACAACUCCUUUAAAAAGAAGUUUUUGUAAACGUUUAAUUAAUUUUCUUUACAAUUGAUUAUUUCUAUAGCACAGCUAACAUAAAUUAUUUUAAAAACUACAACAUUACCAAAUUGACCCCUUACUCUUUUUAUCAAAAUUAUUAUUUAAAAAUUCUAAUUGCAACACGUUACCAACUUUUAUUUCACAUCUACAAUUUUUUUUCACAACAGCUAUACCUUAAAAGUCGCAUCAUCUUAAUACCAAAUAGGGCCAUAGUAAUUUGGGACCUUUUUUUCCCCCUUUCUCCUCUUCUUCAUCAACUUAAAAAAAAACUAGAAACAAAUCAGAGAAAUUGAGUAUGAAAUUAAGCAUUAGUCGAGUAUGAAGUUGGGUGAGUCGAGUAUAAAAUUAAGUACUUUUCUAUAUGAUUUUAAAUAAAGGGUAUUUUAAUAUUUUUCUGUGUGAUUUUGGAUAUAUUUCUAUAAUACCAGUAAACUAUGUAAUAAGCAUAUAUUUGUUAUUUUGUUGUGAAUGGGACAUAUCUGGCGCCAUUUGCUCCCGUGACCGAUCUUUAUAACAGAUCCAAUUACCCUCGUUAUAUUCACUGGAUCGAAAGCUGACAUAGCACAAUUCUGAUAUGUAAUGUGAGUGAUGGGAGAGUCACAAAUUAUUGUAUAAAUUUAUUUGAUCUAAAUUAAUUAGUAUAAAUUGAUAGAAAUAUAAAAUAAUAAAAAUAUAAAUCACGUAGACCAAGGUGUAUUUAAUAAAACUAAUAAAAUUUUACUCAAUCAGUUAAUAUAAGAAUUUGUAAUUUUAUUAUUACUCAUGGUACUUGAACAGUGGCUGAUUGGUCAACUAGUGAUAUAAGUGGCAACGACUAAACUGUUGAGUCUCUACGUGGGUUUUCAAAAUGAGUCAAGAGUCAAGAAAUUAGCUGUAAACAUGUCUUUGAGAUGAUACAUUGUCAUCAUCAGCAUCAUAUCCUAAUUGACAAAGAAGGAUUGCGAGGGAAACUAAGCAUGUGCCUUCAUUUUCACUUGAAAUAAAGCGCAAGGGAAAGAUCUCAUGUUAUCACAUGAUGCCGUGUGAUCACCUAGAAGCCCUUCCACGUAUAUUUCUUCUCAAAUUGUCUUCUUCUAAUUUCUUGGGCCACCGCGGAACCACAAUGUCAAUGGAUGAGCGAGUGUUGCUCAGCUCGCAGCAUUUGGAGCCGGAGCUCAGCUUCCCUUAUUUGUUGGUCGUUUGGUAGGCGUCGCCAAAGGGCAAAGAGGAUCCUCUGGCGUUCGUGGAGCUGGUCCUCAAUGCGAUUGAUUUCUUCUCCAAGUUGAGCAAGUCUUUGUACCAUAGCCAUAGAAUUAUUUACUUUGGACCGAUGCAAUUCUCUUCUAAAAAUUUCAGGGAGCACUUUUCAUCUGCACCCAAAGAUUUCAUCAUAAUUUUAUUGUAUACACACUUGCUUCAACAGCUAUCACGGCUCACUCUUUUUUUGUUAAAUAUUGUUGUUGCCAUUAAUUUUGACAUAUUUGACGUUAAAAGACAACUUUACCUUUAUUUAUAUUUUUUAAUACAAAAUUACCAAAAAACCACAACACCAAUUUCUAAUUCCAAUUGACUUGUGGGGAUAUUAAAAUUUAAUUUUGGCAUCUUUGACCUUAAAAGAUAAUUUUACCCUUAUUUAUAUUUUUUAAUGCAAAAUUACCAGAAAAACCACAACACUAGUUUCCAAUUCUAACUCACCUAUGUGGAUAUUAAAAUUUCUUAAAGGUUAGAAAAAAAGUAAAAAUGUGUUGUUCAAAAUAUCUCCUCUGCCAUCAUCCAUAAACGUCCAUUCUUCAUAACAAUCUAGUAAACUUGCAAAAAGCAAGAUCCCAGUCAAUCAACCAGCCAAAAUUCUUCAUAAAGUUUAGCUUUUCUUAAAAAAACUUAAAUCUUGAGUUAAAAAUUUUAAUUCCUGAGACCCUAAAUUAACUGGUAUUGAAAGUCGCAUGUUUCUAUAACAAAAAUCUUCAAAAAUAACACUACAAUGAAAAUCUUCAAGUUAAAUAAAAAUUUAUAUUCAUAAUAUUUAUGAAUAAAUUAUAAAUAAUAUAGAGUGGUUUAAUUGAAUAUAGAGUAGUUUACAAUUUUAUAGUGUAUUCACUAAAUAGGAAUCGAAAUUAUUUGGAAACAUAAUGAGUUAGAAUCAGAAUAUGUAGAAUCGAAAUAAGGAAUUAGAAUCAGAAUAAUUUAUUUACUUGAACUGUAGGAAUCGUAAUUAGAAUGAGUUGUUUACGUGUUUACUUUGUCUUAGAAUCAAAAUCGGAAUUAGUUAAAUUGUAACAAAUUACUAUAAAAUCCUUAAUUAAUUUUUAUCAUAAUUAUUAUUUCUUAUUUUAACUAUUGUGAUUAUUAUUAAUAAAAAAAUUAUUUAUUAACAAUAAUUAUUGUUAAUUAUUAUUAUUAUUAAAAAGUUAACUAAAAAUUAUUAUUAAUUAUUGUUAAUAGAUUAAUUAAUUAUAAUACUUUUUAUUCUUGUUAUUAAUAAUAAUAAUAAUCCAUUUAUAAUUUAUAAUUUUAUUUAUAAUUAAGUGGAAAUUAAAGUGGUAGGGUCCCAAUCAAAAUGUGGCACGAACACAUUUAUCCAACAGCAAGAUUUUUCGAUUGCCAUCCCCACUAAUUUGGUGUAAUGACUAAGAGUUAAUUGAAAAAUAUUUAGUUUAAUUUUACAUUUAAUUUUUUUCAUUUUUGUAUUAAGAAUUAUUUGAAAAAUUAUUAUAUUCCCUUAAUUUUACCAGAAUCCCGUUGACUUAGCCCCGAGUCUCUUGAUUAAAGCGUUUUAAAAAAAAAAAAGUUCAAAAGAUUCAGAUAGCUCACUCGAUUAUAGGGCGUCUGCACCUUACGCUCGCUUUUGUUGUGCUGCCAGUAGCUGCUGCUUCCUUCAAGACCGAGCUCUCUGCCGCUGUUGCUUCCUUCAAGACCGAGCUCUCUAAGCCCCUCACUGUCGAUUUUGACCUUUGCUUCCUUUUGGCUUCACGAUCUAGAAGCCAUCGUCGCUUCAUUCAAGCCAUCACUUCACGAAAGAAAAAAUAAUAAUAAUAAUAGUGGUAAUAAUAAAUACUCUUACAGAUCUCUUCUUCAUCAAAUUUGUAAAAUUUAGAGAAAAUGCAAAACAGCAAUAAUGAUGAAGCUUCGGUGACAAAGACGACGGAGAAGCCGCCGCUGCCGAAGCGAUCGAAGACGAUCUCGACGACACUCACUUCCCAGGCCCACUUUUUCCCGCCGUUCGCCAAACCGACAAGCCGUUCGAUCUCCGCGUGUCCCUUGACUCCGAUGCUGUGGCGUCGUCUUCUUCGUCGUCGUCGUCGAGUAAUGGGUUUAACGAAAGAGACUGGAUGUACCCGUCGUUCUUGGGCCCGCAUAUGGGUCGGAGGCGGAUCAAAGUCAAACCCAAUAAGCUUGAAUUUAAAGGAAAUGAGGAGCAGAAGAAGAUUCAAGAGUUGGGUUCGAAGAAAGAAGAGAAGGAGGUGGCGAGUUUUUCAGUGACUCAGACGAGUUCAGUGAGUCAGUUGAGUGGAAAGACUCGUGGGUUAAAGAGCUCCUUGAUGACGUAUUACAUGGUUAGUAGUUUGAGUUGAGCUCAACUGCUGUAAAUUUCUUUAUAUUUUAGCUUAAAACGUUGACAAAUUAAACUUAAAAAAUCAAUGAAAUGUAAAGCUGGUAUUUUUCUUUUUCUUUUUUUCUUUCUAUCACUAAAGAAGAUAAAGAAUCGUGAUCAUAAAAUCUAAGUAUUACGAAUGCAAUCUUCAUCGCAAUUGAACAUUGUAGGACUAUUUUCUAAAGUUGAAUGAAAUCAACAUAUUCACGCAUACAGCCCAGCAAAAGAAAACUUCACUCAAUGAAAACCGACGCCAAUGCUUAAUUAAAGUCAAACACAUGACAUUAAGAAAUUUCUAAUAAUCUUAGAAAUAAGCUAGUCCAUAAUCACUUGAGAUCAUUUCCUCACCCCAUAAUCCAUCAACUAACUGAGAAAUGACAACUCACCAAUUAGUUUUUCAUCAGAACUCAUAACACAGCACUUACCCAUUCACAUAAUAAAAGUAUUGACAUUAAUGAGAGCGUAACUUAAUCAAAUAAUAAUCCAUUAAUAAAAUGAAAAUUAACAACUUAUACCUUCAUAGAUGAUUCUUGUGCACUUGACUUUCUAAGCAAAGAACGUCACUAUUCUUUUCAAGAAGGCAGCCACCACAAAGCAUAGAAGCUUCUUCAUAUAAUAGUACAACAAUCAAAACCUGAAACAUACGCAUUAGUAUUAAUUUAUUAUAAUUUAGCAGCAGUAAAUAUUUUUAUAAAAAAGUUAUCUGCAGUAAAUAUAAGAAUAACAAAGAAUAAAAUCUUAGAUCAACAACAGAGAACCUAAACUCUACAACUUGCUUGAACUACUAUCAACAUCAUACUGCAUAAUCAAAUAGACAAAAUAGUUUAAUAUAUAAUUUGUAUUGACCUGCAUACUAUCACGUAAAAAAUAUUGUAACAAAAACAAAACAUAAAAUUGUUUGGUGAUCACAAUGGAUCCUGGAAUGACAACAACUACAUUAUUAUAAUGAGUUUGACAUGUCAUUGUACAUGGAUUCGUUAUGAUGAAUCAUGAAACACCGUUGAGUAGUUAAUUCAGCCACUUUUCACCUAUAAAUUUGAUGGCAUACUUUGAAUACACAACAUGGUUAUAAAUAUAAGUUUAGAGAAUUUUUGUGGGAAAGAAUAAUUUUGUUGACAAAAGAUUAAGUACAAAAAUUAUAACAUCUCCAUUUUUAAUAUAGCUGACAUAAGUUAUUCGAGUGAAAAAAAAAAAAGAGGGAACUUAGAUACGCCAUAUUAAAUAGGGCAGUAAUAAAAAAAAUCUAAUUGACAUAAAUUAUUUGAGCAAAUGACAAAUUUUUGCUAAGAAACUCGUUUUCAUUUUUUCCCAAAUAAUAAUCAAUGUUUUUUUCCACUACGCAUCGAAAGAGCUCGCAUCGACAUCAAUCAUGAACCAGUCGUGGCCUAGCUAUAUUGCCUGCAUUAUGAAUACCACCUAUGACCUUUACAGCCUAACCGUUUAUCUCAGUCUAUUUUUAAUACUCAGUCACAGGUCCAGACCAUUCAAGUUCAGGACAUGACCCUACUGGUCCCAUUAUAUAUCUAUUUAAAUUUCUUUUUUUUUAGAAUGUCUAUUUAGAUUUCUUAAAUUUAAAAAACAAAUCAACUUCUAGCCCUUUAAAAAAAAAAAAAUCUAAAAUCAACAAAGCUAUUAAUUUGAAGAUAUUUUGAAUUCCAAUUCCCAAUUAAAAUCAUGAAUAUAUCAGCUAUAUCAUAGCUUCAGCAUAACUAGUAAGUGGUGACAUCAAAUUUUCAAAUAUUUGGAACUGGAAGCAAAUAUCUAGUUAAUGAUUAAAGUAGUUGACGAAUAAAACCUCUCGUAUUAUCAUAGAGGCUACCCCAAUAGCUUGCAAUAACUAUGUAUGGUGCAGUAAAGUUUCAGGAUAGAUGAAUAAACUAAAAAGCAAAAGAGAAAUAUCAGUUGCAGCAAGAACUACGUCAUCUCCACCUCGAUUAUUAUUCAAAUAUUAACACCAAAUGUCACUGAACAACACAAGAGAAACAUGAUCCAUAUUUUAAAUGUAUCUGAAUAGCAUAAAUAUGAAAAUCAUUGCAGAAAGUAAAAAAAAAAAAAGAAAAAAGUAAAGAGAAAUUUAUCUCACAGCAUUCCUAUUAUUAAAAAAUAUCAAAUAAAUGUGCUCCGAGAUAUAACUUCAUGCACAUUCAGAAGUUCUCAGGCCAAAGAACAUUAUAGCAACUACAAAAACUCAUGAGCCAGCAGGUCUUGUCCCAGUACAAGGUGAAGCAACUAAAAUUAUGCUUUAAGAACUUUAUAUAUAUAUAUCACGAACGCAGGAAGAAAAUUAUUUCUAUAUCAAAAUCAAGAUCACCCAACCAAACAAUGGUACCUUCCAAUAUACCUAGUGUAUGUAUAUAGGCAUCCAUUGAUUGAUACUUUGAAUUUAAUUAAUAAAUCAAUUUCAGGUGUCAUGUUUCCACAUUAAAGAGAGAUAAUAACAAUUAACUAGAUAUGACAGGACUGGAUAAAAAUUUGCUCAAAAUAUACUACAAAGAUCAAAUUUUAUUACUUUUCACCUGCUGUCAUUUCUCUCCAACGUCAGAUCAUGACCUCGAGCAACUCUUUCGGCUUUCUUCGCCCAUUUUUCUUCUUUUUACAGCAUGAAGCUAAUACGAAGCCAAAUGAAAAGUAGAUUAGUCAUUUCAAAUUCAAUUUAAUUGUCAAUUGAAAAGUUCAAUUGUUACCUUCAUCAGCUGUAGAAUCAAUAGUUAAUGAAAUAUACAAUAAGAAGAGUAAAAAAUUUCACCUGCAAAUUAGGACAGCCGAGGAAGCAUCCGUAAACAUAAGAGUAAUUAUAUCACUCUGAAAUUUCAUAAGAGAGAAUUAGGACAGCAGCGAAAGAAAUAAACAAAGCAAUUUGCAAAGGACACAGGCAUAAACAUGAUAGUAAGAAUAAAAUAUCAAACUGUAAGAAGAAGCGAGAAAAACAAAUCAAAAACAAACUGAGAAGCAGGAAGAGCUGUGAUGGUAAAUUCUUCAUCUAAAGCAGUUGAAGAACGAGCAAUGGAUACCGGUCCUUCUUCGUGCUAUCGAGAAAGGAGUCAGAGUUGAGAUCGAGAGAACAACGGAGACCGAUUCUUCGUCUCCGUAAUUUUCCCCUUUUUCUAAAAUGCUAUUUCGCAUUUCCUUUGCUUUUUGGUUUCCGUAUUUCGAUUUUGUUUUUAAUUAGGUAAGAAAAAAAGAUCGGGCCCUAUUUCAAAAGAAAAAUAAGAAGGGGCCCUAAAAGUAAUUUUUCCGAGCCCAUGCAUUCGAUUAAAAUAUUUCAUUAUCUUAGUGGACAGAUUGCCCAAGAAAAAAUAUUCGAUUAAAGCACAUAUUUUAAAAGGUAAAUAACGCGCUCAGAGAUGUUUAAUCAAUAAUACAGUUGUUUAUUAUAGUGAUAACUACUACUUAUAUAUUAAUUCUUCAAAAUAAUUCCACAUUUAUCAUAUUAUCAUUUACUUAUUUUGUAAGCGUUUUAAAGAUAUUUAAAAAUUUUUCCAUUUGACAAUGCUCAAUUAAGGGUAAAGUUUAAAUUAUGUCACAAAAAGUUUUUGAACAGCAUUACACAAAGCAUUUACUGUUUUAACAAAAGAAUGCAUAUGAGGGGACAAAAAAAAGUAAAAGUAUGAGUUUGACUAUUAUCACAGUAAUUAUUUCUAUUUCAAAAGUUGAAAUGUGAACCUUAACAUAUUUUGCGGAAUUUUUUCAAUUACUUUUUAAAAUUACAUGUACAUGGAUGAUUGCUUACUAUUGUGAAAGGCGAUAUAUUUAAUUUGAAGAAAAUUCCUUCUAGACCGGUAGCGUUGGUCGUAGUUGCCCUGUCGAAGAAGUGUUGUUAGCUCGAAACCUAUUGCAAAUGUCAAUGCAAAAUGGUUUCAAUGUUUCGUUGUAGAGCUGACGACAAGCUUCUGAAAACAACGUGCCAUAUUGAAACACAACAACAAUAAUGGCAGUGCCAAUCCAUGUCGUGUACAAAAUGAAAUGGCCAAUAUUGGAACGUGGAAUAAAUGUGGAGACCAAUGAUAUUGCCGAAUUCGAUCCUGAGACAAUAGCAACAAGGCCCCAGAAUUGGGAAGAAUUUUCUAGAUGAAGCCGAGACUUGAGGUCUGCUGAAUGUGCAUAACAAUAUAUGGCUGUGGCAAUGAGAAAAGACAAUAUAUUUAUUGAGUGUGUUUCAAGCAAGGGCUUAGUUUUGCCUUGCACAUUUGCACCCACAAUGCCAAUGAGAGCUGGAAUCAGAUAUCCAAAAAUGCUGGGAUAUGACAUCGACCAGAAGAGAUUUCGCCCACUGCAAGAUCAUUAAAAUGAUUAAAUCAUCUUUUGUAUAUCCCAUUUUUUGACAAAAAAUUAAAAUUGAAAAGCUCUUGUAUUAAUUUCCUCUCAGUUUGUCUAUCAAUUUUUUUUCUUUUGACUGAAGCAAUUCUCCUCUAAAAAUUUGAGGGAACACUUUUCAUCUGCACCCAAAUGUUUCAUCAAAAUAUUAUUGUAUACCCAAAUGUUUCAUCAAAAUUUUAUUGUAUACACACUUGUUUCAAUAGCUAUCACGGCUCACCCAUUUAUGUUAAAUAUUUUUUUUUUUGCCAUUAAUUUUGACAUCUUUGACAUUGAAAGACAGUUUUGCCCUUACUUAAAAUUUUUAAGUGUAAAAUCACCAAAAAAAACUACAACACUAGUUUCAAAUUCCAAUUGACGUGUGUGAAUAUUAAAAUUUCUUAAAAGUUAAAGAAAAAAAGUAAAAAUAUUUUGUUAUGGGAAUCAAAAUAUCCCCUGUACCAUCAUCAUCCAUAAUCGUCCAUCCAUGAUAACAAUUUAAUAAACUUGAAAAAGCUAGAAAUCCAAUCCCAGUGCAUCAAACAGCCAAUUUUCUUCAUAAAGUUUAGCUUUUGCUUUUAAAAAUUCUAACUCUUGAGACCCUAAAUAAACCCAUAUUCAAAGUUACAUGUUUCCAUAUAACGAAAAUCUUCAAUUUACCCCUUUAAAAUUUUGAAAACAUUAAUUUACUUCUAUUUAUCAGUCAAAAGAUUAAAAUAAAUGGAGACACGUUGAGGAUAAACUUUUUAACUUCAAAGUGGUAUUUGAUAAAUAUAAAUAAAUUGAAAAUUAUCAUUUUUUAGUGGGAAUAAGUUACUAAGAGAAAGAAAGAAAACAGAAAACAAAUCUCUUCUAUAGCAGUCUUAACAAAAUUUUCAGCAGGGACUUGAACCAAUUUUUUCACGGAAAUUAAUUAACAGAACAAAAACGCUUUGAAGUGGACUGCACAUAUAUAUAUAUAUACUCAAAAAUAAAUAUACAACUGGAGUCAAUAACGGUAAAUAAAAUGAACGUACACAGAAGGGUUUGGAUUUGGAUGAUGAAGAAUGCACUGACAGCUUUGCAUUUGCAUGCAUAUAUAUCUCAGCAAACCCUGGAUUGAGUUCUUUUUCUCUCGGUAAAUAAGGUAGGGAACAGCAAACCCGAUCAAUUUUCAAAAAAGAAAAAACAAAAACAAAAACUGAAAUGUAAACUCAGCAUGAAACUUGGGAGGGAAAGGGGAGGGGUGAAAAACGGUCACCUUGAGAACCGUCUCAAUUAUCUCUGCUUCAAAAAAUCAUCCCGUGGGUAUUUAUAUUUUAUUUUCAAGUCGUUGAUGCCGCGAGUCCACGGCUGGAUAAGUACGGGGUUUCGAAGAAAUAACGUGCGCGAUUCUAAACAUUGUUUAAUUACAAUUCCAAAGUGUUGAAAAUGACUGCGUUAUCCCCCGACUUUUUCAAUUCCUACCGAGUGUUGAAAAUGACUGCGUUAUCCCGUCUUUUUCAAUUCCGACCGAGUGCUGAAAAUGACAGCGUUAUCCCCUGUCUUUUUCAAUUCAAAAGUGUGUGGCAUCUCUGUAGCUCAAUUCAUGUACCCCUAGAUGUACAUGUAAGAAGAAAUGCUCUUCCAAAUAACAUAUUGAUACUAGAUCUACUGUUGUUUCUUCAGAACUUGUUAGGAAAGGUUACUAGCAGGUAAAUUAGAUGCAUAUACAUACUGCUAUAGGAAAUUGAACAGCUCCUUACAUAAUUGGUGUAACUUCUUAUACAAACAAGAUCCCUUCCCGGCAAUAGAUAGACAUCAAUAUUCAGAUACUCAAGAAAUUAUAAGGGUGUUGAAUGUUAGAAACUUUACUUCCCCCCAACAUAAGCUCCCAGUUUAGACAGAUCAGGAUUCCAAAAUGAUAGCUCAGAUGAUCCGAUACAAACAUGAGACUUCCAGGGGCCCAUUUUAUGACAGGAGGCUCUGUAUGAAAACUCAUCCAACUUGCAACCCUGACA